rnacentral:lncRNA from 1 species
UCAUAUAUUUGAUGAAACUCUCGCUCCGCUAAAACGGCGUCGUACAUCGAAUAACGAUAAUAAUAAAAUCUGAAUCCGAUUUGGUGAAAACAUGAACGCUAAGCAACUGAAAUCAUGGAAAAUGAUUUCUUGUGUUUCAAGGAAAUGAUUAGAUUACCAUUAUGUGUUUUUUUUUUUUCAUGUUUUCUCUCUUUUUCUAUUUUUCACUUUUGGUUGGUUUCCUGGAAGAUGUGAUCUGCUCUGCUUCUUUAUGCCUUUUUUUUGACUUAGUGGGAAGGUGAAUAAAGAAAUGGGGGACCAUGUUAUUAGGAUCUAGGACGGCUGUGUUUGUUAGAAUUUGGGCCCCCUCUAUCAUGUGAUAAAUAAUAUGACAUGUCGGUAGUUGCUUCCUUGCUAAUACAAUGAGAGAUAUUUUCAGUUAAGCAAACUGGAUUCAAUUCUAAGCAUUACUAAAACCUUCAGCUUUCUUUCUUAUUAUAGCCUUUGCUUUAGCUUUUACUUUUGAUGGAUAAUUUGCCUACUUAUAGUUCAGAUCUGUCUUAAAAACCCAUCUUUUGUUUUAUUAUUGCGCUCAUUCGUCUGGAAAAUUCGUGUUCUUUAACUCCCAUUUGAUUGUUUUUUUUUGGUUAGUCAAAUUGAUAUUUACUCAUUCAUUUAAGUUCACACAUUAAUGUUCAACCGUCUUAGUUGGUUAACUGGAUCCUAUUAAUAGUCUCAGGAUAAUUAUAAGUGACUGGGUUGUGACAUUGAAUUUUGACUCAAACAUUGUACUGUUCUCUUCAUUCUGCUUUAUGAUGCUUAGUUUAAUAUCUUAGACAAUGCAGGAAUCGAAACUGGAGCAUGGAAUGUAUUUAUUUCCGUAGUUGGGAUCUUGGAGAUGUUUCUUUACGUGUUUGUUCAUUGAGCUAAAAAUUUAAUCUCACUUAGCUGUGACUAAAUUUUUUUUUACUAUUAUCAAUGCAGGUAAUUAAUUGUUUCUGACAAAAUGAAGCAUAAAGAUGGGAAACCGAUUUCUCCAAAUGGUGAUAAAAGUCCCAGGAUUGUUCCUUUGACAGUAUUGUUUGUUGCACUAUGUGGGUUUUCGUUUUACCUUGGUGGAAUCUUUUGUUCUGAGAAAAACAGAGUUGAGAUUAGGGAUGUCCAGAAAGCAGUCCCGUCUCCCAAGGAUCCAGCGGUUGCUCCGCUUCAGAUCAAAUCUGUUAACUUCCCUGAAUGCAGCAGCAACUAUCAAGACUACACUCCAUGCACAGAUCCAAAGGUAUACCUUAAAUGCUUAUUUGAUAAUAGUAACAGCUUCUAGGCAAUGUUACAAAGGUAUAUGAUAUCAAGUGGCCAUAUUGAUGAUAAACAUUCAUUGCUACAGAGGUGGAAAAAGUACGGUGCUCAUCGGCUGACUUUCAUGGAACGCCACUGCCCUCCAGUUUUUGAGAGGAAGGAAUGCUUAAUACCCCCUCCUGAUGGGUAUAAGCCACCUAUCAAGUGGCCAAAAAGCAGGGAUGAAUGUUGGUACAGGUAUUAUGAUCUAUUAAUGAACUGGUUUUAUUGUCCACUGAUGUUGGCCGUAAGUCAAUUUUGUUCUAUUAUUUGGAUCUGGUUUCAGGAAUGUGCCUUAUGAUUGGAUUAACAAGCAGAAGUCAAAUCAGAAUUGGCUGAGAAAACAAGGAGAGAAGUUCCUCUUUCCUGGUGGAGGUACAAUGUUUCCCAAAGGAGUUGGUGCAUAUGUUGAUUUGAUGCGAGAUCUGAUUCCAGAAAUGCAAGAUGGGACAGUUCGAACUGCUAUUGACACUGGAUGUGGGGUGAGUUUUGUUUUUCAUUUGCCCUCUUUUUCAUCUAAUCAUAUACUGGGCUAAUCUAUGUUGCAUCGAUGGUUUAUUCUUAUGGUGCCUCUUGGUCAUCUUAGGAUAAAUUUAACUCACUUACAUUUUAUUUAUAGGUUGCUAGCUGGGGAGGUGAUUUAUUAGAUCGUGGAAUUUUAACGGUUUCUCUUGCACCAAGAGAUAAUCAUGAAGCUCAAGUUCAAUUUGCAUUGGAACGUGGAAUUCCCGCAAUUCUUGGCAUCAUUUCCACACAGCGCCUACCUUUCCCCUCAAAUUCAUUUGAUAUGGCUCAUUGCUCAAGAUGCCUUAUCCCGUGGACAGAAUUCGGUAAUUAAUCAUAUACUAUGAAGUUUGAUCAAUAUGUAACCAGUGAGAUAUGGUUAUAAAUGCUUUAUCAUAUCAGACAAAAUAACAUAAAUAACAUACAUCACCGAUCAUGUGAUUCAAUUACAUUUCGCUACUCUGAAAGUCAGCAUUGUGAAAGUCUUUUGUUAGGGAGCAUUACAUUUAUUAUAGAAGAUAUUAAUUUUAUUGAAUAACUGAUGUUUAUCAUUUUAGAGGAAAUGUACAAUAGCAUUGCAAAUAAAGGCAGCUACAAAUCAUGAUAUCAGAAAUGUCUUUUCAAUAUUUUGUUUAAUAAAAUUCUUGAUCAAUUGGAGAGGUACUUGGAUGGUGAUGGGCAGUUUAGUUUAGUAUCUUCCUCUUAAGAUGUGAUACUGCUUUGUUUUCUGCAUAUUGGUUAUCUCAAGGUUUCUCUCAAUGAUGAAUAUCUUCGUUUCAGGUGGAAUUUAUCUCCUAGAAGUUCAUCGAAUACUCCGUCCUGGUGGAUUCUGGGUCCUAUCUGGCCCACCAGUUAACUAUGAGCACCGAUGGAGAGGAUGGAAUACUACAAUUGAAGAGCAGAGAUCUGAUUAUAAGAAGUUACAAGAUUUGCUUACUUCGAUGUGCUUCAAAUUAUAUGCCAAAAAGGAUGAUAUUGCAGUGUGGCAAAAACUCUCUGAUAGCAGUUGCUACAAUAAGCUUUCUAACCCAGAUGUCUACCCACCCAAGUGUGAUGACAGCCUUGAACCAGAUUCAGCAUGGUACACACCUCUUCGUCCUUGUGUUGUUGUGCCGAGACCAAAUCUGAAGAAAUCAGUUUUGGAAUCCAUGCCUAAAUGGCCAGAGCGGUUGCAUGUUGCACCCGAACGCAUAUCAGAUGUCCAUGGUGGGAGUGCUAGUGCUUUCAAGCAUGAUGACAGUAAGUGGAAUGUGAGAGUGAAGCACUACAAGAAGUUACUCCCUGCACUUGGGACCGAUAAGAUAAGAAAUGUAAUGGACAUGAAUACGCUCUAUGGAGGAUUUGCUGCUGCUGUAAUUGAUGAUCCCUUGUGGGUUAUGAAUGUUGUAUCAUCUUAUGCUGCUAACACACUUGCCGUGGUUUAUGAUCGGGGCCUCAUAGGAACCUAUCAUGAUUGGUACAUUUUAUUGCUUUUUCUAUAUUAAAAUGCUAUGUGGGCAGUAUAAAUUGCUAUGGGCCUUCCAUGUAUCCUCUCCUUUAUAUUUACGUUGGUAAGUGUAUGUGCUGAUUGAUUGUUUUGCUGUCUGUUAGGUGUGAGGCUUUCUCGACAUAUCCUCGAACAUAUGAUCUCCUUCAUCUUGAUGGCCUCUUUACUGCAGAAAGCCACAGGUAUUACAUCACAUGGAACUGAUAUUUUAUAAAUUGUUAAUUGAAAUGCGUAAGUGAGAAAGUUUUUGAUAAUGAGUCGUUACGUGGAGUUAGGUUUGAUCUGGACUAUGGACUUAUUUCUUGCAAUAGCAACUGAAUGUUAGCAAAAUAUGAUAUGAUGGAAAUGUCUUGAUUUAUAGAAACUAGAAAGUUCAAGAUGGUUACCUGUUUAGUUAACCAACCUCAAAAUAAUAAUAUAAAAAAUUGCACUAAAUAUUGAAAUCAGAAUUUUUGAAUCCAAGGGGCAGUUAUAGGAUUUGGUGGACAUGGCCUACACACUAAAACCAUUCUUCUGAUAGCAAGUCAACUUACUUAUGGACAUUACCAGAUUUUUUGAUUCCUUGGGGCUCUUAUAGGAUUUGUUGAAGUGAGUAGAUAGGACCUACAUGCAAAAAUCUCUCUAUUGAUAGUAAGCCAACUUAUUUCUGAUUUGAAUUCUGCCACCUUUUGUUAAAAUAAACUCUUCUUUCUCAGUCUUCCGUAAGUGGCUGGUUAACCAAAUACUAUGUGCAUGAAGCCUCUGUACUUAGCUUUAGGUUUUGAGGUUUCUCAAAUAGCAGAAAACCAACCAGGUAUUGAGUAGAUAUCCUAGGAUCCAGAAAUGCAAUUGAUCUGAAAAGUACAUUCCACCGGUGAUGCAUCUGUUCAUUCUGCUAGAUGUUGAACUAGAAUGGUGCUUGCCUAGAUUUAGGUAUAUUAAAUCUUGGGAUGAAUAAUGUUUAGAAAAAUAGGGUGCUCACUGCUCAGUGUUAGUAAAUAUAUGUGCUUCUUACAAUUGAUCAUACUUUGGGCAGAUGUGAUAUGAAGUUUGUGCUCUUGGAGAUGGAUAGAAUAUUGCGUCCCAAUGGGUAUGUGAUAGUACGGGAAUCCAGCUAUUUUAUUGAUGCUGUUGCUACCAUUGCUAAGGGGAUGAAGUGGAGCUGUCAUAAGGAGGACACUGAAUACGGUGUUGAGAAGGAGAAGUUGUUGCUUUGCCAGAAAAAACUUUGGUACUCUUCUAACCAAACCUCUAGUUGAUGAAUAUAGAAAUCCUGGUCAUGAUACGGGACCUGGAGAACCGAAGCCAAUUAUAUAUGAUAAAUUCAUUUGGUAGAAGCAGAGAAAAUCAAAGAUCAAUACAACGCACAAAGAUUAAUUUGUGCCAUAGAAGUCAAGAAUCUUAAAAUUCAAAAUUUGUCAAUUGUAGCUAUUCAAUAAUAUGAUUUUGUUAAAUUAUACAGCAUUUUGAUAUAAAUAUAUUCUUUGUAAGGUAACGACACCGGGCUGUAUUUGUAUACCUUUUCUUUGGUCACCCACCUUUUAUCCCAAUUCCCAAUCUCUUAUUUCCCCUUUUUUUCUUGUUUCUUUUAUAUGGUGUAAAACUCAUGAUCAAAUCAGUGGAUGUAAGAGUAUGUGGUGAACUUUCAAGUCACAUCCUUGAUAAUUGUAAUAUUGUGUUAAAUGAAAUUUUCUGCUACUUACUGAAAUUUAGCUGUAUGAUGCCAUUGUAUUUAUUUAGUGAUUUUAGCUAUUCUUUAAUUAGUAUUGUAUUUAAAUAUCUGUUAUGAACAUAAGCUACUGCUUUUGCUUGUAAUCAUAUCAUAACUGAUACGGAAUUAGCAUAAAGCUAAUUUUUGUUCCUUCAGCUGGAAUCUCUACAAUUUGAACACAAUGAAUGGUGGUUGUUGAGACUUUGAAUGUUUACGAAUGGGUUUAAGGCUUGGUUUGCUAUUAAGGUAUUGUAACUUUUUAAGUUUUUUUUUUUUUUUUUGUUAAAAAUGCUGUAAUUAUAAAACAAGAGUUUAAUAUUAAGGCAUGAUAACUUUUUAAGUUACUAUUGAAAAAAAUUGUAAUUAUAAAAUAAAUGUUUAUAGUGUGUAAUAAAUAUAACUAUUAACUAAUAAUUUUAAAAAAAAGAUAUUAUAAGUUUUUUGUUAUAUAAGUGUAUAAUUAAAUUAACUUAGCAUUUAAAUCAUAUCAGUUAAAGUUUGCUAAAAGCAUUAACCUUUCCUCAAUACCAAAUGAAACCCAUAGUUAAAGAAGAUCGUUUGCUACAAUUAUAGAUGUAGAUACAGCCAAAUAAUUUAUGGGAAUGAUUAUAUUGGAGCUAUUCUAAGGUAGCGUACGCUUUCAUAACCACACAAUUAAAGUUAUAAUGUAUUUUUAUUAUUUAUCACUUUACAUGUGUGGCUGUGAUUUGUGCUCUACCUUAGAGCAGCUCCAAGGUAGUCAUUGCCUUUAUAUAAUCAAUAUAAGUAAGACAAAGUAUAACACUAAUAAUACCAUGAGAAUUUGGCCUUCGAAUUUCUAUUAUCUAUAAAUCCAUGAUGCAAAUUCUUGUUCAUUCCAGCGUUUUUUCAUUUGAGUGGAGACUUUUUUAGAGUCCACUUCUUGAAUUUUUUUUUUCACAUGUAUAAAUAUCAUUUCUCAAAAACCCCACGUUAAUUUCAAAAUUACCCUCAUCUCUUUAUUUAUUUUUAUAUGUUGAAUUCUCUUUCUAUUAACGUAUUAAAGUCGGUUUUGUAUUUAAGGAAAUUAAAUUUGUAUAUUAUUGUGAAUUUGUAAUUUUAGACAACUUAGGAUUCUAUCCAUAUUAAGGUUUUAGGAUUGUAUCUCUAUAUAUAUGCAGCCUGUUAAUGCAAAACGUGUGAAGAAAUUCUAUUCAUCAACUCGGUUCUUUAUUUUACAUCGUAUCAAAGCAUACCAGAUCAUAAUCUUUAUUAUUUUCUUUGAUUUCGUUUAACUCUCAUGGCAGACGGUCAAUCAUCAAAGAAAAUUGCCAAUCUUAACAAAUAGGAGGAUGAUGUCGUCCUCAUCCAUCCAUCAGAUAGCCCAACUGCCGUAUUGAUUUCUCCUUUACUCACUGUUGAUAACUAUGGUACAUGGGUAAGGGUAAUGACGAUUGCUUUUUGAACGAAGAACAAGCUCGUUUUUGUUGAUGGGACUAUAUCAAAGCCAUAUGAUGAUGAAGAGGACGGUGUAAGUGGCAACGUUGUAAUGAUCUUGUUGGAUCUUGGGUGCUAAACUCCAUAUCGAGUGAACUUGCGAGAAGUGUCUUGUAUGCACAAUUUGCUAGAGAAGUAUGGCAUGAUUUGCAAGAGCGUUUUCAACAGACCAAUGUGCCAAAAAUCUAUGAACUCAAACAGGCCAUCUCUAAUUUACGACAAGGAGAUGCAUCUGCUUCACUUUAUUAUACUCUAAUGAAGGCACUUUGGGAUGAGUUGAAUUCUCUACAAGUAGAACCACGCACUUGUGGGAAUGCAAAAACAGUCAAUCAAUUGUAGCAACUAGAUCGAGCUAUGGAGUUUCUUCAAGGUUUACAUGAUAGAUAUGCAGCAAUGAGGAGUCAAAUUUUGUUGAUGGAUCAUUUCCCUUAUGCAAAUAAAAUUUAUUCCCUUGUAAGGCGAGAAGAAAAACAACAAGAUCUUCAUGCUAUAGGGGGAUCUCUACUGUUUAAAUCUCUUUUUUAUUUACUUUUUUUGUGUUUAUAUAUUAAUUGUACGUCAGGUAAAUUCUCUUAUUUUCUUUGUAUAAUCUUUUGAUUUUCAUUUUUAAAAGAUUUGCCAUGUAAUGUAAUGAUUUAUAUAACGGAAACUUAUGAUUUGUUUUUCUUUUUGGUAUCAGAUCGCUAGUAAAUUGAGUUGGAGCAUAAGGCGUGCGGACAAAACACUAAAUUUAGUCAAUGUAUGGGUGCAAAUUUCUUAGUUUUAUAAACAAUUUGUAAAUAUUCAUUUUAAGAAUUUAAAAUGUACAUGGGUUUGCAAGCAGUAAGUGUAUAUAUGUAUGUGUGUAUAUAUAUAUAUGUGUGUGUGUGUGUCUGUAUUCAUGUCACUUGAGAAAAGCAUGUAGUUAAUGUAUUUGUAAAUGCAUGAGUCUAUUAAAGUAUAAAUUAGGAAUAAUAAGGUCGUACAUAUAAGAACUGUUAAUUUUUGGAAAAAUAAAAUUUAAUCUAAGUUAAUUAUAAUUCUACCUAGUUGGAAAGAAAAUCUUUUGUUUAAGAAAAUGAGAACUAAAUAGGCAAGCAAAUUAAGAAUUCAAGAGAUUAAGGCUACCAGUAUCUAAGAACAGUUCAACGUAACAAUGAUUUAAUUAUUAAUUACCUAAUUUUAGAACGACAACUCAAAAUCAAUCUAUAUCUACUGAUAAAUAUAACAAUUAAGUCAAGUAAUUUAAUUUCAUUUAGCCAUGAGCCCAUUAAUAAUAAAUCAAAAUAAUAUUUUACUUUUCUCCAAUUUGAUUUCUUUAAGCACAAUUUAUUCCAUAAUCUUCAAUAAAAUAAAUUAACCAUCUAAAACUAUUUAAGAGACUAACUAAUAUAAAAAUAUAGAGGAAAUAUGUUAAUAUAUUAUGCCCAUCACCAAUCAAACUUGGCACUAAUUGUUACAUCGAAUUAUUGAAUUAAUUUGCAAGAAAAGGAAACCUAGCCUAAUUGAUUGGUAGAAAUAAGCCACAAAUCAAUGUUGCUUUUCGAGAGAAAAAAGAGGCUCAAAAUUUUGAAAUAGUUGGAAACUAAGUCUUUUAUAGUUUUAAGGGACUUCAGAACUUUCAACAAAGAAGGGAAAAAUAAAAAGAAUUCUCAAGAAAAGAAGCUAGCCCAAAGUAGCCUGUCACUUUUUUCUCUCAUUGAUUCCAUUACAAUAUUGCAGGUUUUUUUUUUUUUGGAGCAUUGUUUCUUUGUUUGGGUAAACAAACAUAAUAAUGUGGUAUGCCAUUGCCUAUUUCUUCCCCACAUAUUCAGCUACAGUUCUGGGUGCUGGGCCUCACCCUGAGCCAGUGCUGGUUCGAUUGUCGAUUCUAUCAUUUAUUUUAUCUUUUAUCUUUUGUUUUUUCCCCACAAAUAUAGAGCAAUAACAACAAGCACACAUAUAUCCGUUCUUGCAAUAUGCUGUAAUUAAUAACUUGGCAAUUGUAAAAAAUUAUAAAAAUUGUAAUAUCAAAUGUUAUUUUUUAUUUUUUAAUAAAAAAGAGAUUUUGAGGAUUGCUACCACUACACCUUCUAAUGGGCUAAAUAGUGCUGCAUGUAUAACUCCUCCCUUUUAUACACAGAACACACCGUAUCACUACAGGCGAGAGCUUUUCAAAAACAAUAUAAAUUUCACUCUUAUUAAUUCAUGAGCACAAAAAGUUAAUUUAUAUAGGUAUUUAAAAUAUGAAAAAGAAAAUCAUACAAUUGAUAUAAUUUAGGAAUAAUGAUAGAUUAGUAAAUACUGAGUCAAUCAAUUUUUAUGUUAAUUAACAAUCAAAUUUUCUUAAUAACUAAUUAAGAUGGAAACAAUCAAUUAUUGACCGAUUGUUAAUAUUGCUUCAUUCUUAUCAAUAACAAAUAAAAUUGCCAUGUAAUAAGUAAGUAUUGAACUUGAGGAGCUUUAUUUAUAUUAUUGAUAAGUUAGGAUUCAUUCAUCCUAUCACUUUCUCUUUUUAAGUUCAUUGGAGGAUAAUAAUAUAGGAUUCAAUUGAAUUUAUUGUGAUUUUGUUUACUCAUUAGCCUAGCUAGCAUGCUAGUAAAGCAAUAAAUUGCAGCUGUUCGAUGGCGUUUUGACUUUGUUAAUUUGGAUGUCCCAUGACCUUGAAAUUUUAGUUUUCGAGACUAUUUUGUGUUUCUUUCAUUAAUUUCUCAUUCUGAGUAUAUUGGCAAGUGCAGCUGACCUUUGCAUGUGGCUUCAAAUGGAUGCUCUGUCAAGGUUUUUUUUUUUUUUUUUUUCAAUUAAUUUCUCAUUCUGAAUAAAGUUUACCAUCUAAAACCUAGAUAGCUGGUUGAUCUUGUGAUUUACUUACAUCAUUCCGCUGUAAGUACUUUUUAUUUAUCAAUUUUCUCCUGUUUUUUUAAGUAAUCAUGGUUAACUAUUAACUAUUUUUUUUAAGUAAUCAUGGUUAACUAUUAACUAUUAAAAAUUAUUAACUGUUUUUUUUUCUCUAUCUUCUUCAACUCUCUCUUAAUUAAAAAAGACCACUCUACCAUAUGCAUAUAGAGAGAGAGAGACAAAGACAGAGAGAAAGAAUUUUAUAUGCAGUUUUCUUUGCUUUUCUAAUAAUUUUGUAGUUAUUACUGGAAAGAGAAGACAACCACCGAAGGGCAAUAAUUUUAAUAUUAUUAUUAAACUAUGCUUAGAGGAGAUUUGCUCCCAUGAAAAAGACAAAAAAGGAGGAAAAAGGAAAGCAUGUUUUCUAUUUUGGGAAAAAGAAUUUUGUACAAACACAAAAGUUGGUGGUUUUUUAUUUUAUUUAAAAAGGGGUAGAAAAAUACUAAAAUUUGUGGUUAGAAUUUAAAUGGAGUGAUAAUCUGUGAUCAGUAAUUGAAGCCAAUAAAGAAUAAGCAACAAGAAGUGGGCUUGGUUUGGGGUUAAGUAAUAAUUCUUUUUCGAAAUAAAUUCAAAGAAAUGUAAUAACCCAAUUUAUCAUGUAGGGAAAGACAUGAAAGGGAUAAUUACAAAGUGAGCUUUUCUCAUAAAAAUGGGGCUACAAUAAUGUCAAGUCAAUAACUCUCUAAAAUUUUCAUCAUAAUAUAGUGUCAAUUAGCCAAAUGUAGAGCACAACAUGCAUGGGUCUCUCAUCAGAGUUUUUUUUUUUUUUUCUUCUAGUCCCAUAAUUAAUUGAGAGAUUCCGUGGUCCUGCUUCAAUUUAUUUUUGCUUAGGAAAAUAUAUUAAUUUUAUGUAAUUAUUUGAGAGGCAUGCUAUUACGACUGUUUCUAAAUAUAUUGGAGCAUUGUUUUCUCCAUUUUUUUUUUUUAACUUUGCAAUCUAAGGAAAAUAAGGGGACCGCGUUUUAUUAUUAUAUACGAGAAGAAUCGCCUUGAGAGCCAGAAACAAAAGAGAAUGUCUUUUGCCAUUUUGAAAUUAAACAAAAAAUAAAACAAAAAAAUUUGAAGAAUGAGAAAUAAAGAAUUAGAUUUAAAGCAGAUCAGCCACAAUUAAUAAAAUGAGUUUUAAGUGCCAAAUUUUGGGUCUAAAAACUAAAUAAUUACACUACUUCAAGCCAAUCAAAUAAGCAUCUUUUGCUAGUAAAUAAUAACAAUCCUGAAGAGUAAUAGUUAAUAGUUAACCAUGAUUACUAAAAAAAAAGAGCAAAUUGAUAAAUAAAAAAGUAUUUUCUAAACAUUCAGCCCACUACAUUCAUAAAAAAGAUGACAAAAUUUUUUUAUCACAUGCAUGAUCCGAAAUAUUAAUUACCACACAAAUGUAGAAUACAGCAAAGGAAUAACCAAUAAGCGAAAAGAAAAAGCAUAAAAAUCAUAAUAGAAAAUUAAAAAUUCUUGUCCUCCUGCCAAUGCAUGUGAUACGUUCUGGCAAUAUCCCAAAGUGAAAAAAUGUGAUCAUUUUGAUAUUUGUUUAAUUCAAGUAUAUGAAUUGACCUUUAAACUCUCUACUCCAGGCAAAGCCACGGCAACCUUCUCUCAUCACUCGCGUAAUUAAUUAAUUUAUUGGGCAUUGAUAUACUAAUAAUAAUAUUUUGAAUCUUAUCAAAGUGAUUUUGUUUGGAAAAAAUCCUGAAAUUUGUUCAGCAGCCUGAACCCAAAUUGCUCACUCCCACUCGCAACAUUGUUUCAUUGAUUGAUGAUCUCUAUAAUUUUAAUUUUGCUCUUUGUUUCUCACCUGUCACUGCGAUACCCUUCAAUCUGUCCAGCUAAAUCAUAAUAAGUAUGAAAAGCUUGAAAAUGAAUCCUAUCAACAAAAUAACAAUAAUUCAACAAUAAGAUCUAUUAUUGAACAUCUGCAGCACUGAAUCCAUUUGAGCAAAAGAUGAGUCCGAUUAGCCAACCAAACAAAAACCGCUUGAAGACUACUCUGUUGGAUCCUUGGGCAGUAAUUAGUUGUUAUUUGAAAACUAAAAAAUGCAGCAAAUUAAUUAAAUUGGCUUUUUGCAAGCUAGCUACCACCAACUAACAGUCAAUGGCUUGAAAGUUGAAGCCCCUACUCUUUUGCAUCAUCAAUUACUGAUAGAUUAAAUUUGAGCCGUGGGCUGGCAAUUUCCCAAUGUAUGUUUGAUCAUUUUCUCUCAAGAAAAAGAAAAAAGGUAUGUUUGAUCAUUUUCGUAUAAAAUUUUCUCUCAACUUUCAGGAAACUUCGUGGGCGUGAAGGAGAAGGACCCACGCCCCAGGUUUCAAUCAAUUUAACCCUUCUCUCUCUAUCCGCAUCAAAAGUCAGGGGUCGAUAAUAGUUAUACCAAAGUGCACCACCAAUGGCAGCCUUAAGUUCUGGUCACAACUUAAUCGUUGGUCUCGUUAUUUCUAAGAUGAAAUUCGAAUGACAUGAUAACCUAUAAAGAGCAGCGAUCACAUGGGCAUCUGUGAUGCUGCGCUGCUUGCAGGUUUCUCUUGAUGCCCUCAAUAAUGUGGCAAAUCAUUUACUCUUUUUAGUUGAGAAUUCUCUUUAUUUAAUAUCUUAAAAUUUAAUAUCUUACCCCUCAAAGAAAAGGAAGCCAAUGACCGGAGCAUGAGAUUAUCACUGAAGCUCUUUGAUGGCGCCUUUGCAUACCUGCAGUCAUAUCAGAAUUAGGUUGGUCCACGUAAAAUUUGAGGAAAAAAAAUCAAUUAUAAUGAUAAAUCUUUGUAGUUACUAUGCCAAGUUUGGUAUCCAUAAAUUAAUUAUGCAGUAAUGGUUGUUGCAUAAGAUAAGUCUCACUCAUUUUUGCCUGCCAACUGAAAAUAAAUUUAGAAUCGCGAUAAUUCGUAAUGGCCAAUGUCGUUGACGGUGGUGAUUCUGUAUUAGGGAUGCAGAAUUAAUGGUUAAAUUGAGCACGCUGAAAACUGAAGAUAAAUUUGCUAACUCUUCGAACCGAAUCAAAGCAAAUUCCAGAAAAUCCAAAGGAAAAAGACUCAAUAACAAGGAAGUAUAUUUCAGGAAAGCAAAUAAAAUAGCCGAAACAAAGGAAAAAUCACAAACAAACAUCAAGGGCAGAUCCACUCAAUUUUUGCAUCCAAACAAAUCACAAAUAAAUAGUUGAUUGGCUAUUAUCACGACAGUAUCUCAAAAGAGCCCCCAAAUCAAAGCCCACUAGUAAGAUCCAAUCAGAUGACCCCAUUCAAUUUCUAUAUUGGCUAAUUUGUGCAUGUGAAAACAGAGUACAAAAUUCUUCAUUGAGAAUAUCCAAGCAACUGAGAAAAGAUUCAGAACAUUUACCUUGUCAGGACUUCGUUGAACGGACGAAGAGAUUUUAACGGUGUAUCAGUGCAAGGAGACGAUGAAAGGAAACACUUGUAACCCUUUUUAGAUAAGCUAAAAAACACAUGAAUGGAAACACUGGCAACACUUGUAUAAGAGGACACCAGAAACCUUGCUGAAGAAGACUCCUGCUGGCGGGGUAUGUGGAGUUGGAAGGGCCAUAUUAGCACCAUAUCAGCGCAGAUGUAGCCUGUCCUCGCCUUCAUGUGAUGAUUGAGGAUACGCUACACGCUCUUCGUGACUGUUCCGUUGUCAAAAGGAUUUGGAAUGAGCUGCUGCCGAGUGUUGAUUAUGAUACAUUUUUUCUCUUUGCCCUUACGUGAACGGGUGUUCCAUAGUCUGAAAACUAAUAGUCAAAAGGGUAGCAAUGGGAAGUGGGCUUGCAUUUUUGGGGUAGCUCUUUGGAGAAUUUGGCACUGGCGUAACAAGUAUGUUUUUGAAGCUAUAAAUCCAAGUUUGUACAUCCAAAACUUUUGACGAUGAGUGUCGACGGAGCAUGGAAAGUCUCUUUUAAUUAAAAAAAAAAAAAAGAUCAGAAACAAAAAGAAAAAUAAACCACCACAAACUUUACACAAAAUCUUCUGGGCUCCCCAUCUCCAAAUCAACACAAACCCAUAUCUCCGAAUUUUCAAAAACAACAAUGUGAAUUUUUACUCAAGAGACCAUUCUAAAGAGACCAUUCUACUAUAUAUAUAUAUAUAUAUAUAUAUAUAUAUAUAUAUAUAUAUAUUGUAUAGAGAGAGAGAGAAUGCUAUAUUUAGUUUUCUUUGCUUUCGUAAUAAUUUUGUAGUUAUUACUGCAAAAGACGAGAAAUUCUAAAAUACAUCUUUUGUACUAUGUCAGCCAAAUAACAACAAAUAAUGUCAUAACAUGUGCGUAUUUAUUUUGUAAACUAUCAUGCAAGUGGUGGUUGUAUUAAACUCAAUUACACAUGUCAUACAUGUAUUAAUUGAUUGUUAUACAACAGAUAUAUUCUAGAAUUUCUCCUUCAAAGACAAGACAACUACCUCACACGUGGUGUGCCCAACUCAUCAUCUCAAUCAAGUUGAGAAUUUAUAUUUACCUCGUUGGUUUUUUUUUUUUAAACUCGACAUUGAUCACAUUUUGUUUGGUUAGUACCUGAAAUUUUGAACCCAGAAAGUGACUAAAUAGUAAAUAGGUGCCUUCAUUAACUCUAUACAUUCGUAUCACUUGUGGAACCAAACAAAUUGUUCAUGCUUAACAAAUAAAAAAAAUUAAGGAGCCAAAAAACAAAGUCAUCACACAACUAAUCCAACUAAACAACACCAUUUCUCAAUCCAUAUAAACCAACACAUUUACAAAAGAGCACAAUCCAAAUGAAUAUUGAACAAAUCAAUCCAUUGUUUAAUGAAAGUCGCAAAUCCACAAAUAAAGCUAAAAUGAGAAAGCCUAUCAUUCCAAUAGUGUUGAAAUAUACAAAAACAAAAUAUACCUUAUAACAUUGUAAGUAGCACUAAUGGCAAAGAAAAUCAACAAUAAAAUUCUCUAACCAUUUCAAGCCAUUUUUAUGUUUAACCCAAAAAAACAUAGUUGAACAAAUGGAAACAUUGAUUGAGUUCAUAAUUGACAAAAUUGAAAGCUCAUUUAAUCUCCAAUUCUCUCAUAAUUAUAAUUCACAAACAAUGUCCUAGUCUGUAUUUAAGCUUCAUUGGAUCUACAGAGUCCUAAAAGCUCAACUAAUGAAAUUGUUUAUCUAUAAUAUUUUCAUGGUGAAAAUAAAAGAAGAUUAUCAAUAAACAGAAUAACAGAACAUCAAUCCCAAAAGAAUCAAAUGAAAGAAUCCAUAUCUUGCUCUUGUUAAUGAAGCAAAAUUGCCAAAACUGUGAAAGACAUUUGCUACAACGCCGUAACAUUUCCGGAAAGAAGGGUUAGAGCCAUAAAAUCCUUGCAUAUUUACAAAAACACAUUAAAAUUAAAUCUCAGCUUUGCAAUAUCAUAAAUUAGUAACCAGUCUCAUCUGAAUUCUAUAGUAUUCAUACUUUUAGAUCAAUUUCUAGUAAGUUGUACGUUUAUGCUUGGCCUUAAUGAUUACCAUGGUCAGUAUAGAAUAAGUGAAAUAAAAUAAUUGAACUUAAAAGCACCUUGUUGGAAAUAAAUUGAUGCUAAAUUACUAAUGUUGGCCAACUGAGCCACUUACAAGACAAUUAGGCCCAAGAUCCAUGGUCAUGCUUAUUCCAUAUAUUUAAAAAAAAACUUGAUAAAACAAACCUGAACAGCCAAGCCUUCAUAAACAAGAAUUUAUAAAGCUAUAGAUAAUACGGAAUUAUAGUUAAGUUCAAUAUAUAAAAAUCUCCCAAAUGAAUCUCGCUGAGAGAUCUAUUAGAAAUCUCCCAAAUGAAUAUGCCACCCCUCUUGGUAGAGUCACUUUAAUAAUUGAAACUAAUAGUAUAUAGUACUAAAGCUAUUGGGAGCUUUCACAACAAAGAAUUACUAUGAUAAAAGCACAAUCCUUCCCAAUCAUGUCUAAAAAAAAAAAUACAUAAUUAUUGGUUAAGUGAUAGUCUAAUUAACUCUAAUAAAGCCAAUUUUAUUUUCAUAAAUUAAAACUCAAAACUAACUAAAAAAAUCUUCUUUUGAAGAAGAAUUUACAAAGUGCUUCUCAGAACCAAGUAUCUUUUAUUCCCUAAAGGGGGAAAAAAUACAAAUAUGAACGCAAAGUAACUGGAUACCCAAGAAAUUGGAUUAGUUCACCAAGAAACUCAAUUAUGCAAUAUAACCAAUGCCUUCAAUUAAAAGAAAAAUGAACUCAAAAGUACCUGAAUCCAGAAGAAGAUAUAAAAUAUUGCCCUUAACAGCUUAGCUGACCGAUUCAAUUAAUGAUUAAUUAGUAAUUAAGAAAAAUAAUCACACAUAUAAUAUAAACAUUUAUCUUGAACAACUGAAAAAAAAAAUUCAAAUUAUCAUAUAAGAUUGUUUAACAUAUUACAUCUAUCUCAUACAAGCCUAUCUUAUUUUCCCAAAUUCCAUUGCCCCACUAAUUCAUUUUAACCAGUAACAUGUAAUGUAAAAUCAAAUAAUAUGGCAUUUAGAUUAUCAUAUCAAAUGUGAAAUUGACAUUUAAGCAAAUAGACAAUAGGGAUAUAAACCAAAAAAAAAAAAAAUCAAAUAACAAGUAAAUGUUUCUUUAUUUUUGUCUAUAAUUUAGGGAUUCUUAGCUAUUUUCUUGUUAUUUGAAUAAAAUAGGAAAAUACCAUAAAUCAGGAAAGUAGAUACACUUUGAUUUUAUGGUCCUAAAAAUUAGCCCUAGAAUUGCUCUCUAGUUUUCCUCUUUAUUUCUACCGAUCACUGUGUUUUGAAUAAUAAGGAAAAGUUCUAUAGCUUUGUCUCUUUGUUUUUUCCUUUUUUGCUACAUGGUAUCAGAACUUUAGGGUUCGCCCAUGAAUUACAAAGUAGCCAUGGUUGGCUCUAAUUCGGCUUUCUCCGACGCUAACAGCACUGCGACAUCCUCUAAAGGGAUUUCUCAGCCAUCCCCAAUGGUGCCUGUUAGUGAAAACACUUUACAAAUAACCAUUCACAAGUUAAAUGGUAAAAAUUAUUUAGAGUGGUCGCAGUCUGUGCGUUUGGUGAUUAAUGGCAAAGGCAAACUUGGAUAUUUAAAUGGAGAAAUUCAACCUCCAGCUGCUGAUGACCCAAAAUUCCUACAGUGGCGAUCAUAAAAUUCAAUGGUUACCGUCUGGCUUAUUAAUUCCAUGGAACCUACUUUGGGAAAGCCGUUCAUGUUUCUGCCAACUGCUCGUGAUGUCUAGGAGGCUGUUAGAGAGACAUACUCUGACCUAGAGAAUCAUUCUCAAUUAUAUGAAAUAAACACUCGGAUGUGGCGGACGCAAUAAAGUGAUAGAGAUAUAACUGCAUAUUAUAAUGACAUGAUGAUUUUGUGGCAGGAAUUGGAUAUGUUUGAAGUUGAGGUGUGGGAGAGUCCAAAUGACAGCGCUCGAUACAAGAAAAAAGUUGAGCAAAGUCGAGUGUUUGUAUUUUUUGCAGGACUAAAUACAGACCUUGAUGAGGUUUGAGGACGAGUUUAAUUUGGGGCGAAAACCUCUGCCCUCUAUUAGAGAAGUUUUUUCAAAGGUUUGUCGCGAGGAAGCUCGGAGACAUGUGAUGUUAAAGCGAGUAGAGGAACCAAAGACUGAUCUUGAUGGUUUAGCCCUUGUAGCUCGUGGUAAUGAGCAACAAGGAGAUAGACGAGGAGGCAAACAAAGGCCAUGGUGUGAUCAUUGUCGGAAACCGUGGCAUACACGAGAAAGUUGUUGGAAACUCCAUGGAAAACUUGCAAAUUGGAAGGAGAAAUCAGGUGACGAUGCUCGGCCAGCAGGAGAUACUCGUGCUUUACAAGUUAGCACCACUAAUCUAGAGCAGCAGUCAUCCUCAGAAUCUCUUCCUUUUACUAAGGAACAAAUGGAGCACUUAUACAAGAUGUUUCAAUCCCAAUCCACAGGAAAUUCUAGUUCAUCUUGUUCUUUAUCCCAAUCAGGUAAUUUUUUCACCACAGCCUUUACCUGUAUCAAUCCAAACACCUCCUGGAUAUUAGAUUCUAGAGCAACUGAUCAUAUGACUAGGUCCUCGUAGUUGUUUUCUUCUUAUUCACCUUGUGCAAGAAAUCAAAAGGUCAAAAUAGCAGAUGGUUCCUUUGUAACUAUUGCAGGGAAAGGAAAAAUUAUUAUUUCUCCUCUUUUUACUUUGAAAGUUCUUCAUGUUCCUCAUUUGUCGUAUAAUCUCUUGUCAGUCAGUAAAUUAACUCGUGAUCAUAACUGUCAAAUUAAUUUUUGGUCCUCUCAUUGUAAAUUUCAGGAUUUAACCUCGUGGAAGACGACUGGGGAUGCUAGGCAAGACGGUGGCCUCUACCUCUUUAAUAAUGGUUCGAACUUUGGAAGGCAAAACUAGCAGACUUGUUUCAAUUCUAUUUCUAUUUUCAGUAACAAUGAGAUUAUGUUAUGGCAUUUUCGGUUGGGACAUCCAAGUUUUCAAAAUUUAAAAUAGCUAUUACCCAAAUUAUUCAUGAAUAAAAAUGCUUUCAAUUUUCGAUGCGAAGUUUGUGAAUUAGCUAAACAUCAUCGUGCUGUUUUUCUGCCACAACCAUACCAAAAAUCAAAACCAUUUACUAUGAUUCACAGUGAUGUAUGAGGCACUUCUAGAGUGGCAACCUUUUCUAGAAAACGCUGGUUUAUUACAUUUAUUGAUAAUUAUACUAGAGUUACUUGGGUAUUUUUGCUAAAAGAUAAAUCUAAUGCUGAAAGUGUGUUUAAAAAAAUUUAUACUAUAGUACAAACACAAUUUCAGACUCAGAUUAAGAUUUUUUGUAGUGAUAAUGGCAAAGAGUUUUUUAAUCAUGUGUUAGGGAAUUUUUUUGAUGAGAAAGGAAUUAUACAUCAAAGUUCUUGUAGCAAUACUCCACAACAAAAUAGAGUGGCGAAAAAGAAGAAUAAGCAUCUCCUUGAAGUUGCUAGGGCCUUGAGCUUCACAAAUAAAGUUCCAAAGUAUCUUUGGGGAAAAGCUGUUUUGACGACCAUAUUUUUGAUAACUAGAAUGCCUACAAGAACUUUGGGGUUUAAGACACCAAUAAAUCUUUUCAAUGAAUGUUUUCCAGCUUCAAGGUUAAUAAUAAGUAUUCCAUUAAAAUUUUUUGGUAGUAUUGCUUUUGUUCAUAACCAUGACUCUAGAAGAACAAAAUUCGAUCCAAAGGCACAUAAAUGCAUUUUUGUAGGCUAUCCUACAAAUAAAAAAAGUUAUAAAUGCUUUGAUCCAGUUUUGAAAAAAAAAUAUUUGUUUCUAUGGAUGUCACUUUCUUCGAAGGAUAAUCAUAAUUUUCAUUUUCAAGGGGAGAAAAACAAUAGUGAAAAUGAUAUGUGCUUAAAUGAUUCUGACUUAAACAUUGAAUUUGAUUGUAUUAAUAAUGAUGUUUUGCCUAAAGAAAAUGAGAAAGGGAAUCCAAAUGAAUUAACUGUUGAAAAUUCUAGACAACCUCCGUUAAUGCCAUCACAUAACCAAAAUUCUAGAAUGUUAGAGAUGUGCACGAAACGGUAUAAAGGUCUUGUGUAUUCAAAGGAGUACCUAGAACAAAAAAAAAAAGAAGAGGAACAUUGUCCUACAACAUCACCAAGAAUCUGACCAGAGGUUGGAUGAUGAAAAUUCUGACAAGAAUCCUCCAGGUAAUUUUGAGUUAAAUUCCUCAAAUCAAGAAGAUCUUCCUAUUGCUCUUAGGAAAGGUGUUAGGUCUUGUACUAAACAUUAUUUAUCCAACUUUAUUUCUUAUAACAAUGUAACCCCUUUCUUUCGUGCCUUUAUUUCACAAGUCUCUAGUGUGGUUAUUCCAAAUAAUGUACAUGAAGCUCUAAAGGUUCCUGAAUGGAGGGAGGCUAUUUUUGAGGAGAUGAGAGCUCUGGAGAAGAAUGCUACUUGGGAAAAAGUUAAUCUACCACAAUGAAAAGUUUUUGUUGGUUGUCAAUGGGUAUUCACUGUGAAGUAUAACUCUGAUGGGUCCUUAGAACGAUACAAGGCUCGACUGGUAGCGAAAGACUAUACACAAACUUAUGAAAUAGAUUUUUCUGAGACUUUCUCUCCAGUGACUAAACUAAACAUUGUUCGUGUUCUUUUGUCAAUUGCUGCAAUUCUUGACUGGUCUCUAAAUCAGUUAGAUGUAACAAAUGUUUUCCUCAAUGGUGAUCUUGAAGAGGAAGUCUGGAUGGAGCCUCCACCUGGUUUUACCAAGAAGUUUGUAUCCAAAGUAUGUAGACUUAAAAGAUAAUUAUAUGAUCUUAAGCAGUCACCUAGAGCCUGGUUUGAAAGGUUUACAAAGUUUGUGAAGAGCCAGGGCUAUAGCCAUGGACAUGCAAAUCAUACUCUCUUUACAAAAGUCUCCACCAAAGACAAGCUCUCGGUUUUAAUCGUUUAUGUAGAAGAUAUAAUUUUGACAAGAGAUGAUACAGAAGAAAUGAGCUGAUUAAAGCUGUGUUUAGCUAAGGAGUUUGAGAUAAAGGAUUUGGGGCAAUUAAGAUAUUUCUUGGGAAUGAAAAUUGCGAGAUCAAAAAAAGGUAUAGUGGUGUCACAAAGAAAGUAUACCUUGGAUCUCUUGAAAGAAACUGGUAUGAAUGGGUGUAAGCUAGUUGAUACUCCAAUUGAAGCAAAUAUGAAGCUUGGAGAAGUGAAAUGAGGAGUUCAUGUGGAUGCUGGCAGAUAUCAAAGGUUAGUUAGAAAGUUAAUUUAUUUGUCUCAUACUUGACCUGAUAUAGCUUUUGCUAUAAGUAUGGUAAGUUAAUUUAUGCAUUCUCCUUGUGAGGAACAUUUUAAAUCUGUGUUUCGAAUUCUUCGUUAUUUGAAAGCAACUCUGGGGAAAAGUUUGUUUUUUGGUAAAAACCAACAAAGAGGAAUUGAAGUUUAUACCGAUGCAGAUUGGGCAGGUUCAAUCACUGAUAGAAGAUCAACAUCCGGAUACUGCACUUUUAUAUGGGGUAAUCUAGUUACUUGGAGGAGCAAAAAGCAAAGUGUUAUUGCUAGAAGUAGUGCAGAAGCUGAAUUUCGUUCAAUGGCUCAAGGAGUGUGUGAAGUACUUUGGUUAAAACAGGUUCUAGAAGAACUUAAACAACCAUUUAGUCUCCCUAUAAGGCUGUACUGUGAUAAUAAACAGCUAUUAGUAUACCUCAUAAUUCGGUGUUACAUGACAGGACAAAGUAUGUUGAGAUUGAUAGACAUUUUAUAAAAGAGAAGCAUGCUGAGAUUGAUAGACAUUUUCUAUUCUUUCAUGUUAUUCAGAAGCUGCUAAAUAUGAUUGUUGGCGUAAGGCUAUGAAAGAAGAACUUCAAGCUCUUGAGGACAAUCACACAUGGGAUAUUGUUCAUUAUCCGACUAAUGUUAAACAUGUUGGUUUGAUGUCUGUAAGUUGAAGCGAUCACUUUAUGGGUUGAAGUAAGCUCCCUGGGCUUGGUUUGAUAAAUUUCGAUCCACCUUACUUCAAUUCUCGUUUAAGCAAAGCCAAUAUGACUCAUCUUUGUUUCUUUGCAAGACAUCUACUAGUAUUGUUCUUCUCCUAGUUUAUGUUGAUGAUAUUGUUAUUACUAGGACAGAUUUUGUCUUAAUUGCUCGGUUGCAACAACAUCUUCAAGCCUCAUUUCAUAUGAAGGAUCUUGGUCCUCUUACUUAUUUCUUGGGUUUGGAAGUUCAUUACGAUUCUUCAGGUAUUUCUUUGAAUCAACAUAAAUACACAUAAGAUUUGCUUAAAUUAACUGGUCUUCAUGAUGUCUCUCCUGUGGAUAUUCCACAAGAAGUCAACACAAAGAAUCGUAGUGAGGAAGGUAAACUCAUUUAUGAUCCUACUAUCUAUCAACAAUGGGUGGGAAGCUUGAAUUAUUUGACUAUUACGAGGCUGAAUAUUUCCUUUGUUGUCCAGCAAGUAAGUCAAUUGUUGUGCAAAUUUUAAUGUACUCGCAAGCGCACGAAUCUAUUGUAGUAUAGACUAAUGGUGACGAGUGUCGAUCCCACGAGGAGGUGGAUUUUAAUUAUAUGUAGAAUUAAUUUUGUAAAUGGGUGGUUGGAAUUGUGGUGGAAGUGAUUUAAAUUAUCCUAAAAUUGGAAUUGAAAUGGCGAUAAUAAAUUCUAAAAUUGGAAUUGCAAUGACGAGAGUAAAUUGAAGUGAAAUCUAUUGAAAUAACGUACUUGGGUAUCCGGAUCCGUAUCAACAUGCAUCAUGGGCUAAAUAAUCCGUAUUAAUGCCAAUUAAAUCAUGAGGGGGAAUCCACACCUCAUGAACCACGCUCUAAUCAAUAUGGUGCUAAGGGCUUAUCGUGCCAAAUAAUAAUAACCUUAUACUAGAGAGCCGGUGUAACCAAGGCGGUAUCUAGACAAGAUCAGUAUUAUUUGUCGACGAUAAGUCAAAUCAUCCACAAAAACUAGAGGGGAAAAGAAAAUAAAUUUACCAAAUAAAGCCCAUGACACAUGUUGAGACUUCACCUUCAACCCAAGCUUGAAAGGAAAUUAGCUACUCAUAAUUGAACUAGGGGCAAAAUGGGAAUUUAUUAAAAUACAAAGAAAAUACAAGAUGGAGAAGGAAUUACAGAAAAUGGAUCCCAAAAAUGGAUUCAGAGAUAUCAAAUUAGGGGGGGGAGGCCCCCUUUUUAUAGAUACAUGGAGUAAAUCAUGGCCAUCGGAUUAAAAACAGUUUGGACGCUCAGGAUUGCGCCACGUCAUCAGUCAACAGUCCACGGUUUGACCACGCGGAUGAACAGUAACACGGUUUGACCCGGAUGAACAGUAACGCGGUUUGGUUGAAAAUAAUCCUGUGUGAUGCAUGCACCGUACGUGAGAUUUUUCGUCCACUGAUAUGCUGCCACGUCACCAUCAACAGUACAUAAGAAUUUUAGCCCAACAGGAUCGUGACACCUCAUCAGUCAAUGCCACAUCAUCGGUCAAUGCCACGUCAUCGAUCCGUCUAUGUGAACAGUGUCGUGAACAGUAACGUAGACAGUACCGUAUACGUGAAUAGUACCGUACAUGUGAACAGUGCCAUUUUUCCUUUUAUGCUCCUCCUAAGGUUUUCGACCGUCCUGAGUUCAAAAGUGAUGUCCGUUUUGCCGUCUGAUCUCUCCUUUAUUGUGAAAUGACUAUAAUGCCCCUAAAAUACAUAAAAUACUUAAUUAAAAUAACACACACGUAAUUACAUCACAAGAAGGUUAAAUACAUAAAAGUAAGGGUUGUUAGUAAGACUUGAAAUGUAAAAUGACGGUUUUCUCCUUUAUAAAUAUGUAUUUUCUAACACUCAACACACCCCCCAACCAGCUUAUUGCUAGUCCCUAGCAAAUAAAGCGAAAACAAAAUUCAAAUUCAAAAUGAUUUUUUUUUUUUUUUUUUUUAGAAACACUCGUGUUUAUUCAAUCAGAUUAAUGAUAGCAAUCAAAUAAAAGUAUAAGCAUUAUCUCCAGUCUAAAGCAACAUCACACCCACAUCAACCAUCCACAUGAAUUAGCCCAGUAGACUUUGUUAUAGCUACUUUCAAGAAUGACAUGUCAAACCCCAAAAUCUCACUGGAAGUAGUGACACUCUCACAAAGAAAUUAAAACCCAAUAAACAUAGUCACUCCAAUGAAUGGUAAUUGAGAGAGAAAAUAAUAAAGAAAUGAUAUCACAUGCUCUCACCAAGAUGAAAUAAAUAUGCCCUCAGCUUAGAAAUAAUACGAUCUCAAGUCAAAUAAAAUGUUAGUCAACCCACUUUAUUUAUCUUUUUUUUUUUUUUUAUUAUGCAUCACUACAUCUUUUUAGCCCAUAUAACUAGCUUCUACUUCAAACUAUAGUUCCCUAAAAUCAAGAAGGACUUUUAUUAGGACGUAACGUAGGCUAGGGAUAUGGCUAACAAAGAAAGGAAAUAAGGAAAACAAAGUGUAUGUUUGAGAAAAAUGCAGAAAUUUUUUUUUUUUUUUUUUUUUUUUUGGAAGUUGCAAGGUGGAUUUCACCUAUUAUUGUUAUUUUUAUUCUUUUGAAACAACAACUUUGGUUUUUGUUUUUUUUUUCUUUUUGCUUUUAUUUGGCAUAACUUCACUGAACAACAUAAUUAUUUACAUUUUCUCAAACAUAAAUAGGUGAUGGAACUUAAAAGACAUUGGGUAAUACUCCAAAUCGGAGUGGGUCAAGAUGAUAAGUUGACAAAGAAAAGGUUUUUGUUCUUUUUUUUUUUUUUUUUUUUUUUAAAGGCUCAAAAGGGGUAACUAUGGAUAUUUAAUAAAAGGGAUGGCUAGAAAGGCUCAAACGGAUCAAAGAUGGCCUUUCCAUCGUCUUUUAGGGCUCUAAAUAAUUAUCCAUAUCUACUAGUUAGAUGAGCCUCCCAAUGUAGCAACACGCAUUUUUUUUUUCUUUUUUUUUUAAUUUUACCAUAUUUUUUUUUUUAAAGGGUUAACUUAAAAGAAAUCUAGAGAUCGUGUAUAAAAUAAUAAACUGCUAAGCUGUAUAGAGAAUGGGCAAAAGGGUUACUCUCCAAGAAAAUGAUAGGCUCAACAACUCACUUGGCACUUAUUUAUGACAUGUUCAUUCCUUCAAGCAACUCAUAUUUGUCUCCGACAUCAACAUGUAAAGUAGCAAACAUAGCGUAACAUCACUUAAGACCAAAGAUAAUACAAAUACUAAAAUUUGAAAUUAAUCAUGUCAUUCAAUGUUAAAACAAAUCACACAAAUAUAUAUAUAUAUAUAUUUUAAACAACAUUCUACCCCCCAACCUAUUCUAAACAUGAAAGGAAAAUAUGUAUGCAGAAAUGUGAAAAUGAUGUAGAAAAAUUAAUUAGAAAAAGAAUUUUUUUUUUUUUUUUUAAACUAAGAAGAUGCGUUUCUAGAGGCACUACACUCCAUAUUCAGCCAUCUUCGACUCAAAAAUUUGAAACUACAUAUUUAUAAAGGAGAAAGAGGAAGAAAACAUGUUUUUUUUUUUUUUUUUUUUAAACGAUGAAGAUGCGUUUCUAGAGUAACUACACUCCAUAUUCAGCCAUCUUCAACAUAAAAUGUUAGCAACAAUUAGUUUCUACAACAAAAAAUUAGUAAAAACUUAACCAAGAUUCCACAAUCGUCGACUAUUCCCUCCCCCCAACCAGAACGAAACAUUGUCCUCAAUGUUUUAAAGGAAAGAAGUAGAGUUUAGAAGACAUCACCUGGGUGGUGCAACACAAAAGAAAAUAUUUACAGGCGGAGAGUUAAAUCUAAUUUGUACUUCUUACUGCGGCUACUGUUACCAUCAUUAUUUAGUCGCUCCAACACAAAGGUCCAGGGGUCUGGCUCCGGUUUAUAAGCUUGUAACAUAUCAAGUAGCUCAUUAGCAGUGUGAGCACAAAUAAAGAGUUUUUUCACAUUAGAAGGAAUGAAAUAGUUUUUUAUUGCAUGGUUAAGAAAUGCGAUAAAGCCAUCAUAAAAGUUAUUGACAUUUAACAAACCGAUGGGUUUCUGGUGGAUGUGCAGAUGGGCCCAAGAUGCUAGUGUCAUAAGUGCCUCUAGUGUUGCAAGAUCUCCUGGAAGGAAAAUAAAAGCAUCAGCAUGAUUAAGCAUUUCAGUUAUUCUUUCUUGCAUACCUGAGACGACUAAGUCUUCUCCAGUUGAUGAGUCAGACGAACUGCCCAAUGGUUUUAGGACUCUUGGGAUGAUGCCUAACACUUGACUUCCUCUGAUAAAAGCUGCUUCUGAGACCAUUUUUGAUAACCCUCGGUUACCUCCUCCAUACACCAAGUGUAAUUUUCUCUCUGCUAUGCUUCGACCAAGAUCUAUGGCUGCCUCAACGAACUCUUUAUGUUUGCCAUAGGUAAAUCCAGAAAGCACACAAAUGUUCUUGAAUUGUCUAUUUGGAGUAGCUGUCAUUGUGAUACUUCUCAAAAAAAAUAAUUUGUGAGUGCUUGACAAAAGAUAUCACAUUUAAGAGGCUUGGUGAUAGUGGGUCAUGGUUGUGUAUGAGGUAAUGUGUCAGUGUCAAAUAACGCGUAAAGCACGUGGCUCGCAAGUCAAAAAGAAAACAGUAAAAAAAAGAAAAAGCAAACAGUAAUAAAAUUAUUAAAGACAAUAAUGCAAAAAUAAGACAAUAGGGAAAUAAAAUAACAAUAAAGUAAAAGGAUAUUUACAGGUAGUUGCGACUGUGGCUCACAUCUUCCUCUGGUUUUACGUCCAGAAACGGCUUGAACGCCCUCUAUGGGUCGAGGAUCGGCUUCCCAUCCAGUUUUCUUAUAAACUGACAAACAGGGUCGUUUAUAGUCAGAUUCCCGAGACUAUAUCGUGCAUGCUCUUUCUGGAAUAAUGGCCAUAACCGGAGAAUCGCUCCUUGCACAUAUCCACUGGGAUGCGUUUCAAGAGACAGAAGGAUAUCAUCCAAUGACUCCUUAUUCAAGCCAUCCCUAAUGAAUUGAAUCUUAUCUUCCCUGUUAUCAGACACCAUUCCUAAAGAACAUGGGUUUUUAUCGCAACUCAUUCUGGCACACUUAUGACAAGCAACAGAAAUUCUUCGAGCUCGUCGUUUUCUUGCGUAAUUGCCUUUACCACAACCAGGCAUGUAUGCAAUAAAUUUAGGAGGUAACUCACCUGCUAAUCGUACUUUAGCCUCGAUUAACCAACGGAUGUCUGCAGGUAUGUUAUUCCUCAUGAGCAAUCGCAUGCGUUCAGACCGGGCUUUAUAGAUUGUAAGGAGGGCAUUCUGAGGAAGUGAAGGGAAUCGCUUGUGAAGCUUUGCUAAAAUCUCGUUUCUAUCCAUACCUUCGCCUCAGAAUAUCAGUUAUUAUGGGAAACUGAAGUUAACCGACUUGAUUGUCACGGAGUACCGUUAUCCGCCACUUCACCGGGGUAACAAACUAAAGCACACAAACAGAAAAACAAAUUAAAACACACAAAGAAAAUUAAAAUCGUCCUCUUAUUGAAUUUACCUCAAGCUCCAACUGGAUGUCGUAAACACUUCUCUCAAUGUCUCUGAGUUGGCGUUCUAAACCCUCAACAUAGGCUACUAACUCUGGUGGUUGUAGAGCCCAAAUGCGUUGUGUUUUACAAAAUAGAAUCUGCCUUUUGAGAUGAGUUUUGACACGUUGAAGUGAUUUAAGAAUGUUCAGGAGGAACGGUCUAAGUAUGAGACUCAUGAUUAAAAAUGAUAAGAGAAAACUUAAUUGUUAAACAAACACACUUAUGCAAAAAUAAUUUCAAUUAGCAAAAGAAUAAUAAAAAGAAAGAAAGAAAAAUCAAAUCAAUAAAAAGAGAAAAAAAAAAAUUAAUUCAAAUCUGGUGGGUCACUCAAAUUUAUUUCGGUGUCUUCUUCAUGUGGUUGGUACUCUAGAUAUGGCUUUAAUCUUUGACCAUUAACUUUAAACGUGACACCGUUCUUUGGGUCUUUAAUUUCAAUUGCCCCAUGUGGAAAAACAGUAUGAACAAUAAAGGGACCAGACCAUCGAGAGCGUAACUUACCUGGGAAUAGGUGCAAGCGAGAAUUGAAUAAAAGUACUUUCUGACCUGGAGUGAAAGAUUUUCUCAUAACGUGCUUGUCGUGGAAGACUUUCAUCCGCUGCUUGUAAAUUUUGGCAUUUUCAUAUGCAUCAUUGCGAAUUUCUUCAAGUUCUGCCAGUUGUAAUCUUCUCUCUGAGCUGGCUUGCUGCAUGUCAAAGUUGAAUUUCUUGAUGGCCCAAUAUGCACGAUGCUCGAGUUCCACAGGUAGGUGGCAAGCUUUUCCAUACACUAGCCUGUAGGGUGACAUCCCAAUCGGGGUCUUGAAAGCCGUUCUAUAUGCCCAUAAUGCAUCAUCAAGUCGUAAUGACCAAUCUUUCCUGUCUGGCCUCACCGUUUUUUCUAAUAUGUGCUUGAUUUCUCGAUUGGAGAUCUCAACUUGGCCACUGGUUUGCGGAUGAUACGGGGUCGCCACUUUGUGUGUGAUUGAAUACUUUGUCAAAAGAGCUUUGAAUGCUUUGUUACAAAAGUGGGCACCACCAUCACUGAUUAUCGCUCGAGGGAAUCCAAAGCGUGAAACAAUGUUGCUUUUCAAAAAUCCUAUCACCACUUUGUGAUCAUUGGUCCUACAUGGAAUUGCUUCUACCCAUUUCGAGACGUAGUCAACACCAACCAAUAUGUAUUGAUGGCCAAUAGAAGGGGGAAAGGGUCCCAUGAAGUCGAUACCCCAUACGUCAAAAUCUCAACCACUAAAAUUGGAUUUAGUGGCAUCAUGUUUCUUCGUGUAAUGCUCCCCAUUCGUUGACACCUAUCACAUGAAGAACAGAAAGUGUAAGCAUCUCGAAAUAUAGUUGGCCAAUAGAAACCACAUUGUAAAACUUUAGUCGCUGUUUUCUUAGCACUGAAAUGGCCUCCACAAGCUUGUUCAUGGCAGAAUGAAAGGAUAUUCUGAAUUUCACUUUCUGGGACACAUCGUCUAACAAUUUGAUCCGCACAAUACUUGAACAAAUACGGGUCAUCCCAAAAGAAAUUCUUUAUUUCUGCAAAGAAUUUAGCCUUAUCUUGCUUGGUCCAAUGCUCUGGGAAUUUACCUGUAACAAGAUAAUUAACUAUAUCAGCAUACCAAGGUAAUACUUCCACAUUCAUCAAUUGUUCAUCUGGGAAUGACUCAUUUAAUGGUAAUGGCUCUGUAAUUGUGUCAAAAUGGAGACGAGAGAGAUGGUCCGCCACGACAUUUUCUGUGCCUUUCUUAUCUUUGAAUUCCAAGUCAAAUUCCUGCAAAAGUAAUACCCAACGAAUUAGUCUAGCUUUUGCAUCUUUCUUUGUGAGAAGAUAUUUAAGAGCAGCAUGAUCUGUGAAUAUAAUUAUUUUAUAACCAAUGAGAUAAGAUCGAAAUUUUUCCAAUGCAAACACUACUGCUAGCAUUUCUUUUUCAGUAGUUGAAUAAUUCAACUGUGCAUCAUUCAAUGUCAUACUAGCAUAGUAAAUAACAUGAGGAAUUCGGUCAUCUCUUUGUCCUAAAACUGCUCCUACUGCAUAAUCAGAUGCAUCACACAUAAGCUCAAAUGGUAAGCUCCAGUUUGGGGCCUGAAUGAUGGGUGAUGAUGUCAACAAUUGCUUUAAUUUUUCAAAAGCCAUAAGACAUGAAUCAUUAAAGAUAAAAGGUACAUCCUUAGCAAGUAAAUUGCAUAAGGGUCUAGAAACUUUGCUAAAAUCUUUAAUGAAACGUCUAUAGAAACCAGCAUGCCCAAGGAAAGAUCUUACUUCUCUGACUGUUUUAGGUGGAGGAAGAUUAGAAAUGAGAUCCACCUUGGCUUUGUCAACCUCAAUACCUUUGCUCGAAAUGAUGUGACCGAGAACAAUACCUUGUUUUACCAUAAAAUGGCACUUCUCCCAAUUCAAGACUAAGUUCUUCUCGGUACAUCUCUGCAGAACUAGCGUUAGAUGAUGUAAACAUUGAUCAAACGAGUCACCAAAGACAGAAAAGUCAUCCAUAAAGACUUCAAGGAAUCGUUCAACCAUAUCAGAAAAAAUGCUUAACAUGCAUCGUUGAAAUGUAGCAGGUGCAUUACAUAAUCCAAAUGGCAUUCUCCUAUAUGCAAAUGUGCCAAAAGGGCAAGUGAAAGUAGUUUUCUCUUGAUCUUUUGGUGCUAUGGGAAUCUGAUUAUAUCCUGAAUAGCCAUCUAGAAAGCAAUAAAAUUCAUGGCCUGCUAAUCUAUCAAGCAUUUGAUCAAUAAAUGGUAAAGGAAAAUGGUCUUUACGUGUGUCAGAAUUCAACUUUCUAUAAUCAAUGCAUACACGCCAUCCUGUAGUUACUCUAGUUGGUAUCAAUUCAUUAUCAGCAUUGGUAACUACUGUGACUCCUGACUUUUUGGGGACAACUUGUACAGGACUGACCCAUGAACUAUCAGAAAUUGGGUAAAUGAUACCUGCGUCUAAUAGCUUAAGGACUUCUGUUCUAACAACUUCUUUCAUAUUAGGAUUUAACCGACGUUGCAUUUCCCUAGUAGAUUUAGCAUUUUCAUCAAGGUGAAUGUAAUGCAUGCAGUCUACUGGAUUUAUACCUUUUAUGUCCGCUAUGGUCCAUCCUAAUGCCCCUUUGUGCUCUUUCAAAACAUCCAACAACUUACCUUUUUGUUCGUUAUUUAGGGAUGAUGAGAUGAUUACCGGUAGAGUGCUUUCUUCUCCUAAAAACGCAUAUUCCAAUGUGUUGGGUAAUGGUUUGAGCUCGAGUUUCGGUGGUGAUUCUGAUGAUGGGAUGAGUUUCUUCUCUGAUGGUGCUAGUUGUUCAACUCUUGACUUCCAUUUAUUAGUGUCCAUGGAUGGUGCUGAGUCAAGUAGGGCGUUGACCUCUUCGACCGAUCUGUCAAUAUCAAAAUUCAAACCAAAGUGAGUUAAACAUGUUUGUAAAGGAUCAUCACUAAGGUUUGAAAGAAAAGUAUUAUCAACUAUUGUUUCUAUUAAAUCCACAUCAACAAUUCCAUCAUCUGCAUUAUGAGGUUGUUUGGCAAUGUUGAAGAUGUUCAGCUCCAUAGUCAUGUUGCCGAAAGACAACUGCAUAUUUCCAGUCCUGCAUUGAAUGUGAGCAUCCGCAGUUGCCAAGAAAGGUCGGCCUAGAAUAAUGGGGAUGUGAUUCCUUGAAUCCUGUAUUGGUUGAGUGUCAAUUACAAUGAAAUCAACAGGAAAAUAAAACUUGUCUACCUGGAUAAGCACGUCCUCCACAAUACCACGAGGUAUUUUCGUGGACCGAUCUGCAAGCUGUAACACCACUGGAGUUGGGUGUAAUUCUCCCAGUCCAAGUUUCAAAAAUACUGAGUAAGGCAACAGAUUUACACUAGCUCCUAAAUCCAACAAAGCAUUCUCAAUUGUGUGGUUCCCUAUGCUACAUGAAAUAGUGGGGGAGCCUGGGUCUUUGCAUUUUAAAGGAAUUUUAUGUUGGAGUAUAGAACUAACGUUUUCUGUUAAAAAUGCCUUCUUUUGAACAUGCAUAUUUCUCUUUUUAGUACAAAGAUCUUUAAGAAACUUGGCAUAAGAUGGAACUUGUUUAAUAGCAUCAAGUAAAGGGAUGUUAACACUUACCUGUUUGAAGAUUUCAAGAAUCUCACUUGUGGAUUUUCCCUUUUUUCCUUUCGCUAACCUCUGAGGAAAUGGAGCUUUUGGAACAUAUUCUCGUGGGUUGGUUUCUUCUCUCUCCUCCGGUGAUGAGUCUUCAACAUUCACAGGUACAAUUUGAUUUUCUUUUGUCACCGGCAUCUCCACUUUGUUGUCGACUUCUUUUCCUUUUCGCAAGGUCAUGACUGCUUUGACCUCUCCAUGCUGCUGUGGUGAACUAGUACUUGCUUCAUGUACUCCUUUAGGAUUAGGCACUGGUUGACUUGGAAACUUGCCUUUCUCAACAGUCAUUGCCAAUGUCUGAACUGAAGAAGCAAGUUGUCCCACCAUCUUCUCGAGGCUUGAAACUGAUUGGGCUUGUGAGUUGAAGCCUGCUCUCAACUCAUUUCGUAGUCCAUCAAUGGUGCGAUUCUGUUGCUCAAUGGUAGAAUGAGUAACAUUCUUGAAAUUCUGGAAUGCAUCCUCCCAUGGUCUAGGUUGAGAGUAGUUCUGGUUCUGAUUGUAUGGUCUGAAUGGUUGCUGAGAGGCUUGAGGAUUUUGAGGAAUUUGUUGCAUUGGUGGAGCUGGAGCUGCUGGUCCAUUCUGUUGGAAUCCUUGAGACCAUGAAAAAUUGGGGUGGUCUCUCCAUCCAGGAUUAUAUGUGUUGGAGUAUGGGUUGUAAUUCGAUGGUUUUCUCAUUACACCUAUGGCAUUGGCUUGAUCUGGAUAUGAGUCAGGGUCAUGUGGCUCUGUUGAUUUAGCAGUCGAUAACGAUGCUAUUUGUCGAGAGAGACCUUCAAUUAUUGCUUUGACUUCUUUAAUUUCUGAAGUUGACUCGCUAAUUUGAACCUCAUUUACUCCCUUAAUUCUUCUAGUAUUCCUGAGUGAUCGACUCCGUUGUUGGGAAUUAUCCGCUUGUCGCUGGAAGAAUUCUCAAAUCUCUGAUGCACUUUUUGACAUUAGCUCUCCUCCACUUGUUGCCAUUAGCCAUUCUUGCACAUUCGGCAAUAAUCCCUCCAAAAAGUAUUGGCAUUGAUGCCAUUUUUCGUACCCAUGAUGUGGACACUUCAAGAGUAGCCCAUUGAAUCGCUCCCAAGUUUCGAAAAAACUGCUCGUCCUCUCUUUGUGUAAACUCUGAAAUUUCCCUGCGAAUAGAAUUGGUUUUAUGCACUGGGAAAUAUUUAUUUAGAAAUUUUGUAACCAUUUGUUCCCAUGAUGCAAUGCUAUUAGCAGGCAAAGUAUUUAACCAUGAACGAGCUCUAUCCUUUAAAGAAAAUGGGAAUAAUCUAAGUUUAACAUCAUCGUCUGAAAAAUUUUCAUAUUUAAAAGUUUGACAAAUGGCAUGAAAAUCAUUCAGAUGAUUAUAUGGGUCCUCAUUUUCUAGGCCAUAGAAUGUGGGGAGACAAUUUAGCACACUAGGUUUUAAUUCAAAACUCCUAGCAGCUACAUUUGGAUAUCUAAUACAUGAUGUGCUCAAAUUAGCUAAGGGACUAAAAUAGUCCUUAAAUGGCCUCUCCUGUGGUUGCAAAUCCAUUUUAUUUUUAAUGUGUUUGUGUGUGCGAAGUGUUUUUUCUAAUUCAAGGUCUAUAGGUUCAAGAUUAGGUAAUAAUGACCUACGACCAUGCAUGCAAAAUAAAAAAAAUAAAAAUAAAGAUGCAAACAAAACAAAAAAUAAAGAUGAGAACAAAACAAAUAAAAAUAAAGAAGAGGGAGAAAUUACGAUACUAACCUUAUUACGCUGUUACAACCUUUCUAUAAAAAUACACAAAAACAAAUACGUGAAAUAAAUUAACUAAAAUUAAAUUAAUAAAAUAAACAAAAAAAUUACAAAGAAAGAAAAAAAAUAAAUUGAAAAUUAAAUUACAAAAUUUUAAAGAAGAGAAAAAGAAAAGAAAUACUAACCUUUAAUUUUAGAUUCACUUUUUUUUUAAUAAAAAAAAAUUACAAAAAACAAUUAAAAGAAAUUAAUCACAAAAAUUAAUUCUACGAAUUAAAAUAACUUACCUCCCCGGCAACGGCGCCAAAAACUUGUUGUGCAAAUUUUAAUGUACUCGCAAGCGCACGAAUCUAUUGUAGUAUAGACUAAUGGUGACGAGUGUCGAUCCCACGAGGAGGUGGAUUUUAAUUAUAUGUAGAAUUAAUUUUGUAAAUGGGUGGUUGGAAUUGUGGUGGAAGUGAUUUAAAUUAUCCUAAAAUUGGAAUUGAAAUGGCGAUAAUAAAUUCUAAAAUUGGAAUUGCAAUGAGGAGAGUAAAUUGAAGUGAAAUCUAUUGAAAUAACGUACUUGGGUAUCCGGAUCCGUAUCAACAUGCAUCAUGGGCUAAAUAAUCCGUAUUAAUGCCAAUUAAAUCAUGAGGGGGGAAUCCACACCUCAUGAACCACGCUCUAAUCAAUAUGGUGCUAAGGGCUUAUCGUGCCAAAUAAUAAUAACCUUAUACUAGAGAGCCGGUGUAACCAAGGCGGUAUCUAGACAAGAUCAGUAUUAUUUGUCGACGAUAAGUCAAAUCAUCCACAAAAACUAGAGGGGAAAAGAAAAUAAAUUUACCAAAUAAAGCCCAUGACACAUGUUGAGACUUCACCUUCAACCCAAGCUUGAAAGGAAAUUAGCUACUCAUAAUUGAACUAGGGGCAAAAUGGGAAUUUAUUAAAAUAUAAAGAAAAUACAAGAUGGAGAAGGAAUUACAGAAAAUGGAUCCCAAAAAUGGAUUUAGAGAUAUCAAAUUAGGGGGGGGAGGCCCCCUUUUUAUAGAUACAUGGAGUAAAUCAUGGCCAUCGGAUUAAAAACAGUUUGGACGCUCAGGAUUGCGCCACGUCAUCAGUCAACAGUCCACGGUUUGACCACGCGGAUGAACAGUAACACGGUUUGACCCGGAUGAACAGUAACGCGGUUUGGUUGAAAAUAAUCCUGUGUGAUGCAUGCACCGUACGUGAGAUUUUUCGUCCACUGAUAUGCUGCCACGUCACCAUCAACAGUACAUAAGAAUUUUAGCCCAACAGGAUCGUGACACCUCAUCAGUCAAUGCCACAUCAUCGGUCAAUGCCACGUCAUCGAUCCGUCUAUGUGAACAGUGUCGUGAACAGUAACGUAGACAGUACCGUAUACGUGAAUAGUACCGUACAUGUGAACAGUGCCAUUUUUCCUUUUAUGCUCCUCCUAAGGUUUUCGACCGUCCUGAGUUCAAAAGUGAUGUCCGUUUUGCCGUCUGAUCUCUCCUUUAUUGUGAAAUGACUAUAAUGCCCCUAAAAUACAUAAAAUACUUAAUUAAAAUAACACACACGUAAUUACAUCACAAGAAGGUUAAAUACAUAAAAGUAAGGGUUGUUAGUAAGACUUGAAAUGUAAAAUGACGGUUUUCUCCUUUAUAAAUAUGUAUUUUCUAACACUCAACAUCAAUUCAUGCAACAUCCCCGUCAUUUACAUUUAGCUGUUGUUCGUCGUAUCCUCUAAUACCUUCGCGGGACUCCUAGCCGUGGAUUGUUCUUUCCCGCUCGUUCUUCUCCUUAUCUUGUUGCCCAUUGUGACGUUGAUUAGACUGGCUGUCCGGACACUCGAUGAUCUGUCACGGGCUGGUGCACGUUUCUUGGGAAUUCCUUGAUUUCUUGGAAGAGUAAGAAGCAAGAUCGUGUUUCUAAAUCUUCAACUGAAUCUGAAUACCGUGCUAUGUCCGCUGCUUGUUCAGAGAUUAUUUGGCUUCGUGGACUUCUAGCCGAGCUUGGUUUCUCUCAAUCCAAUCCUACUUCACUCCAUGUUGAUAACACUAGUGCUAUUCAGCUUUGCUACAAGCCCAGUUUUCCAUGAGCGCACUAAGCAUAUUGAGGUAGAUUGUCAUUAUAUUCGCGAAGCUUUGGACACUCGUAUUAUUUAUCGUCCUCAUAUUUCCACUACUCUCUAGAGAGCUCUCUAGAGAGCUGAUGUAUUUACCAAGGCUAUGACACGAAAGCAUCAUCAAUUUCUUGUGAGCAAAUUGAUGCUUCUUGAUUGACCAACAUCAAUUUGAGGGGGGAUGACAACAUAUAUCAAGGCAUAAAUUAUGUAUCAUAGCUAUAUAUAUAUUGUAAUUAGGAGUAUUUGUAAUUUCCUUGUUUACAUAGAUCUAAUUGCUAGAAAUUAGCCUAGAUUUGGUUGAUGUACUAGCUGAAAAUCAGCCUUGUAAAUCUCUAUAGUUUCUAUAUAAUGAGAGGAACUCUCACAAUGAGAGACAUUCAAUCCAAUUGAUAAGAAGAACACUUGCCAAAAAUUUCUUGCAUUGCACAAAUGCCUUCAGCAGCUUCAAACCAUAACCAGUAACCACUGUAAAAUUUUAAAAAAAAAAAUCAGAUUAUUAAACACAUGGUCCCAAACAAUUAAAUCACUAAGAAAAUAACUUAACAAACCUCAUCAAGGCCAAAAUCACAUCUUUUUCCUGAAGGUCACCGAAAUCCCCAUCAAACUUUUUAUGCAAAGUGACACAAGAGGUUACAUUUUUUUUUAAAAAAAAAACCCACUAGAUCGUGGAUAUUGAAAUAGAAAUUGAAGAGCGAAGACAUGAAAAAUCAGUGUAGAGUGGAGAUUAGAGAUCGAUAAGCACUGAUUUGUUUUUUAAAGAUAUACGGUAGCGAGAGUUGAGAGAAAGGAAAGAAAGAGAGGGAAUUGAAGAUUUUUGGUUCUCAUGAAGUAAAAUAUGAAGUAUUUAUACUUUUAAUAAAAAAAAAUUAAAAUCUUCAAUUUUACAGAUUAAAAAAAUAAAUUUUGUUCAAUAUUUCAUUUAGGAGCAGUUUGCCCACGAAAAAUUUUUUCAUGUCAUUUUAAUUUACUUAUCUUAGUAAAUUAAUUUAAUAGAAUAAUAUUUAUUUGUAUAAUUUGUAUUAUAAAUGCUACUUAUUUUUAAUUGCUAUAUUUCAGUGACUCUUGAUUUUAUUAUCUAAAGAGUUGUAAUUAUGUAAUGUUUAAAAUUUAUAACGGUAAAUAUAAUAAAUACAAGAUUAUUUAGUUGUAUUAAAAUUGUAAUUAUGCUUGUGGAUGGCACAUGGUUAAGGGUUUGAAUCCCAUGUGAGGAGGAAAUUAAGUUGUUACUAUAUUAACUAAUAAAAUAUAAUAAUAUAUAUGUCACAUUGGUAAUUACAUUGUGAAUUUAUGUCACUAUAGUCAUGGGGCAUAAUUGUCCAAAAAGAUGUAUAUGUAGAUUAUAGACUAUAUACACAUUCUAAUAAUAAAAAUCUAAUAUUGAUAAUAAGUAUCAUAGUUGAGUUCUUUUUAAUCAAUGGUUACUAACAACAUAAAUAAUAAGUUUAAUACUAUAAAUCAUUAAUUACAAUACUACUAAAAGCAAUAGAUUAAAAAUUAAUAUUACAUUUAAUGUAUAGAAGUGUCCGUUAUAAGUAUUUAGGAAAAAUGUGGUAACUUGAUAGUAGUGAAUAAAUGUAACCAUCAAAAUAAUGCAGUGUAAAAGAAUAAAUUAAUUUUACAUAAGUUUGUAUGAAUUAGUCUGCGUAAGAGAUUGAGAUACCAUAUAUUUGUCUAUACAUAUCAUAUAAUAAUAUUAGCCACUAAUAUUAAAUCAAUAGUAAUAAAAAAUAAUAUUUUAUCGUUAAUUAUAAUGUUUGGUCCAAUUAACAAGAUAAUUGUUUGAUAAUUAUCUAAUAGUUGAACCAAAACUAUUCUCAUAUUAGUAGGCAGAGGCUUGAAUACUCUAUAUGCAUUAUGGAUUGAUUUCUUCUAAAUAUGUGAAAAUAAAAAUGAUUACUAUGGGUCUAGAUAUUCAUAUUACAUUUUUCCAACAAAAUUAAUAAAAUAAUAUGAUAACUUUUUAUGCAAAAUAUCAUUAAAUUUAUAAUGUACGUAAUAAAAAUAUUUAAUAAUUUAUAAUUAUAAUUAUUUACUUAUAUUAUAUAAUAUUCUCAUUAGCAAGAAGUCACAUAUUUUGAGAAAAAAAAUCUAAUUUAUUUUCAUAUAAAGUUGAGGGGGUAAUUGAUAUUUUUAUAUUAAAUUGAUUAUUUUUGUUAUUUUCUUAAAACUAGGGUAUCUGAAUGAUAUUUACCUUUAAUAUUUUUCACUAUCACCGAGUUAUAUAAGGGGCAACCAGUGGCGGUUAUAGAACCCAUUAAAAAAAUAAUAAAAAGCGGCUGUAUCUGUAUUANNNNNUUAAUUAAUUAANNNNNCCAUAACUGGAGAAAUCGCUCCUUGCACAUAUCCACUGGGAUGCGUUUCAAGAGACAAAGGAUAUCAUCCAAUGACUCCUUAUUCAAGCCAUCCCUAAUGAAUUGAAUCUUAUCUUCCCUGUUACAGACACCAUUCCUAAAGAACAUGGGUUUCUAUCGCAACUCAUUCUGGCACACUUGUGACAAGCAACAGAAAUUCUUCGAGCUCGUCGUUUUCUUGCGUAAUUUCCUUUACCACAACCAGGCAUGUAUGCAAUAAAUUUAGGAGGUAACUCACCUGCCAAUCGUACUUUAGCCUCGAUUAACCAACGGAUGUCUGCAGGUAUGUUAUUCCUCAUGAGCAAUCGCAUGCGUUCAGACCGGGCUUUAUAGAUUGUAAGGAGGGCAUUCUGAGGAAGUGAAGGGAAUCGCUUGUGAAGCUUUGCUAGAAUCUCGUUUCUAUCCAUACCUUCGCCUCAGAAUAUCAGUUAUUAUGGGAAACUGAAGUUAACCGACUUGAUUGUCACGGAAGUACCGUUAUCCGCCACUUCACCGGGGGUAACAAACUAAAGCACACAAACAGAAAAACAAAUCAAAACACACAAAGAAAAUUAAAAUCGUCCUCUUAUUGAAUUUACCUCAAGCUCCAACUGGAUGUCGUAAACACUUCUCUCAAUGUCUCUGAGUUGGCGUUCUAAACCCUCAACAUAGGCUACUAACUCUGGUGGUUGUUUAGAGCCCAAAUGCGUUGUGUUUUACAAAAUAGAAUCUGCCUUUUGAGAUGAGUUUUGACACGUUGAAGUGGUUUAAGAAUGUUCAGGAGGAACGGUCUAAGUAUGAGACUCAUGAUUAAAAAUGAUAAGAGAAAACUUAAUGGUAAAAUAAACACACUUAUGCAAAAACAAUUUCAAUUAGCCAAAAGAAUAAUAAUAAAAAGAAAUAAAGAAAAAUCAAAUCAACGAAAAGAAAAAAAAAAAUCAAUUCAAAUUUGGUGGGUCACUCAAAUUUAUUUCGAUGUUUUCUCCAUGUGGUUGGUACUCUAGAUAUGGCUUUAAUCUUUGACCAUUAACUUUAAACGUGACACCGUUCUUUGGGUCCUUAAUUUCAAUUGCCCCAUGUUGAAAAACAGUAUGUACAAUAAAUGGGCCAGACCAACGAGAGCGUAACUUACCUGGGAAUAGGUGCAAGCGAGAAUUGAAUAAAAGCACUUUCUGACCUGGAGUGAAUGAUUUUCUCAUAAUGUGCUUGUCAUGAAAGACUUUCAUUCGUUGCUUGUAAAUCUUGGCAUUUUCGUAUGCAAUCAUUGCGAAUUUCUUCAAGUUCUGUCAGUUGUAAUCUUCUUUCUGAGCUGGCUUGCUACAUGUCAAAGUUGAAUUUCUUGAUGGCCCAAUAUGCACGAUGCUCGAGUUCCACAGGUAGUGGCAAGCUUUUCCAUACACUAGCCUGUAGGGUGACAUCCCAAUGGGGGUCUUGAAAGCGUUCUAUAUGCCCAUAAUGCAUCAUCAAGUCUUAAUGACCAAUCUUUUCUGUCUGCCUCACCGUUUUUUCUAAUAUGUGCUUUAUUUCUCGAUUGGAGAUCUCAACUUGGCCACUGUUUGCGGAUGAUACGGGGUCGCCACUUUGUGUGUGAUUGAAUACUUUGUCAAAAGAGCCUUGAAUGCUUUGUUACAAAAGUGGGCACCACCAUCACUGAUUAUCGCUCGAGGAAUCCAAAGCGUGAAACAAUGUUGCUUUUCAAAAAUCCUAUCACCACUUUGUGAUCAUUGGUCCUACAUGGAAUGCUUCUACCCAUUUCGAGACGUAGUCAACACCAACCAAUAUGUAUUGAUGGCCAAAAGAAGGGGGAAAGGGUCCCAUGAAGUCGAUACCCCAUACGUCAAAAAUCUCAACCACUAAAAUUGGAUUUAGUGGCAUCAUGUUUCUUCGUGUAAUGCUCCCCAUUCGUUGACACCUAUCACAUGAAGAACAGAAAGUGUAAGCAUCUCGAAAUAAGUUGGCCAAUAGAAACCACAUUGUAAAACUUUUGUAGCUGUUUUCUUAGCACUGAAAUGGCCUCCACACGCUUGUUCAUGGCAGAAUGAAAGAAUAUGCUGAAUUUCAUUUUCAGGGACACAUCGUCUAACAAUUUGGUCUGCACAAUACUUGAACAAUAUGGGUCAUCCCAAAAGAAAUUCUUUAUUUCCGCAAAGAAUUUAGCCUUGUCUUGCUUGGUCCAAUGCUCUGGAAGUUUACCUGUAACAAGAUAAUUAACUAUAUCAGCAUACCAAGGUAAUACUUCCACAUGCAUCAAUUGUUCAUCUGGGAAUGACUCAUUUAAUGGUAAUGGCUCUGUAAUUGUGUCAAAAUGGAGACGAGAGAGGUGGUCCGCCACAACAUUUUCUGUGCCUUUCUUAUCCUUGAAUUCCAAGUCGAAUUCCUGCAAAAGUAACACCCAACGAAUUAGUCUAGCUUUUGCAUCUUUCUUUGUGAGAAGAUAUUUAAGAGCAGCAUGAUCUGUGAAUAUAAUUAUUUUACAACCAAUGAGAUAAGAUCGAAAUUUCUCUAAUGCAAACACUACUGCUAGCAUUUCUUUUUCAGUAGUUGAAUAAUUCAACUGUGCAUCAUUCAAUGUCAUACUAGCAUAGUAAAUAACGUGAGGAAUUCGAUCAACUCUUUGUCCUAAUACUGCUCCUACUGCAUAAUCAGAUGCAUCACACAUGAGCUCAAAUGGUAAGCUCCAGUUUGGGGCCUGAAUGAUGGGUGAUGAUGUCAACAAUUGCUUUAAUUUUUCAAAAGCCAUAAGACAUGAAUCAUUAAAGAUAAAAGGUACAUCCUUAGCAAGUAAAUUACAUAAGGGUCUAGAAACUUUGCUAAAAUCUUUAAUGAAACGUCUAUAAAAACCAGCAUGCCCAAGGAAAGAUCUUACUUCUCUGACUGUUUUAGGUGGAGGAAGAUUAGAAAUGAGAUCCACCUUGGCUUUGUCAACCUCAAUACCUUUGCUCGAAAUGAUGUGACCGAGAACAAUACCUUGUUUUACCAUAAAAUGGCACUUCUCCCAAUUCAAGACUAAGUUCUUCUCGUACAUCUCUGCAGAACUAGCGUUAGAUGAUGUAAACAUUGAUCAAACGAGUCACCAAAGACAGAAAAGUCAUCCAUAAAGACUUCAAGGAAUCGUUCAACCAUAUCAGAAAAAAUGCUUAACAUGCAUCGUUGAAAUGUAGCAGGUGCAUUACAUAAUCCAAAUGGCAUUCUCCUAUAUGCAAAUGUGCCAAAAGGGCAAGUGAAAGUGGUCUUCUCUUGAUCUUUUGGUGCUAUGGGAAUCUGAUUAUAUCCUGAGUAGCCAUCUAGAAAGCAAUAAAAUUCAUGGCCUGCUAAUCUAUCAAGCAUUUGAUCAAUAAAUGGUAAAGGAAAAUGGUCUUUACGUGUGACAGAAUUCAACUUUCUAUAAUCAAUGCAUACACGCCAUCCUGUAGUUACUCUAGUUGGUAUCAAUUCAUUAUCAGCAUUGGUAACUACUGUGACUCCUGACUUUUUGGGGACGACUUGUACAGGACUGACCCAUGAACUAUCAGAAAUUGGGUAAAUGAUACCUGCAUCUAAUAGCUUAAGGACUUCAGUUCUAACAACUUCUUUCAUGUUAGGAUUUAACCGACGUUGCAUCUCCCAAGUAGUUUUAGCAUUUUCAUCAAGGUGAAUGUAAUGCAUGCAGUCUACUGGGUUUAUACCUUUUAUAUCUGCUAUGGUCCAUCCUAAUGCCCCUUUGUGCUCUUUUAAAACAUCCAACAACUUACCCUUUUGUUUGUCAUUUAGAGAUGAUGAGAUGAUUACCGGUAGAGUACUUUCUUCUCCCAAAAAUGCAUAUUCCAGAGUGUUGGGUAAUGGUUUGAGCUCGAGUUUCGGUGGUGAUUCUGAUGAUGGGAUGAGUUUCUUCUCUGAUGGUGCUAGUUGUUCAACUCUUGACUUCCAUUUAUUAGUGUCCAUGGAUGGUGCUGAGUCAAGUAGAGCAUUGACCUCAUCGACCGAUCUGUCAAUAUCAAAAUCCAAACCAAAGUGAGUUAAACAUGUUUGUAAAGGAUCAUCACUAAAGUUUGAAAUAAAUGUGUCAUCAACUAAUGCUUCAAUUAAAUCCACAUCAACAAUUCCAUCAUCUGCACUGUGAGGUUGUUUGGCAAUGUUGAAAAUGUUUAGCUCCAUAGUCAUGUUACCGAAGGACAACUGCAUAUUUCCAGUCCUGCAUUGAAUGUGAGCAUCCGCAGUUGCCAAGAAAGGUCGGCCUAGAAUAAUGGGGAUGUGCUUCCUUGAGUCCUGUAUUGGUUGAGUGUCAAUUACAAUGAAAUCAACAGGAAAAUAAAACUUGUCUACUUGGAUAAGCACGUCCUCCACAAUACCACGAGGUAUUUUCGUGGACCGAUCUGCAAGCUGUAACACCACUGGAGUUGGGUGUAAUUCUCCCAGUCCAAGUUUCACGAAUACUGAAUAAGGCAACAAAUUUACACUAGCUCCUAAAUCCAACAAAGCAUUCUCAAUUGUGUGGUUCCCUAUACUACAUGAGAUAGUGGGGGAGCCUGGGUCUUUGCAUUUUAAAGGAAUUUUAUGUUGGAGUAUAGAACUAACGUUUUCUGUUAAAAAUGCCUUCUUUUGAACAUGCAUAUUUCUCUUUUUAGUACAAAGGUCUUUAAGAAACUUGGCAUAAGAUGGAACUUGUUUAAUAGCAUCAAGUAAAGGGAUGUUGACACUUACCUGUUUGAAGAUUUCAAGAAUCUCACCUGUGGAUUUUCCCUUUUUUCCUUUAGCUAACCUCUGAGGAAAUGGAGCCUUGGGAAUGUACUCUCGUGGGUUGGUUUCUUCUUUCUCCUCCGGUGGUGAGUCCUCAGCAUUUACAGGUACAAUUUGAUUUUCUUUUGUCACCGGCAUCUCCACUUUGUUGUCGACUUCUUUUCCUUUUCUCAAGGUCAUAACUGCUUUGACCUCUCCAUGCUGCUGUGGUGAACUGGUACUUGCUUCAUGUACUCCUUUAGGAUUAGGCACUGGUUGACUUGGAAACUUGCCUUUCUCAACAGUCAUUGCCAAGGUCUGAACUGAAGAAGCAAGUUGUCCCACCAUCUUCUCAAGGCUUGAAACUGAUUGGGCUUGUGAGUUGAAGCCCGCUUUCAACUCAUUUCGUAAUCCAUCAAUGGUGCGGUUCUGUUGCUCAAUCGUGGAGUGAGUAACAUUCUUGAAAUUCUGGAAUGCAUCCUCCCAUGGUCUGGGUUGAGAGUAGUUCUGGUUCUGAUUGUAUGGUCUGAAUGGUGGCUGAGAGGCUUGAGGAAUUUGAGGAAUUGGUUGCAUUGGUGGAGCUGGAGCUGCUGGUCCAUUCUGUUGGAAUCCUUGAGACCAUGAAAAAUUGGGGUGGUCUCUCCAUCCAGGGUUAUAUGUGCUGGAGUAUGGGUUGUAAUUAGAUGGCUUUCUCAUUACACCUAUGGCAUUGGCUUGAUCUGAGUAUGAGUCAUGGUCAUGUGGCUCUGUUGAUUUAGCAGUCGAUAACGAUGCUAUUUGUCGAGAGAGGCCUUCAAUUAUCGCUUUGACUUCUUUAAUUUCUGAACUUGACUCGCCAAUUUGAACCUCAUUUACUCCCUUAAUUCUUCUAGUAUUCCUGAGUGAUCGACUCCGUUGUUGGGAAUUAUCCGCUUGUCGCUGGAAGAAUUCCCAAAUCUCUGAUGCACUUUUUGACAUUAGCUCUCCUCCACUUGUUGCCAUUAGCCAUUCUUGCACAUUCGGCAAUAAUCCCUCCAAAAAGUAUUGGCAUUGGUGCCAUUUUUCGUACCCAUGAUGUGGACACUUCAAGAGUAGCCCAUUGAAUCGCUCCCACGUUUCGAAAAAUUGCUCGUCCUCUCUUUGUGUAAACUCUGAAAUUUCCCUGCGAAUAGAAUUGGUUUUAUGCACUGGGAAAUAUUUAUUUAGAAAUUUUGUAACCAUUUGUUCCCAUGAUGCAAUGCUAUUAGCAGGCAAAGUAUUUAACCAUGAACGAGCUCUAUCCUUUAAAGAAAAUGGGAAUAAUCUAAGUUUAACAUCAUCGUCUGAAAAAUUUUCAUAUUUAAAAGUUUGACAAAUGGCAUGAAAAUCAUUCAGAUGAUUAUAUGGGUCCUCAUUUUCUAGGCCAUAGAAUGUGGGGAGACAAUUUAGCACACUAGGUUUUAGUUCAAAGCUCCUAGCAGCUACAUUUGGGUAUCUAAUACAUGAUGUGCUCAAAUUAGCUAAGGGACUAAAAUAGUCCUUAAAUGGCCUCUCCUGUGGUUGCAAAUCCAUUCUAUUUUUAAAUUGUUUGUGUGUGCGAAGUGUUUUUUCUAAUUCAAGGUCUAUAGGUUCAAGAUUUGGUAAUAAUGACCUACGACCAUGCAUGCAAAAUAAAUAAAAUAAAAAUAAAGAUGGGAACAAAAAAAAUAAAAAUAAAGAAGAGGGAGAAAUUACGGUACUAACCUUAUUGCGCUAUUACAACCUUUCUAUAAAAAUACACAAAAACAAAUACGUGAAAUAAAUUAACUAAAAAUUAAAUUAAUAAAAUAAAUAAAAAUUACAAAGAAAAAAUAAAUUGAAAAUUAAAUUACACAAUUUUAAAUAAGAGAAAAAGAAAAGAAAUACUAACCUUUAAAUGUAGAUUUACUUUUUUUUUUUUAAUAAUAAUAAUAAAAAAAAUACAAGAAAACAAAUAAAAGAAAUUAUUCACAAAAAUUAAUUCUAUGAAUUAAAAUUACUUACCUCCCCGGCAACGGCGCCAAAAACUUGUUGUGCAAAUUUUAAUGAACUCGCAAGCGCACGAAUCUAUUGUAGUGUAGAUCAAUGGUGACGAGUGUCGAUCCCACGAGGAGGUGGAUUUUAAUUGUGUAUAGAAUUAAUUUUGCAAAAUGGGUGGUUGGAAUUGUGGUGGAAAUGAUUUGGAAUAUGCUAAAACUUAAAUUAAAAUGGCGAGAAUAAAUUCUGAAAUUGGAAUUGAAAUGGCGAGAAUAAAUUGAAGAGAAUUCUAUUGAAAUGACGUACUUGGGUAUCUGGAUCCGUAUCAACAUGCAUCAUGGGCUAAAUAAUCCAUAUUAAUGCCAAUUAAAUCAUGAGGGGGGAAUCCACACCUCAUGAACCACGCUCUAAUCAAUAUGGUGCUAAGGGCUUAUCGUGCCAAAUAAUAAUAACCUUAUACUAGAGAGCCGGUGUAACCAAGGCGGUAUCUAGACAAGAUCAGUAUUAUUUGUCGACGAUAAGUCAAAUCAUCCACAAAAACUAGAGGGGAAAAGAAAAUAAAUUUACCAAAUAAAGCCCAUGACACAUGUUGAGACUUCACCUUCAACCCAAGCUUGAAAAGAAAUUAGCUACUCAUAAUUGAACUAGGGGCAAAAAGGGAAUUUAUUAAAAUACAAAGAAAAUACAAGAUGGAGAAGGAAUUACAGAAAAUGGAUCCCAAAAAUGGAUUCAGAGAUAUCAAAUUAGGGGGGGGAGGCCCCCUUUUUAUAGAUACAUGGAGUAAAUCAUGGCCAUCGGAUUAAAAACAGUUUGGACGCUCAGGAUUGCGCCACGUCAUCAGUCAACAGUCCACGGUUUGACCACGCGGAUGAACAGUAACACGGUUUGACCCGGAUGAACAGUAACGCGGUUUGGUUGAAAAUAAUCCUGUGUGAUGCAUGCACCGUACGCGAGAUUUUUCGUCCACUGAUAUGCUGCCACGUCACCAUCAACAGUACAUAAGAAUUUUAGUCCAACAGGAUCGUGACACCUCAUCAGUCAAUGCCACAUCAUCGGUCAAUGCCACGUCAUCGAUCCGUCUGUGUGAACAGUGUCGUGAACAGUAACGUAGACAGUACCGUACACGUGAAUAGUACUGUACAUGUGAAUAGUGCCAUUUUUCCUUUUAUGCUUCUCCUAAGGUUUUCGACCGUCCUGAGUUCAAAAGUGAUGUCCGUUUUGCCGUCUGAUCUCUCCUUUAUUGUGAAAUGACUAUAAUGCCCCUAAAAUACAUAAAAUACUUAAUUAAAAUAAAACACAUGGAAUUAAAUCAAAAGAAGGUUAAAUUCAUAAAAGUAAAGGUGUUAGUAAAACUUGUAGUGUAAAAUGACGAUUUUCUCCUUUAUAAAUAUGCAUUUUCUAACACUCAACAGCAGCGUAUGUGUGUGUGGCUUAGUGGCUGUGUGCUGUGCAGCUUGUGACUUCUGUUCUGUGUGUGUGUUGUGCAGCAGCAUGACAAAUUUGUUUCCCGUGAAAAAUUUCUUUCUUUGUUUCUUUCUCAUCCUCUCUCCCCUUUUUGUUUUUUUUUUCCUUUCCUCCAAAAAGAAAUUGUUCUGUUCUUAAACGAUUUGUCAAAUACUCGAAUUAUCAAUUAUUCAAUUGCUUGGCGUUGGGUAGAAGAUAAGAACUCUUUUGAAUGAUUAAAUUGGACAAAAAUAGAAAAGGGUGAGGAUUGCUUCAGUCCACAUCAUUGCACUUGCAAAAUGCCAUCUAAGGCAACUUUAUUUUCUUUAUUAAAAUUUAAAACGUCUCUGAGAAGAAUUUUGACAGAAUGGCUGCCAACUUUUUGGAUUGGUUAUUGGUGUGAUUCGAUUGAUGUUGGAGAAUGGAGAGGGAAAUAUGCUCAAUAAGGAGUACAGACACAUGCCAGAAAUCAUUUUUUUUUUUUUUUUGGGAACCCGAUGGGGUAUUCGGAUCGGGUCGGGUUUGACCCGAACCGAUCACAACCUGAUCGGGUUUGUAAAUUUCAAUCCGAUCAGGUUUCAAUCCCGACCCGAUCCGACCCGAACCCGAAAUUUAUCGGGUCGGGUUGGGUCGGAUCCGGUAAAAUGCCCACCCCUAAUUCUAAUUGUGUGUAGAAUAAAUUUUGUAAAUGGGUGGUUGGAUUUCUAGUGAAAUUGAUUUGGAAUAUUCUAAAACUUAAAUUAAAAUGGCGAGAAUAAAUUGAAGAUAAAUCUAUUGAAAUGAAGCACUUAGAUAUCUGGAUCCGUAUCAACAUGCACUAUGGGCUAAAUAUUCCUUAUUAAUGCCAAUUAAAUCAUGAGGGGGGAAUCAACACCUCAUGAACCACACUCUAAUCAAUAUGAUGCUAAGGGCUUAUCAUGCCAAAUAAUAAUAACCUUGUACUAGGGAGCCGAUGAAACCAGGGCGGUAUCUAGACAAGAUUAUUAUUAUUUGUCGACUAGAAGUCAAAACAUCCACAAAAACUAGAGGGGAAGAGAAAAUAAAUUUACCAAAUAAAGCCCAUGACACAUGUUGAGACUUCACCUUCAACCCAAGCUUGAAAGAAAAUUAGCUACUCAUAAUUGAACUAGAGACAAAAUGGGAAUUUAUUAAAAUACAUAGAAAAUAUAAGAUAGAGAAGGAAUUACAGAAAAUAGAGUCCAAAAAUGGAUUCAGAGAUAUCAAAUCAGGGGGGGGAGGUUCCCUUUUUAUAGAUACAUUGAGUAAAUCAUGGCCAUCAGAUUAAAAACAAUUUGGAGGCUCAGGAUUGCGCCACGUCAUCAGUCAACAGUACACGGUUUGACCACGCGGUUUGAACAGUGACACGGUUUUACCCGGUUUGAAUAGUAACGAGGUUUGGUUAAAAAUAAUCUUGUGUAUAUGCAUGUACCGUACGUUCAAUUUUUGGUCCACUAACAUGCUGCCACGUCACCAAUCAACAGUGCAUAAGAAUUUUAGUCCAACAGGAUCGUGACACCUCAUCAGUCAAUGCCACAUCAUCGGUCAAUGCCACGUCAUCGAUCCGUCUGUGUGAACAGUGUCGUGAACAGUAACAUAGACAGUACCGUACAUGUGAAUAGUACCGUACAUGUGAACAAUGCUAUUUUUCCUUUUAUGCUCCUCCUAAGGUUUUCGACCGUCCUGAGUUCAAAAGUGAUGUCCGUUUUGCUGUCUGAUCUCUCGUUUAUUGUGAAAUGACUAUGAUGCCCCUAAAAUACAUAAAAUACUUAAUUAUAAUACAACACACAUAAUUAAAUGACAAGAAGCUUAAAUACAUAAAAGUAAGGGUGUUAGUAAAAGUUGAAGUGUAAAAUGACGAUUUUCUCCUUUAUAAAUAUACAUUUUAUAACACUCAAAACACCCCCUAACCAGCUUAUUGUUAGUCCCUAGCAAAUAAAGCGAAAAUAAAAUUCAAAUCCAAAAUGAUUUUUUAUUUUAUUUUUUAACAAUCAUGUUUAUUCAAUCAGACUAAUGAUAGUAAUCAAAUAAAAGUAUAAGCAUUAUCUCCAGUCUAAAGAAACAUCACACCCACAUCAACCAUCCACAUGAAUCAGUGCAGUAGACUUUGUCAUAGUUACUUUCAAGAAUGACAUGUCAAACCCCAAAAUCUCACUGGAAGUAGUGACACUCUCACAAAGAAAUUAAACCCAAUAAAAAUAGUCUCUCCAAUGAAUGGUAAUUGAGAGAAAAUAAUAAAGAACUGAUAUCACAUGCUCUCACCAAGAUGAAAGAAUAUGCCCUCAGCUUAGAAAUAAUACGAUCUCAAGUCAAAUAAAAAUGCUAAUCAACCCAAUUUAUUUAUUUAGUUUUUGAUUUUUUUAUGCACCACUACAUCUUUUUAGCCCAUAUAACUAGCGUCUACUUCAUACUAUAGUUCCCUAAAAUCAAGAAAGACUUUUAUGAGGACGUAACGUAGGCUAGGGACAUGGCUAACAAAGGAGGGGAAAUAAGGAAAACAAAGUGUAUGUUUGAGAAAAAUGUAAAGAUUUUUUUUUUGGAAGUUGCUAGGUGGAUUUCACCUAUUAUUGUUAUUUUUAUUUUUGAAACAACAAAUUUUUUUUUUUUUUUUGCGGCUUUUGUUUGGCAUAACUUCACUGAACAAAAUAAUUAUUUACAUUUUUCUCAAACAUAAAUAGGUGAUGGAACGUGUAAGAUAUCGGGUAAUACUCCAAAUCAGAGUGGGUCAAGAUGAUAAGUUUGACAAAGAAAAUGUUUCUUUUUUUUUUAAAGGCUCAAAAGGGUUAACUAUGGAUAUUUCAUAAAAGGGAUGGCUAGAAAGGCUCAAACAGAUCAAAGAUGGUCUUUCCAUCGUCUUUUAGGGCUCUAAAUAAUCUUCUAUAUCUACUAGUUAGAUGGGCCUCCAAAUGUAGCAACACAAAUUUUUUUUUUUUGUAAAAUUUUUUUUUAAGGGUUAACUCAAAAGAAAUCUAGAGAUCGUGUAUAAAAUAAUAAACUGCUAAGCUGUAUAAAGAAUGGGCAAAAGGGUUACUCUUCAAGAAAAAUGAUAGGCUCAAAAACUCACUUGGUACUUAUUAUGACAUGUUCAUUCCUUCAAGCAACUCAUAUUUGUCUCCGACAUCAACAUGUAGAGUAGCAAACAUAGCGUAACAUCACUUAAGACCAAAGAUAAUACAAACACUAAAAUUUGAAAUUAAUCAUGUCAUCCAAUGUUAAAACAAAUCACACAAUUUUUUUUUUCAAACAACAUCCUACCCCCCAACCUAUUCUAAACAUGAAAGGAAAAUAUGCAUGUAGAAAUGUGAAAAUGAUGCAGAAAAACUAAUUAGAAAAGUUACACUUAAAAUGAUAGAAAAAGAAAACGUUUUUUUUUUUUUUAACUAAGAAGAUGUGUUUCUAGAGGCACUACUCUCCAUAUUCAACCAUCUUCGACUCAAAAAUUUAAAAAUGUAUAUUUAUAAAGGAGAAAUUAAAAAGAGGAAGAAAAAUGAAUAUCAAAGUUUAAUAAAGAAAAAGAAAAUGUCUGGAAUUUUCUUUCAAAUGAUGAAGAUGCGUUUCUAGAGUCACUACACUCCAUAUUCAGUCAUCUUCAACACAAAAAGUUAGCAACAGUUAGUUUCUGCAACAAAAAUCAGUAAAAACUUAACCAAGAUUCCACAACUGUCGACUAUUCCCUCCCCCCAACCAGAACAAAACAUUGUCCUCAAUGUUUUAAAGGAAAGAAGUAGAGUUUAAAAGACAUCACCUGGGUGGUGCAACACAGAAGAAAAUAUUUACAAGCGGAGAGUUAAAUCUAAUUUGUACUUCUUACUGCGGCUACUGUUACCAUCAUUAUUUGGACGCUCCAACACAAAGGUCCAAAGGUCUGGCUCCGAUUUAUAAGCUUGUAACAGAUCAAGUAGCUCAUUAGCAGUGUGUGCACAAAUAAAAAGCUUUUUCGCUGUGGAAGGAAUGAAAUAGUUUUUUAUUGCAUGGUUAAGAAAUGCGAUGAAGCCAUCAUAAAAGUUAUUGACAUUUAACAAACCGAUGGGUUUCUGGUGAAUGUGCAGAUGGGCCCAAGAUGCUAGUGUGAUAAGUGCCUCUAGUGUUGCAAGAUCUCCUGGAAGGAAAAUAAAAGCAUCAGCAUGAUUAAGCAUUUCAGUUAUUCUUUCUUGCAUACCUGAGACGACUAACUCUUCUCCAGUCGGUAAGUCAGACAAACUGCCUAAAGGUUUUAGGACACUUGAGAUGAUGCCUAACACUUGGCUUCUUCUGACAAAAGCAGCUUCUAAGACCAAUUUUGAUAACCCUCGAUUACCUCCUCCAUACACCAAGUGUAAUUUUCUCUCUGCUAUGCUUCGACCAAGAUCUAUGGCUGCCUCAACGAACUCUUUAUGUUUGCCAUAGUUAAAUCCAGAAAGCACACAAAUGUUCUUGAAUUGUCUAUUUGGAGUAGCUGCCAUUGGGAUACUUCUCAAAAAUAAUUUGUGAGUGCUUGACAAAAAAUCAUAUUUAAGAAUCUUGGUGACAGUGGGUCACAGCUGUGUAUGAGGUAGCAUGUCAGUGUCAAAUAACGAGUAAAGCACAUGGCUCGCGAGUCAAAAAGAAAACAGUAAAAAGAAAAAGAAACAAUGAUAAAAUAAAAUUAUUAAAGACAAUAAUACAAAUGAUAAAACAACAGUGAAAUAAAAUAACAGUGAAGUAAAAGGAUAUUUACAGGUAGUUGCGACUGGGGCUCACAUCUUCCUCUAGUUUUACGUCCAGAAACGGCUUGAACGCCCUCUAUGGGUCGAGGAUGGGCUUCCCAUCCAGUUUUCUUAUAAACUGGCAAACAUGGUCGUUUAUAGUCAGAUUCCCGAGACUAUAUCGUGCAUGCUCUUUCUGGAAUAAUGGCCAUAACUGGAGAAUCACUCCUUGCACAUAUCCACUGGGAUGCGUUUCAAGAGACAAAAGGAUAUCAUCCAAUGACUCCUUAUUCAAGUCAUCCCUAAUGAAUUGAAUCUUAUCUUCCCUGUUAUCAGACACCAUUCCUAAAGAACAUGGGUUUUUAUUGCAUCUCAUUCUAGCACAUUUAUGACAAGCAAUAGAAAUUCUUACCACAACCAGGCAUGUAUGCAAUAAAUUUUGGAGGUAACUCACCUACCAACUUUAGCCUCGAUUAACCAACGGAUGUCAGCAGGUAUGUUAUUCCUCAUGAGCAAUCGCAUGCGUUCGGACCGAGCUUUAUAGAUUGUAAGGAGGGCAUUCUGAUGAAGUGAAGGGAAUCGCUUGUGAUGCUUCACUAGAAUCUCAUUUCUGUCCAUACCUUCGCCUCAGAAUAUCAGUUAUUAUGGGAAACUGAAGUAACCGACUUGAUUGUCACGGAGUACCGUUAUCCGCCACUUCACCGGGGUAACAAACUAAAGCACACAAACAAAGAAAAAUAAACUAAAACACAUAAAGAAAAUUACAAUCGUCCUCUUAUUGAAUUUACCUCAAGCUCCAACUGGAUGUUGUAGACACUUCUCUCAAUGUCUCUGAGUUGGCUUUCUAAAUCCUCAACAUAGGAUACUAACUCUGGUGGUUGCAGAGCCCAAAUACAAUGUGUCUUACAAAAUCAAAUCUGCCUUUUGAGAUGAGAUUUUAUACGUUGAAGCGGUUUAAGAAUGUUCAGGAGGAACUGUUUAGCUAUGGCACUCAUGAUUAACAAUGAUAAGAGAAAACUUAAUGGUUAAACAAACACACUUAUGCAAAAAUAAUUUCAAUUAGAAAAAGAAUAAUAAAAAGAAAGAAAGUAAAAAAAUCAAAUCACCUAAAAGAAAGAAGAAAAAAAAACAAAAAAAAAACUCAAUUCAAAUCUGGUGGGUCACUCAAAUUUAUUUCGGUGUCCUCUCCAUGUGGUUGGUACUCUAGAUAUGGCUUUAGUCUUUGACCAUUAACUUUAAAUGUGACACCGUUCUUAGGGUCCUUAAUUUCAAUUGCCCUAUGUGGAAAAACCGUAUGAACAAUAAAGGGGCCAGACCAUCGAGAGCGUAACUUACCUGGGAAUACGUGCAAGCGAGAAUUGAAUAAAAGUACUUUCUGACCUGGAGUGAAAGAUUUUCUCAUAAUUUGCUUGUCAUGAAAGACUUUCAUUCGCUGCUUGUAAAUUUUGGCAUUUUCGUAUGCGUCAUUGCAAAUUUCUUCAAGUUCUACCAGUUGUAAUCUUCUUUCUGAGCUAGCUUGCUGCAUGUUAAAUUUUAAUUUCUUGAUGGCCCAAUAUGCACGAUGCUCGAGUUCCACAGGUAGGUGGCAAGCUUUUCCAUACACUAGCCUGUAGGGUGACAUCCCAAUCGGGGUCUUGAAAGCCGUUCUAUAUGCCCAUAAUGCAUCAUCGAGUCUUAAUGACCAAUCUUUUCUGUCUGGCCUCACCGUCUUUUCUAAUAUGUGUUUUAUUUCUCGAUUGGAGAUCUCAACUUGACCACUGGUUUACGGAUGAUAUGGGGUUACCACUUUGUGAGUGAUUGAAUACUUUGUCAAAAGAGCUUUUAAUGCUUUGUUACAAAAGUGGGCACCACCAUCACUGAUUAUUGCUCGAGGGAAUCCAAAGCGUGAAACAAUGUUGCUUUUCAAAAAUCCUAUCACCACCUUGUGAUCAUUGGUUCUGUAUGGAAUUACUUCUACCCAUUUCGAUAAGUAGUCAACAGCAACCAAUAUGUAUUGAUGGCCAAAAGAAGGGGGAAAAGGACCCAUGAAGUCGAUACCCCAUACAUAAAAAAUCUCAACCACUAAAAUUGGAUUUAGUGGCAUCAUAUUCCUUCGUGUAAUGCUCCCCAUUCAUUGACACCUAUCACAUGAAGAGCAAAAAGUGUAAGCAUCUCGAAAUAUAGUUGGCCAAUAUAAACCACAUUGUAAAACUUUAGUAGCUGUUUUCUUAGCACUGAAAUGGCCUCCACAAGCUUGUUCAUGGCAGAAUAAAAGAAUAUUUUGAAUUUUAUUUUCUGGGACACAUCGUCUAACAAUUUGAUAUGCACAAUACUUGAACAAAUAAGGGUCAUCCCAAAAGAAAUUCUUUAUUUCUGCAAAAAAAUUGGCUUUGUCUUGCUUGGUCCAAUGCUCUGGAAGUUGACCUGUAACAAGAUAAUUAACGAUAUCAGCAUACCACGGUAAUACUUCCACAUUAAUCAAUUGUUCAUCUGGAAAUGACUCAUUCAAUGUUAAUGGUUCUGUAAUUGUGUCAAAAUGAAGACGAGAGAGAUGGUCAGCCAUAACAUUCUCUGUGCCUUUCUUAUCUUUAAAUUCCAAGUCGAAUUCUUGAAAAAGUAACACCCAACAAAUUAUUCUAGCUUUUGCAUCUUUCUUUGUGAGAAGAUAUUUAAGAGCAGCAUGAUCUGUGAACACAAUUAGUUUACAACCAAUGAGAUAAGAUCGAAAUUUCUCUAAUGCAAACACUACUGCUAGCAUUUCUUUUUCAGUAGUUGAAUAGUUCAACUGUGCAUCAUUCAAUGUCAUACUAGUAUAGUAAAUAACAUAGAGAAUUCGAUCAACUCUUUGUCCUAAUACCGCUCCUACUGCAUAAUCAGAUGCAUCACACAUGAGUUCAAAUGGUAAGCUCCAGUUUUGGGGCUGAAUGAUGGGUGAUGAUGUCAACAACUGCUUUAAUUUUUCAAAUGCCACAAGACAUGAAUCAUCAAAGACAAAAGGUACAUCCUUAGCAAGUAGAUUGCAUAAGGGUCUAGAAACUUUGCUAAAAUCUUUAAUGAAACGACUAUAGAAACCAGCAUGCCCAAGGAAAGAUCUUACUUCUCUAACUGUUUUGGGUAGAGGAAGAUUAGAAAUGAGAUCCACCUUGGCUUUGUCAACCUCAAUACCUUUGCUUGAAAUGAUGUGACCGAGAACAAUACAUUGUUUUACCAUAAAAUGACACUUCUCCCAAUUUAAGACUAAGUUCUUCUCGAUACAUCUCUGCAGAACUAGUGUUAGAUGAUGUAAACAUUGAUAAAAUGAAUCAGCAAAGACAGAAAAGUCAUCCAUAAAGACUUCAAGGAAUCGUUCAACCAUAUUAGAAAAAAUGCUUAACAUGCAUCGUUGAAAUGUAGCAGGUGCAUUACAUAAUCCAAAUGGCAUCCUUAUAUAUACAAAAGUGCCAAAAGGGCAAGUAAAAAUGGUCUUCUCUUGAUCUUUUGUUGCUAUGGGGAUCUGAUUGUAUCCUGAGUAGCCAUCUAGAAAGAAAUAAAAUUCAUGGCCUGCUAAUCUAUCAAGCAUUUGAUCGAUAAAUGGUAAAGGAAAAUGGUCUUUACGUGUGAAAGAAUUCAACUUUCUAUAAUCAAUGCAUACACACCAUCCUGAAGUUACUCUAGUGGGUAUCAAUUCAUUAUCAGCAUUAGUAACUACUGUGACUCCUGACGUUUUGGGGACAACUUGUACAGGACUGACCCAUGAACUAUCAGAAAUUGGGUAAAUGAUACAUUCGUCUAAUAGCUUAAGAACUUCAGUUCUAACAACUUCUUUCAUGUUAGGAUUUAACCGACAUUGCAUUUCCCUAGUAGGUUUAGCAUUUUCAUCAAGGUGAAUGUAAUGCAUGCAGUCUACUGGGUUUAUAUCUUUUAUGUCCGCUAUGGUCCAUCCUAAUGCUCCUUUGUGCUCUUUUAAAACAUCCAACAACUUACCUUUUUGUUCGUCAUUUAGGGAUGAUGAGAUGAUUACCGGCAGAGUACUUUCUUCUCCCAAAAACGUAUAUUCCAAUGUAUUGGGUAAUGGUUUGAGCUCAAGUUUCGGUGGUGAUUCUGAUGAUGGGAUGAGUUUCUUCUCUGAUGGUGCUAGAUGUUCAACUCUUGACUUCUAUUUAUUAGUGUCUAUGGAUGGUGCUGAGUCAAGUAGGGUGUUGACCUCAUCGACUGAUCUGUCAAUAUCAAAAUCCAAACCAAAGUGAGUUAAACAUAUUUGUAAAGGGUCAUCAAUAAGGUUUGAAAGAAAAGUGUCAUCAACUAAUGCUUCAAUUAAAUCAACAUCAACAAUUCCAUCAUCUGCAUUGUGAGGUUGUUUGACAAUGUUGAAGAUGUUCAGCUCCAUAGUCAUGUUGCCGAAGGACAACUGCAUAUUUCCAGUUCUGCAUUGAAUGUGAGCAUCCGCAGUUGCCAAGAAAGGUCGGCCUAGAAUAAUGGGGAUGUGCUUCCUUGAAUCCUGUAUUGGUUGAGUGUCAAUUACAAUGAAAUCAACAGGAAAAUAAAACUUGUCUACCUGGAUAAGCACAUCCUCCACAAUACCACGAGGUAUUUUUGUGGACCGAUCUGCAAGUUGCAACACCACUGGAGUUGGGUGUAAUUCUCCUAGUCCAGGUUUCACAAAUACUAAAUAAGGCAACAAAUUUACACUAGCUCCUAAAUCCAACAAAGCAUUCUCAAUUGUGUGGUUCCCUAUGCUACAUGAGAUAGUGGGGGAGCCUGAGUCUUUGCAUUUUAGAGGAAUUUUAUAUUGGAGUAUAGAAUUAACGUUUUCUGUUAAAAAUGCCUUCUUUUGAACAUGAAUGUUUCUCUUUUUAGUACAAAGGUCUUUAAGGAACUUGGCAUAAGAUGGAACUUGCUUUAUAGCAUCAAGUAAAGGGAUGUUAACACUUACCUAUUUGAAGAUUUCAAGAAUCUCACCUGUGGAUUUUCCCUUCUUUCCUUUAGCUAACCUCUGAGGAAAUAGAGCUUUGGGAACAUAUUCUCGUGGGUUGGUUUCUUCUUUCUCUUCCGGUGAUGAGUCCUCAGCAUUCAUAGGUACAAUUUGAUUUUCUUUUGUCAUCGGCAUCUCCACUUUGUUGUCGACUUCUUUUUCCUUUCGCAAGGUCAUGACUGUUUUGACCUCUCCAUGCUGCUGUGGUGAACUGGUACUUACUUUAUGCACUCCUUUAGGAUUAGGCACUGGUUGACUUGGAAAUUUACCUUUUUUAACAGUCAUUGCCAAGGUCUGAACUGAAGAAGCAAGUUGUCCCACCAUCUUUUCGAGGCUUGAAACUGAUUGGGCUUGUGAGUUGAAGCCUGCUCUCAACUCAUUUCGUAGUCCAUCAAUGGUGUGAUUCUGUUGCUCAAUCAUGGAGUGAGUAAGAUUCUUGAGAUUCUGGAAUGAAUCCUCCCAUGGUUUGGGUUGAGAGUAACUCGGGUGUUGAUUGUAUGGUCUAAAUGGUGGCUGAGAGGCUUGAGGAAUUUGAGGAAUUGGUUAUAUUGGUGGAGUUGGAGCUGCUGGUCCAUUCUGUUGGAAUCCUUGAGACCAUGAAAAAUUGGGGUUGUCUCUCCAUCCAGGGUUAUAUGUGUUGGAGUAUGGGUUGUAAUUUGAUAGUUUUCUCAUUACACCUAUGACAUUGGCUUGAUCUGAGUAUGAGUCAUGGUCAUGUGCCUCUGUUGAUUUAGCAGUUGAUAACGAUGCUAUUUGUCGAGAGAGGCCUUCAAUUAUCGCUUUGACUUCUUUAAUUUAUGAACUUGACUCGCCAAUGUGAACCUUAUUUACUCCAUUAAUUCUUUUAGUGUUCCUGAGUGAUCGACUCCGUUAUUGGGAAUUAUCCGCUUGUCGCUGGAAGAAUUCCCAAAUCUCUGAUGCACUUUUUGACAUUAGCUCUCCUCCACUUGUUGCCAUUAGCCAUUCUUGCACAUUCGCCAAUAAUCCCUCCAAAAAGUAUUGGCAUUUGUGCAAUUUCUCGUACCCAUGAUGUGGACACUUCAAGAGUAGCCCAUUGAAUCGCUCCCAUGUUUCGAAAAACUGCUCGUCUUCUCUCUGGGUAAACUCUGAAAUUUUCCUUCGAAUAACAUUAGUUUUAUGAACUGGGAAAUAUUUAUUCAAAAAUUUUAUUACCAUUUGUUCCCAUGAUGUAAUGCUAUUAGCAGGCAAUGUAUUGAGCCAUGAACGAGCUCUAUCCUUUAAAGAAAAUGGGAAUAGUCUAAGUUUAACAUCAUCAUCUGAAAAAUUCUCAUAUCUAAAUAUUUGACAAACAACAUGAAAAUCAUUCAAAUGAUUAUAUGGGUCCUCAUUUUCUAGGCCAUAGAAUGUUGGGAGACAAUUUAGCACACUAGGUUUUAGUUCAAAACUACUAGCAGCUACAUUUAGGUAUCUUAUGCAUGAUGUGCUCAAAUUAGUUAAGGGACUAAAGUAGUCCUUAAAUGGCCUCUCAUGUGAUGGUGCUUGUUGUUGCAAAUCCAUUUUACUUUUAGCGUGUUUGUGUGUGCGUAGUGUUUUUUCUAAUUCAAGGUCUAUAGGCUCAAGAUUAGGUAAUAAUGACAUUCGACCAUGCAUGCAAAGAACAUAAAUAAAUGAGAACAAAACAAAUAAAAAUAAAGAAGAAUGAGAAAUUACGGUACUAACAUUGCUGUUAAAGCCUUUCUAUAAAAACACACUAAAAAACAAUUCGUGAAAUAAAUUAACUAAAAAUUAAAUUAAUAAGAUAAGCAAAAAUUACAAAGAAAAAUAAAUUAAAAAAUAAAUUGCAGAAUUGUAAAGAAUAGAGAAAGAAAAGAAAUUAUUACCUCUAAAUGCAGAUUCACUUUUUUUUCUUUUUUUUUUAAUAAAAAAAUACAAGAAAACAAAUAAAAGAAAUUAUUCACAAAAAUUAAUUCUACGAAUUAAAAUAACUUACCUCCCCGGCAACGGCGAUAAAAACUUGUUGUGAAAAUUUUAUUAAACUCGCAAGUGCACGAAUCUAUUGUAGAAUAGAUUAAUGGUGACGAGUGUCGAUCCCACGAGGAGGUUGAUUCUAAUUGUGUGUAGAAUAAAUUUUGUAAAUGGGUGGUUGGAUUUCUGGUGAAAUUGAUUUGGAAUAUUCUAAAACUUAAAUUAAAAUGGCGAGAAUAAAUUAAAGAUAAAUAUAUUGAAAUGAAGCACUUGGGUAUCUAGAUCCGUAUCAAUAUGCACAAUGGGCUAAAUAUUCCUUAUUAAUGCCAAUUAAAUCAUGAGGGGGGAAUCCACACCUCAUGAACCACACUCUAAUCAAUAUGGUGCUAAGGGCUUAUCGUGACAAAUAAUAAUAACCUUGUACUAGGGAGCCGGUGAAACUAGGGCGGUAUCUAGAUAAGAUUAUUAUUAUUUGUCGACGAGAAGUCAAAACAUCCACAAAAACUAGAGGGGAAGAGAAAAUAAAUUUACCAAAUAAAGCCCAUGACACAUGUUGAGACUUCACCUUCAACCCAAGCUUGAAAGAAAAUUAGCUACUCAUAAUUGAACUAGGGGCAAAAUGGAAAUUUAUUAAAAUACGUAGAAAAUACAAGAUAGAGAAGGAAUUAUAGAAAAUGGAGUCCAAAAAUGGAUUCAGAGAUAUCAAAUCAGGGGGGGGAGGUCCCCCUUUUAUAGAUACAUUGAGUAAAUCAUGGCCAUCGGAUUAAAAACAGUUUGGACGCUCAGGAUUGCGCCACAUCAUCAGUCAAUAGUACGCGGUUUGACCACGCGGUUUGCACAGUGACACGGUUUGACCCGGCUUGAACAGUAACGCGGUUUGGUUGAAAAUAAUCCUGUGUAUAUGCAUGUACCGUACGCGUAAUUUUUGGUCCACUAACAUGUUGCCACGUCACCAAUCAACAGUGCAUAAGAAUUUUAGUCCAACAGGAUCGUGACACCUCAUCAGUCAAUGCCACAUUAUCGGUCAAUGCCACAUCAUCGAUCCGUUUAUGUGAAUAGUGUCGUGAACAGUAACAUAGACAGUACCGUACAUGUGAAUAGUACCGUACAUGUGAACAGUGUCAUUUUUCCUUUUAUGCUCCUCCUAAGGUUUUCGACCGUCCUGAGUUCAAAAGUGAUGUCCGUUUUGCAGUCUGAUCUCUCGUUCAUUGUGAAAUGACUAUGAUGCCCCUAAAAUACUUAAUUAUAAUACAACACACAUAAUUAAAUGACAAGAAGCUUAAAUACAUAAAAGUAAGGGUGUUAGUAAAACUUGAAGUGUAAAAUGACGAUUUUCUCCUUUAUAAAUAUACAUUUUCUAACACUCAACAUAUAACAUAUGAUGUACUUUUUCUCAUUGAACCCAAACUCUUGGUGUUUCAAGUGUUGUGUUGAGUUUUUAUCAUUGGUAAUAAGAUGACGGUAGCUUUAGUCUUAUCCCCUUAGAAGUUUUUAAUAUAAUGUCCCUUGCAAGGUCUUUAGUUAAGGGGUUCACCAAAUUUUGGCAUAAUCUCACAAAGUGAAUUGUGAUUACUUCAUCUAUUAGCAAUUAUAUCACAUAACUACGUUUUAGACCAAUAUGCCUAGACUUUUCAUUAUAUAUUUGGCUGUAUGCCCUUGACAAAGAUGCCUUACUAUCACAGUGAAUGGUUACAUGAGGUAUUGGUUUAGAUUAGAUAAGAAUUUCAAUAAGUAAAUUCCUUAACCAUUCAGCUUCCUUGCUACAUGAAGGCAAAACUACAAAUACUAUAACCAUGGUGGAGUUUGCUAUGCAUGUUUACUUCUUUGAGCCCCACAGAAUAGCUCCUCUACCAAGAUUAAAUAUAUAAGCACUUAUUUGGAUUCUAUUAUAGUAUUGAUCUCAACAAAGCUAUUAUGUUCUUUUACAAGAAACUUAUAAGCUUUACUAUGUUCAUCAUAUCCCAAAAAUAUGCAUUCAAUGUCCCUUUCCCCUAGUUUCUUGAUCUUAGGUUCAGAUAAUCUUAUAAUGGCUUGACAACCUUAGACUCUUAGAUAAGAAGAGUAGGUUUUCUCUUUCCCCAUGAUUCAUAAAGGGUCAACUUUUGUUUUUUUUUAUGAGGCACUCUAAUCAAGACAUGACAAGCAGUUGAAAAUGCUUCCCCAAAAAAUCUUUACUGAGCCCAGAAUUAAAAAGCAUAGUGUUCACAAUUUGAUAACUUGAAAAUUAGCAUAGAUCUAGGUUAAACAAAAGCUAUAAAUUAAUUGGAAGACAUAUGUUAAAAUCAAUCAAAUGAAGUCAAAUUGAAGAUUUUUUUUUUCCCUGAAACUUACUGGGUUCGAUUGAUAAGAUUUAAAGUAUUUGAGCUUGAACACUAAUAUUAUCGAAGUCGAAAAAUAAAUUUUUUUUUUUUUUUUUUUUUUGAGUACAUUGACAAGGCCUAGCAGAGACUAGAGCCUAAACAAAACGAGGCGCAACCAAAAAUGGAGAACGCUAGGUGCAGAAUUGAACAAAUGGACUCCAAUAGGAAAAGCAAGAGCGUAAUUGGUAAGGAAAGUUGAAAAAGAAUUUUACGUCAAUAGGUUAAGGUUAGUUCACGAUAGUAGUAAUUUAUAUAUUAAACACUUUUUUUUUUCAUCAAAACAUAACAGGAUGGUUUAUUAAUUAAAUUUUUUUCUCUAUUCAUGCCAACGGAAUUGAAAAUCCCAAAAUUGUAUUUUUCGUGAAAGAGAAUUUGCUAACUAAACUAAUUGAAAUUUAUUAAAUAAUAAAGUACUUUUAUUAACGAUAUUUUUUGUUUAUUUUUUUUAAAGGAUUGUCUUUUUGUUCAAUUAUGCUACACAUAAAUUUAAUUGAGAAUUGAGAUAUAUAAACUGUGUCUCUCAACUAAUGUGAUAUUUAUUACCAUAUAACUCAUCCAUAUAUUCAAAAAUAUUAGUGCAAUUAAUUCAUAAGAGAAUAUAUAACUAAUAAAGUAAAAAGCUUUAUAAGAAUAUAAUACUAACGGUGGUGGAACAUGAUUUAGUUCAACAAGGGAAAUAUAACAAAAUAAUUAAGUGAUAACACAAAAAUAAAAUACAGACUUAAGAGGCCUUUAAUCGAAGACCCUUAUACUUUCUUAAUACCUUUUCAACUUGAAGGGCUCCAGGCAACAUUACAAUUCUUCCUCUUAAUUCUGCGCUUUCUAAAUUCAAAAUGUAGCACUAGUAGAAAAAAAUAUAUUUUGGGGGACGAAGCUACGGUGCCCGGGUGCAUGGUACCCCCUUGCUUUUAAUAAAUUACUUUACAGUCCCUCUUAUUUGCUGAAAAAUGAAAAAUAGAAGUUUUGAAAUUUUAAUAUAUAAGUCCAAAUUUUCUACUAUUUACACUUAAGAGUAUAUUUUUAUUAUUUAUAUUUGAAUACUAAACCAUAGUUGAUUAUUAUGAAAUUUUUUAACAUUGUCAUUUGGUCAUAUUAUUAUUGAUAAAUUAAAAUUUAAUUGUAUAUUUAAAUUAUUUAUUAUUGAUUAAAUAGAUUUUAUAUUGUUUCUAAAAAUUGUUUAAUAUUAUUGAUAAAGUAACAUAUUUUAUUAUAUAUUUAAAUUCUUUAUUACAGAUUAAAUUAAUAUUAUGUUAUUUUUAAAAAAUAAAAAAGAUUUUAUGUAUUAAUUUUUUUUUCAAGUUAUUGGCCUUAUACUAUCAUUAAGUUUAAUAGUAAAUUAGAUCAAUUGAUCAAAAUAUAAAAUUUAAAAAUUAUCCAAAAUUAUUUGUCAAACUUUUCACUAUUUUACUUUUUUGAAAAAUAAUAAGGAUGUCAAUGUUAAAAACCAAAGAGAAUACAUUCAUGCCGUUGAAACAAGUUUUGCGUUAAAUCUAAUGGCCAACUCAUAUAUAGACAAAAUGUGGGGUACCAUGCACCAGGUGCAAGGUAGCUGGACCCAUAUUUUGGGUCCGUCAUUAUUUCAAUAAUUUGUUUCUAAUAUUUUGUGUUAUUGCUCCACAUGAAAAAAAAAUUAUUGUUUUCGAAUUUGAUUUUUAGAAACUUACAAGUUAAUUAGAAACAAUUUUCAAUAGUUCUCAAGGUCGUCGUUGAGUAGUUUUCAAGCAAUUUUAUUUGGUUAGUCACUUGGAUUCAAAUUUUUGGGGAGGUAAGGGAUUAAAAAAAUGAAUUUAAACUUUUCCUAUCCCUUAUCUUUUUUAGAAAAAGUAAUUGCUAAAUCUUAAUUUUGAAUUUGAAAAAUUUCAUCUUUUGAGAAAAUAUGAGCUCAAAAAAGCCCAAGCCCAUAAGGCCGAGCCGAACUAAACUUGAUCCAUUGGCAACCCUAAUAUUUAUAGCUUUUAACUUAUAUCUGUCAAUUAAUUUUAUAUGAUAAUUAAUUAUAAUUAGUAGUUAUUUUAUAUAUUAAUUUUUUUUUCAAAACCUACUCCUAUUUGUUUUACACUUUUCUUUUUAAAAUGUAAUUCAAAAAAUGAAUUAAAACUUACUGUGAUUACAUUAGUAAAUUUUUUUAAGAGAAGAUUUGGAAAUUAAGUGUCUGGUAUGGUUUUUUCCGUGGUCAUAAAUAUUUAUUUAAUCUCAUAAUCUUUUAUCAAAAUUUUUUUUUGUUACGUUGAUUUUUUAGUAGAAUUUUUGAAGUUUUUUUGAAGUUUAAAUAAGCUAUUUUACUUCUAUUAGCAAAAUCUUAAUUUUUUGGCUUUUAGGAGUAGAGGUUGAAAAGAUUUUUUCAAAUGUUAAAAUAUCUAAAAUAUCCUCUACUCAUUUGAGAAUCUUAUUUUAUUCUUUUCAUAAUAUAGCUUUAAAAACUUGCCUAUUAAAGUAACUAUAUAAUUUUUAAUAAAAGCUAUCAUUGACAAUCAAAUAAUUAAAACUUUUUGGGUAAAAGUUCUACUUGUAAAAACUCUAUUAAUAAAAGUUAUAUUUAAAUAAGCUUUACUCGAAAAGCUGUAUUAAAUGGAGUAUAAAAUAUGUAUAUGGUUUGUUUGAGUUUGACUAUUAUUUAAUAUCCUAAUUUUUCUAUGAUUAAUAGCAAACAUGGCAGCUUGAGGCCACGUAACAACAUGCAUCUUAGUGAAAAUAUAAACGCUGCUUUCCCUUAUUGAAGUAAAUUAAAAACAAAAUUAACAAAAAUAUCAUUUUUUAAAAAUUUUAAAAAUUAAAUUUUGUUAAAUACUAAGCUAUCAAUUGAAAUUUCAUUUUCUAAAUUUCUGAUAGCUUUUGUUUUUUUUAAAUAGACAAUAUAGAUGAUUUACCUGUUUUAUUAGUAAUUGAUUUUCAUAUCUUUUUUUAAAUUUAAACUAGAAUCUUUAGUCCUGCUUUUCUAGAGAGCACUUAAAAACAAAAAAAAUAUAUGUUUUGAUGUGAACAAAAAAAUUAAUAAUAAAAUGUUUUUCUUGUACUUUUUUAUUUUUUAAAAAAUUUCUUCUAAGAAAUAUUUUAUAUAUUUUAAAAUUAAAUGUAGAAAGUUCAAGAAAAAUAUUUUAUUAUUUAUUUCAUAAUAAUUUUUAUCUAUCAUUCAAGUUUUCUUAUAAUAAUUUUUUAUCAUUUUAAAAUAAUUUUCUUAUAUAUUUAUUAUAUGAAAAUGUUUAUAAAAUAAAAAAAAAAGUAUAAGAAGAGUAUUUUAUUAUUUAUUUUUUUCACAUCAGAACAUAUAUUUCUUCUAAUACUUAAUUUUUUUUUAUUUAAUUUCCAUUCAUGUGACUUAUUUUAUCUAUAAUAAAUAUGAAUAAAAGUGUAUUUGAAAAUGUCGCCAUGAGCUGUUGGCAUGUGCUGUCAAUUAUUGAAUUGAUUUUAUAAUUACGUUUGAGAAUCUGUUAGUUGACCAAUCUUGUAUUUCAAUAUAGAAACAAUUUAUUUCUUCCCUUUUUUAGGAUGUAAUUAUCUUCAUAUAUUGCCUCUGAUUCGGAGAAGAAUAUACACAUAGAAUUAUUUUCUGCAUUGAAACCUUUGUUUGACAUGGUAUCAGAGCAGGUUCCUCACCAAGAGAAUCUGUGUUGACAAUCGAAUAUUUUCUUUUCUCCUUUUUUUUCUCUCGAAAUUCGUAUUCGUAUUCUGAAUAUUCAUCGCUGUUGUGAACUCUAUGGCUGAUAUCACAGGCGUAUCAAUGGAUAUUAUCCCACCACCAGCACCACAAGUUGUUGUUCAUCAAGACAACUCGGCUUUUCCAACUAGAAUCACUUUGGAUGAGACCAACUACUCAUUAUGGUCUCAACUCAUGGAGAUGCAGAUUAGUGCUCGCAACAAAGCUGGUUAUCUUACUAGAGAAACGAAGAAACCAGCACUUGGAGAUCCUAAUCUUGGAUCAUGGAUUACUGAAAAUCAGAGAGUCAAGAGCUGGCUGAUUGAUUCAAUGAGUUCAUCAUUGAUGCAACGAUUUAUUCGUCUCCCUACAGCCAAAGGUAUAUGGGAGGUUGUAUCAAAAACCUUCUAUGACUGAAACCGAAUGCGAUCCCUCUAAUUUUCUGGACAUGUCUGAAGCACUAUCAAGGCCACUAGAGUUACCCAUGUCUACACCAUUAACUGAAGAAUUAACCGAAAGUGUUCUUCCUCAGGUAAUUUCAAAUCCAUUGUCUAAUGAGUCUAAUGAACUAUCUGUUUCUGUAGAAGACAUGAAUCCUAGAUAUCCACAAAGGUCAAAUAGAGGAAUUCCAAAGCGACAAUAUGAACCUAAUCCCAAAUCCAAAAUAAAAUACCCAAUUAGUAACUACAUGUCAUCUCAUAGGUUGUGUGAAUCAUAUGCACUUACUAUUAAUCAAUUAUCCACUUUAUCUAUUCCUAGUAGUGUACAGGAUGCUUUGGAGGAUCCAAAAUGGACUAAGGCGAUGAAUGAAGAGAUGGAAGCUCUACAAAAAAAUGCCACUUGGGAACUUGUUUCACUACCUAAAGGAAAGAAAACAAUUGGAUGUAGAUGGAUAUUUGUUGGUAGAUUUUAUAAUCAAAUGCUAUUGGUGUCAAUGUGCAAGUGUACACAACAAGUAAUAAAGUGAUGAGUAUUCAAGAUCGUCUCCACAGGGAUUAAUGUUACUUGAAAUGUUGUAGCAAUCACAAUAGUGCAAACUAAUUUAAAUCCGAAAUUAACAAACGUAAAAUUUGCUCUAUCGUAAUUAAUGAUUGUGAGAGAGUAAAGUAAGCAAAACCGCAAUGAAAUAAACUAAACUAAAUGUGUUUAAGAUUCAAGUGAGACUAUGGUAGUUGAAUGAUCAAACUCUCCUUGUGGACUGACUGUUUUUCAUCAAGUUGAGUCCAAUUGUUACGGCAAGUGCUGCAGCACUGGGCAGAAUUAAUCUGUAUCUUCAGCUGUCGCAUAUUGGAACUCUCAUACCCUUAAAUACACUAGCAAUGACCAGUUGCUAAUCAACUCAUGAUAUGGCUUUAUGAUCCAUUUUAUCUCUCCACCCUACAAGGUAAACACCUAUGUCUAGUGUGUCACAAAUCUUAACUUCAAGUAUUGCCCUUAUGGGAUUCAAGAUAACUUAAUCCAGAAAACUUAACUUAAGAUUAAGUAAUACUCUAAUAAUAUCUGCUAAGACAUGCCCUUUUGCUGCUCUAUCUUAACUGGAACUAUUAAAUGGGUGGUCAACCGAAAUAACAGUUAUAUUAAUAAUAGCUAUUAGAGUAAAAUGCUACAGCAAUGACAUAACAACACAUAAGAACAGUCAAGAACCCAUUGGAUUGUUUGUCACUCAACUACAAGCAAAUCUAGUUCAUAUUCUAAAUAAGAAAAACAAUCAUAAACAUGUUGUUCACUGGAUAAAUUAGAACAAUCAAAGGAAGAAGAUAAAUAUAAGUUGAGCAUGGUGAAAGACAAAUCCAAAUAAUUCUGCAAGAUUCCUCAAUGUUGCCGAACAGCACUCUUCAAUUCCGAUCUUCUUCUUUUUUCCUCUCUAAUGAUUUUGAUGAUAAUUCCCUUGCCGCCUUUCUAUGUGGUGCACGCCUCUAUUUUAUAUGGCAAACUAGGGUAAAACAAAAGUCCAUAGGCAUACAUGAAUUAAAUUAGGAAACAUGCAAAUCGCGAAUCUGCUGCUGGCAUGCGCCUAAAUUUUCUCCCGCAUUGCUCCCAGAUUGCUAUAGCACUAGUUGCUCUAACAUCCGCUACAACACUGCACUAUUCCCGAUUGUGCUUUACUUCUUUUACGGCUAUCUUCUUUCCUCCUCUUGCUCAUCCAUUGUCUCACCAUCCCCUCAUGAAUUAAGACUUUCUAAAAACCUACAAUAAUGCACCUGUUUUUAGCACCAAUUACUUUGAUUCAAACAAAACUUAUUAAAACUUAACUAAAAUGAAUGUUUAUGCAAAAUAUAACCAAAAUGUAAUAAAAACACCUUACUUGUCCUCUAAUUAAUCUUGAUUUAAGUCUAGAAUUGAUGUAAUAACUCUCAUUUCCUAGAGUUAUCAGUAUUCAUGGUGAAACUCAGAACAUAUGGAAGCAUUGAUAGGUAUAAAGCGAGACUAGUGGCAAAGGGAUAUACACAAAGGUAUGGAAUAGAUUACCAAGACACUUUCGCACCAGUAGCCAAGAUAAAUACCAUUCGCAUUAUUAUUUCGAUAACAUCAAAUCAAGAUUGGCCCUUGAAAUAGUUCGAUGUCAAAAAUACUUUUCUCAAUGGAGAUUUAUAAGAAGAAGUUUACAUGGAGCUACCUCAUAGUGUCAAACGUAGUUCUAUGCGUAGAAAUGAAGUAUAUAAGCUGAAGAAGUCCUUGUAUGGACUAAAACAGUUGCCUAGGGCAUGGUUUGGGAGGUUUUCAGCGACAAUGAAAGCUGCUAGUUAUAAACAAAGUAAUUCAGACCAUACUUUGUUUAUAAAACACAAAGAAAGAAAAGUAACGGUGUUAAUAGUGUAUAUUGAUGAUAUGGUAUUAACAGGGGACGAUUUGUCUGAAAUGAAAGCACUACAAGAACAUUUGGCUGCUGAAUUCGAAAUAAAAGAUCUUGGGCAGCUUAAAUACUUCUUGGGGAUUGAGGUAGCAAGAUCGAAAAAUGGAAUUUUUCUUUCGCAACGAAAAUACGUGUUAGAUCUUCUCACUGAAACUAGUAUGCUUGAUUGUAAACCAGCUGAAAUGCCUAUAGAGAUGAAUCACAAGCUCGGGAUUCUACCAAAUCAAACUCCAACUGAUAAGGGUCGUUACCAAUGGCUAGUUGGGAGGUUAAUCUAUUUAUCCCACACAAGGCCAAACAUAGCAUAUGCCGUAAGUGUAGUAAGCCAAUUCAUGCAUUCACCAAGUGAAGAACGUAUGGAUGCAGUCCAUCGAAUUCUGAGAUAUUUGAAGUGUGCUCCUGGAAAAGGUUUAUUGUUCUCAAAAAAUAAUGUCUCAAACAUUGAAAAAUACACGGACUAUGAUUGAGCAGGUGACCAGACAACAAGAAGAUCUACGUCAGGUUAUUUUGCAUUUGUUGAAGGCAAUCUCGUCACUUGGAGAAGCAAGAACCAGAAGGUUGUGGCAAGAUCAAGCGCUGAAGCGGAAUUUCGCGGAAUGGCGCAAGGUGUGUGUGAGAUGUUAUGGAUCAAGAACAUACUGAAAGAUUUGGGGAUUGAUUAUGCAAAACCCAUGAAUCUUAACUGUGAUAAUAAAGCAGCCAUAGAGAUUGCCCAGAAUCCUGUACAACAUGAUCGCACAAAACAUGUUGAAGUAGAUCGUCAUUUCAUCAAGGAGAAGCUUGACGAGAAAACUAUACAGUUCCCAUUUGUUCAAUCUGGAGAUCAGUGGGCUGACAUACUCACAAAAGCAGUAGCAGGAAGGGUGUUUCAUGAUAUAAUUGACAAGUUGGGCAUGAUAGAUAUCUAUGCUCCAACUUGAGGGGGAGUGUCGGCAUGAGCUGUUGGCAUGUGCUGUCAAUUAUUGCAUUGAUUUUGUAAUUACGUCCGGGGAUCUGUUAGUUGACCAAUCUUGUAUUUAAAUAUAGAAACAAUUUAUUUCUUCCUUUUUAGGAUGUAAUUAUCUUCAUAUAUUGCCUCUAAUUCGGAGAAGAAUAUACACAGAAUUAUUUUCUGCAUUGAAACCUUUGUUUGACAGAAAAUAAGGGUAAUAUUAUAAACUUAUAUUGUCAAGGAAGUUAUUAACUACUACAAAAAUAACAGAGGAGUAGAUGAUAUAUAUUGAUUAUAGUAUAGUGCAAAUUGACAAUCUCCCCCCACCCCCCCCACACACACACGUGUACAGUGGUUGUAGGCUAGCUAGGACAUAUAUCAACAACCUGGGAUGCCCUAAUCCAAAGUUGUAGAAUUAUAAAAGGCGGUCAGAGGACAACUAAGGUUGCAUUUGUUUUUUUAUCUGAAAUCUAAAUAGGUUUGAAUUUAACUGAAGUCUGAAUAGAUAUGAAUAAAAAUGUCUAAAUGACAUGUUUGUUUUUUCUUUCUCAACAUCUGCAGAGAAAAACUUAAAAACUAGUAGUUUGACAUAAAUAUCAUUUUAAGUGGUGCAUAUAUUUGUUCCUCACAAUUUAUAAUUUUCACAAGUUAAUUAGUUUGGUAACAUUAAAAAAAAUACUAUCAUUGUUUAUCUUAAUUUAAUUUUUUAACGAAAGAUGUAACUAUAAUAUCAAAUUUUAUUAUAAAGUCAACACUGUUAUUUUAUUUUUGAUUCAUCACAAUUGACAUAAUUUGAUUUGUUCAAUAUUUCAAUUUAGUUAAUGUUAUCACAUGAAUAAAAAUUUAAAGCAAUUAAAAAUAAUAACUUUAAGAAUAAGACAUUAAAAUUUUCCAUUUACACUUCAGACUUCAGAUAAAAGUGGACUUUUUCUACUUUUUCAAUUCUAAUAAAAUUUUCUGACAAUAAGUGACAAGUUAAAAAAAGAAACAACUUAAAAUUAAAAAAAUAUUUGAAAAAAAGUUAAAUUCAGACUUUAAAUUAAAAAAAAAAUAGCACCUAAAUUUAAUAACUACAAAAUUAGCAUAUUUGGGUUAGACAAAUGCUAUUAAUUAAUUUGGCCAAGUCAAAGAGAAUGUUAUUUACUUAUUUAUUUAUUUUUUGAAACUAUUGGAUUGGACCGAUAAGAUUUUAAAGUAUUAGAAGGGGUUUGUCCAUAUUUUUUUCAAAGGACUUUCUUUUUGAUUAAUUAUGCUACAAAUAAAUUUAAUUGAGAAUUGAGAUAUAUAAACUGUGUCUCUAUUAAUAUGAUAUUUAUUACCAUGUCAUUCAUUCGUAUAUUAAAAAAUAUUAGUACAAUUAAUCCGUAAGACAAUAUAUAAUUAAUAAAGUAAAAAGACAACAUAAGAAUACAAUAAUACUAGUGGUGGAAAAUAUUGAGGUGAUGACACAACAAGUACAGACUCAAGGGGCUUUUGAUUGAAGGGCUCCAUGCAGCAUCACAAUUCUUCCCCUUAAUACCACACUUCGUAAAUACAAAAUGUAACGCUAAUAGGAAAAAUUAUAAUUUGUUUCCAUCAACAUUUUAAUAAUUUUUUUUUCCCAAAAUAUUGUGUUAUUGUUCCACAUGGAAAAGUUAUAGUUGGAAAGAUCUCGACAAAUCAUCAGUGCCGCCACAUAAGCGUCAUGUCAUCAACAGGUCAGUAGAAGUCCGCCAAGAAAACAGCUAAUGACAGCCCAAUACCACACAGCAAAUUCUAGCCCGAGUCUUGAAAAUUUAACAGGAGACCAAUUUCAUUUUCAGCCCACCAAUUGAGGAUACAGCUCCAAAUUCUGAUCAAAUUUGUUGUGCUUCAAGUGGCUGAUGAGUAAAUCACACGUUGAAAAGUUUUUCCAACUAGACUGUUAAGAAUGUGAGUGUUUUUUUUUUUUUUUUGAAAGGAAGAAUGGAAGUUACUGUGACUAAUAAAUUACUGAAAAAAUCUUCAUGACGUAGGACUGUGUAACAUUUAUUUUCCCUUAUAAAAAAAAUGUGUGUAUAUAUAUAUAUAUACACAUAUAGGGUCCGCCUACCUUGCAACAGUUGCACGGUACCCCAAAUUUUGUCUUUUUUUUAUUCAGCCCAUUGAUCUAAUGGUUAAAGUGUUCAACGGAUGAGAUGCGUUCAUUUGGUUAUUAACACUUAACUCCCUACUGUUUAUUACAAUAUCAUAAAAACUAAAAGUUUUUAAAUAUUUUUUUAUAUAACUCCUAUUGUUUUAAAUCUUUUAAAGUUUUAUCUAUUCACCUAACUUGAUAUUAAAAAGAUGGUGUAAAGAUAAUAAUGUAAUAUCACAGAAAAUUUUUUUAAACACAUUAAAAAUUUAUAAAUGUAAAUAAUAUUUUUUUGUUAUAUAAUAUAUAUUUAAUAUAGAAUAAAUAAACUGAAUAUAUAUUAAGAAUAUAGGUUAUUAACCAUACAAUACUUCAAAAAAUUAUAAAAUAAAAAAGGUGAAAUUUCAAAAUAAGAAACAUGUAAAAAGUGGUAGGUUGUAAAAUUUUAUUAUUUUAAUAUUACAAAACUUUACUUUCUUAUUACAUUUUUAUUUUUAACAUUAGUUGACAUGUUAGUUUAUUUGUACAUAUAAUAUGUUAAUUUAACUAUAAAAUACCAAUAUUACUCUUGAAAUUUAAGAGAGCCAUUUUAAUUUUUUAAAAUUUUAAAUGUAGCCCAACAAAGUUCUAGAAAGAUAAACAAAAAAUAAUAUAAAAGGAAGUUAGUUUAUUUUUUCUUUAAGAAUAUUUCAGAAGCAUUUGAUUUUUAUGUUUCUUGAGAAUUACCCAUUUUUAAAGAUAUUUGAGCUUGUGAAUCUUGUUGUAAUGAUAAUUUAUUAUUUAUUCUUGAUAAAAAAAAUAUUUGAAUAGUAAAUUUAUUGAUUUCUAAAUGCUCUUUUAGAUGUAGGGUGGUUGCUUAAUUUUUAUUAUAUCAGUCUAAAAUUUUUUAUGAUGGCUAAUCAACAUCGCAAAAGACUCUGCCACGAUUAUUUUUACUUUCUUUACAUCAUUUUAGACCAUCAUCACACAAAGAAUUAAGGGUUUAUUUGGCAUCUUGUAUUAUAUUAUACUCUAUUGCAUUAUUUAAUAUAGGUAUAUUGUAUUAUGUUAUAUUACAUUAGCAGUAAAUUAUAAUAAUAUUGUACAAUGUUUAGUAAUUGGUAUUACACUAUACUGCAUUAAUUUUAUAUUAAUAUUAAACUAACAUUAUUUAAAUUUAUUAUUAAUUAUACUAAAUUAUUAUUUUUAUAUUAAUAUAAUAUGAUAUAAUAAAAUAAGAUUAUAGUAUAACUUAUUUUAUAUUUUUAUUUAUUAUAAUGAAAAUAAAAAUAUAUUUAAUGCUCAAUUAAGGCAAAAAAAUCUAUAAAGUUUAUUAAUGAUGAUGAUGAUGAUAAUGAUGAUGUUCGCGACAUUAAUAAUAACAUAAUAAUUAAAAUAAUAAAAUUAUUAAAAUUUUAAUAAUAUUAAUAAAAUAAUAAUAAUUAAAAUAAUAAAGUUAAUGUAUUUUAAUAAUAGUAAUAAAAAUAAUAUUAAUGACAAUAAUAAAAUUAAUAAAUAAUAAUAAUGACUUAAUUAAAGUAAUCAUAACAAUUAAAAUAAUAAAAUUAAUAAAUUUUCAUAAUAAUAAUAAUUAAUGAGAGUAAUAAUAAUAAUAAUAAUUAAUAAAUAAAAUAAUAAAUUAACAAAUUUUAAUGAUAAUAAUAUUAUUAAUAAUAUUAAUAAUGAUGACAUUUAUGAUAGUAUUAAUACAUAACAAUAAUUUUAAUUUUAAUAAUAAUAAUUAUAAUAAUAAUGACAUUAAUAAAUAAUACUAAUAAUAACAGUUAAAAAUUGUUUUAAAGCCAUUUUAUCCCAAAAAAAGGGCUUAUAUAUAAAACUUUGUAACUUUUAGUGUCUAUUCAUUUUUUUCAGAGAAUAUAGGAUAGUGCAAUGUAAUUAAUUGAAAAGACAAAAGUAAGUGGUACAGUGCAACCGUUGCAACAUAGUUUCAUCCAUAUAUAUAUAUAUAUAACAAUUAUUUUCAAAAGAUAAAGUAAUUAUUUGAAUCAAAAGAUAAAUUCUAUUAACGAUCCAAUGUUGAAUUAGGACCUGAUGUGUUAAGAUUUAGUUAGCUUAUUUGAGUAAUUAAGGGAGAUUCUUUCCUUAUAUAUGGCUGAUUUGUUAUCCAUUGAAAUAUGGGGUCGUUAUUUACUUUCCUUUCAUUUGGGAUCGCAAUUUGUGAAUAUUAUAGCUCUUGUAAACUUGUAAAUAAAGUCUCUUAUUCAACUGUCAGAAAAUGAAUAUAUACCGUUCUUUUCAAAACUUAAUUUUUAGGAUGCUAAACUGAGUUGUACACUCAUAUUUUCAUAAUUUUCUGCCAUUCGUAUAAAAUUAAAGUUUAAUCACCAAUUGCAUCUACAUAAAAAGUUGGCAAAAACCCCGAUGGUAGUACUAUUUUUCCGGCACUAUCCAACUCCAAAUUUGUCACAUGACUUUGCUCCUAUAGAAUGACAUUGAAGUAUCAAGAAUGCAUAUCAAUCUUUAAUGAAAAAUGAUUUUUCAAGCAGGAACAGCUUCCAUUUAUUUCAAGCCUCAAGGAGCGUUGAGAAAUAAAGUGAAAUUAACAGUCAACAAUUGUACUGACAAAAACAGUACUUUUCAGGCGGUGUUGCCUUGUGAAAAUCACACCAUCCUGUUCCCUUGUAAUUUUUUUGACAAUCCGCUUUGCACUGAUCAUCGCCAUUGCAGGCCCAAAAUUUCUCGCAAGUAUUUGCUUGUGCCCCAAGAAACAUGUUUCCAUCUGCAUGUUAUGAACAAUAUAUAUAUUUGUUGUUAGCCAUCAUUAAAAAAAAUUUCAUUAUAUUUAUCUAUAUAUAAUCGAAAUAAACUAUAUAUAUUGAAUCAACGAUCAAUUUUUUUUGAGUGUGUGUGUGUGUAUAGACAUAUAUACAUACCAGAAACAAGAAGGAAAGCAAGUAGGAAGCAAACAAUAGUGAACUUUGCCAUCUUUUGAAGAAUAUACGAAGUUGCUUAUAUGAUUUUAAAAAGGUUUAUGAGAAACUUAUAAUUUUUAUUGAUCUUUUUAUAGCACUGGAAUAUGUAUUGAUACACUGAUAUGAUUUUAACAUCAAAUCAUUACUUUCUAAAAUUGCAAUACAGAAUCUGGGAAUUAAUGGGAAUAUUUUGAAUAAAAUACUUAAAUUUGCAUUUUCUUAUUAGUUUUUGACAGCAACUUAGAAUUUGGGAAUGGCAACAAUAUUAAAUGAAAUAUUUAGGUCCUAUUUGGUAUUAUGGUUGGACAGAAGCUGUACGAAUAAGAAGUGUUUGGUAAACACUAAUUGCUAUAGUUUUAAAGUUGAGUUGAUUUAUCACACUUGUAUGAUAAAAAUUUUUUAAUAUCAAUAUUAUCUCUGUUAAAUCAUUAUUUUAAAUUUAUUUUUUAAUGACUAUCAACUUUUAUUUAAUGCCUAUAACUUUUUUUUUCUCGUAUAAUAGCUGUAGUUUAAAAGUCUCAAUAUCUCAAUGCCAAAUAUAUCUCAAUUUGAAGAUUUUUAGUUUUGGAUAACAACUCAGGAUUGUAAAUAUCUUGUAAUGAAAUACUUAAAUUAGUAGUUUUUCAGUUUUGGAUGACAACUAAGAAAUUAUAGGAAUGAGAAUAUUUGUUUUAAUGAAAUACUCAAUUUGCAUUUUCUUAUUAGCUUUCAAUAGCAAAUGAGAAAGUUCGGGGAUGGAAAUAUUUUUGAAUGAAAUACUUAAUUUAAUUGGCAAUUUCUUAGUUAUGGAUAGCAACUCAGGAUUCUUGAUUUAAACUGUGAUCAAACCUGUCACCGGCAUUUGUGGCAAUUUUCAUAAUAAAAAUUCUGCGAGAUGUCACUUGUUAUAUUACAUGUUUGCAGAAGCUCAGUUGAAUAGUAACAAAAUUACGUUCUUGAGUGCACAUAAAUAACAACAGGAAAACAAGCAUAAGAUGAAUAGCAUAAUAAUUUUAUGUGGUUCAGCUUGCAGUCUACUUCGAUGGUCAAAGAUAUAAAAAAUUUUUACAAAGAAAUAAGGGUGUACAAAUAUUAAAGUAUAUCAUUCACUCACGACCAAAAUUCCUGAUAUAUGCUUAAUUUCUCUCUCACUUGAGCAUUAAAUUUCCCCGAAUUCACUCAACCGAAACUUUCACAAGAAAGUCUUAUUAAAGCUUCAUCUUCACUUGAUAUGCUCUAUAAUUCAAAUUAAAGGGUGAUAUAUUUCUCAAAAUGGAGAGCUCUAUUUAGAGGUAAAAUCUCAAACUCAUCAAAUUGGCAAGUGAAACAAUCAUCAUCCUUGCCAUACCAGCUGUAACGCAAAAUCUACAUUAUGACAUUUGCCUUAUUAAUUACCUGAUUACACAGAAAACCGAAAAAACCGUACCAAAGUUUACUUCAGCCAAAAUAGCGAAGAAGAUGAUACAGAGUAGAUAAUAAAAACCUGAAGUAAUCAUGGGGCCGGUAACAAUCACAUCAUCUCAUCAUGUGGGAAAAGUCUUUGCCAAGAGAAGCUGCUCGCUUCAAACAACAUCUUAUCACCUGAAAUUUAUGAAAAUAAUUAAUAGCUUUUCAAUUUCAUUACAUUAUCUAUGCCAAUCUAACAAUAAUUCAUGAAAAUUCAAAUUCAAAUCAUAUUAGCAUCAUACUAUGAGUGACGAAGCGGCUUGACCACAACAUAUGUAUUGACCACCUUUUGAUCAUUAUUGUGUGGAGUAUAUAUUUGCUAGGAAGGAACCCAUACAAGCAGCUGCAAAUUGACCAGAAAUAAAUUUUAUUCCCUCUUUGUGUGAUUAAAAUGAGAUGUGUACCAUAAAUAAAUAGGUAGAAAAAUAAACCAAUAAAAUCCGAGUAAUAAACCCACAAGAGACAUUUUUACAAGAAAAAUUCAAAAUGGGAAAAAUCACGGGACCAUAGUCCGAUAUAAUCUUUCACUAUAUUAAUGAGAUUACAACAUAAAUUCUUCUCUAUAUAACACUAGAGGUUAACAACAUUAAGAAUCUCAAUAAUCUUGGCUUACAGUAAUAGCCUAAUAUCUAUCUCUUUAAUAAGUGGGUAUCUCAAAAUAACGGCCAAUGAGUGGAUAAAACAAAAUAAAAACUGGUAGGAUAUUGUAGAGGGCGAUGCCAAGAACUUAGGAGAAAAUAGAGUUAAAUUUUCCUUCUGAUCGUCCAAUAAAAUAUUGAAACCCUUGUCCCCAAAAACAAUCUCACGCCACUAUCUUUCUCUCCCUUUCUCGUCAUUUCUUCUUUUUCUCAAUCAAUGUCAACUGCCGCUUGCACUUUUUCAUCUUUGUAUAAUGUUUUCAAAACCAAUUUAAUGGGAAAUUUCAUUUAACCUCACUUGUUUCCUUUAGUUGGUUAAAUACCCAAAUUAAUGAAAGAUGGGCUUGGGCCACCCAAAUGAGAUGGAUCUAACAAAUUUUCCUCUCCAGAUCAUAUGGGGGGCACUACCAAGCCCGUUCUCUCCUUACAUCUUUUCAGCUUCUUCUUGGGCAAUGACUUUGACAUCAUAUCUGACCCAUUUUCAAUUGUAUGAAUCUUUUCAAGUUACAAUUAUUUCUUCUCAAGCACGUCUCGUAUCCAAUGAUACCUCAUAUCAAUAUACUUGGAUUUUAGUUGAUAUGUCGAAUUCUUUGCUAAGUGAACAACACUCUGAUUAUCGCAGUACACUAUAUAGCUAUCUUGUUUCACACCUAGCUCUUGUAGGCAAUUCUUCAUCUACAAGGCUUUUUUCCAACUUCCAGUGGUUGCAAUAUACUUUGCUUCGGUGAUCGAUAAAGUGACACAUUGUUGAAGUUUGGAUUGCCACGAGACUGCUUCCCUUGCAAAAGUGAGCAAAUAUCCUGAUAACGAUUUUCUAGAAUCAACAUCUCUUGCCAUAUAUACAUCAAGGAACGUUUGUAAUACAAGUUUUUCACCAUCAAAACAUAAAAAUGCCUUGGAAGUGCCUAUGAGAUAUCUGAGAAUCUACUUCACUGCUGUCUAGUGCUCUUUACCCGGAUUGGAGAGAAACCGAUUGACUACACAAUUUGGAUGAGCAAUAUCUAGUCUUGUACAAACCAUGGCGUACAUCAAAUUGCCAACUGCUGAAACAUAAGGAACUUCUUUCAUCUCUUACUUCUCUUUCUCACUUAUAGGAUAAUGCUAGAAACUAAGCUUGAAAUGACCUACAAGUAGAGAAUAAAUAGAUUUUGCCCUACUCAUGUUAAAUAUUUCAAGAACCCUUUUCAACACAUGCUUCUUGAGAUAACCAUAACUUUUCUUAUUUUCGAUCACGGGAAAUCUUUAUUCCAAGAAUAUGUUUUAUCGAUCCAAAUCCUUUAUUGCAAAGACUUAUUAAGCUAUUUCUUCAUAUUAUUAAUUUUACUAACAUCUUAGCCAACAAUUAACAUGUCAUCCACAUAAAGUAAAAGAAUGAUAAAAUCAUUAUCACCAAACUUCUUUACAAAAACACAAUGAUCACACACUGUCUUGCUAAAACUAUGAUUCUCCAUAAAAGAAUCAAACUUCUUUUACCACUCUCUUGGUGUCUGUUUUAGCCCAUACAAUUUUUCUUCAACUUGCAUACAAAUUCUUCUUUGGUUUUGACACUAAACCCUUUAGGUUGUUCCAUAUUUAUUUCCUCCUUUAAGUCACUAUACAAGAAAGUUGUCUUUAUAUCAAGCUGUUUAAUCUUUAAAUUCAAGCUAGCUGCUGAUCCUAAAACAACUCGAAUAGAAGAUAUCUUUACUAUAGGAAAAAAUAUUUCUUCAAAAUCAACAAUUUUCUUUUAGUUGAAACCUUUCAUAACCAAUCUAGCCUUAUACAGCUGUUGCAAAUUAUUCUCAAUCUUUAACCUGUAAUUUCAUUUGUUCUUCGAUGCCCUCUUUCUUUUAGAAAGGUUUACUAAGUCAAAAAUGUGAUUCUCAAUCAAACAUUUCAUCUCCUCUUGCAUGGCUUUAAACCACUAACUUUUAUGCUGAUAAAGCAUAGCUUCUUCAAAACAUUAUGGUUCUCAUUCAUUUGCAAGCAUCACAUACUCAUGUGGAGGAUACUAGUAGAAGAUUGUCAUUCUCUAGUGGAUCUUCUCAAUUAUGUCUCAAUUGGUGGUGUUAGUGGUUCUGGAGGUUCUUGCUCAACUGGUUUUAUUGAGCUAUUAUUAUUAUCCUCUCUACCUCCCCUAUGAUCAUCAUGAAUUAUAAGUGGAGAAACAAAAGUUGGAAUAAUAAGAAUCUUUGAAAAUGACUUAGACUUAUCACUCUUCUCUGCAUCACCAACUAUCUGAUCUUUAAGAAACACAACAUAUUUACUUUUAAUAAAUUUCCUUGCCACUGGAUUCUAUAACUUGUACCUAAAUUCUUCACGUCCAUUGCCUACAAAAAUGCAUUCCUUGAGUUUAUCACCAAGCUUCAAUCUCUAAUCUUUAGGGAUAUGAACAUAUGCUUUGUAACCAAACACUAUUACGUAUUUAUAAAAAAAAUAUCUUUUUCACUCUAAACUCUCUUAAGUACAUCACCAUCUAAUGGAACUGAAAGAGAAAUGUUAAUCAAAUCAAUUGCAAUAUGUAUAGCCUUGGCCCAAAAAGAUUUAGGAAGCUUGGCAUCAGAAAGCAUACACUUGAUUCUUAGCAUGCACCUUAUUCUUUCUUUAAUUGUUUUAUUCAUCCUUUCUACAACAUCAUUCUACUGAGGGUUUUUUGGUACAAUCAUUUCAAAUUUUAUUCCAUGGGAUCUACAAUACUGCUCAAAUGUCCUCUAUAUUCGCCACUAUUAUCUACCUUGACAUAUUUUAAUUUUCUUCUUAUCCUUCUCUCAAUAUAAGCAUGGAAGAAUUUAAAUGUAUCGAGCACCUGGUCUUUAGAUUUUAAAGUAAAAACCCACACUUUUCUAGAAUAGUCAUCAAUAAAAGUCACAAAAUAAAGUGCACCCCAUGUUGAUCUACUUUGCAUCAUACAAACAUCAAUGUGAAUCAAAUCAAAGAUUUGUGCUUUUUUAGAUGGAGAAAAGCUUUUAGAAUUUAUCUAUAUGUCUUUCUAGCUAAGCAAUGAACACAAGUCUUGAGAGAUAUGCCUACAAAGCUGGGUAGAAAUACUUUUCUGGCAAGAGUUUCUAACCCUUUAUCACCAAUGUGUCCAAGCCUUUUAUACCAUGUCUCAAUAUCAAAAUCUUUUACAGCCAUAUUCACGUGUUCUUUGUUGAUCUUUUUUCUUGAUCUUGCAUUCUACUACAUACAGAGUGUUCGUUUUUCUUUCCUUAGCUAACGCUAGGAAGCCUUUGUGAGCUUCCAUUUUCCUUCAUCAAAUUGGUUAGUAUAACCAUCAUCAUCAAGUUUGCCUAUGGAGAUUAAAUUAAGGCGAAUAUUUAAUACAUGUCUGACAUUUUUAAGCAACAACUUAUAGCCAACAUAGUUUCUAAGCAAAUAUCUCUUAUGGCCAUAAUCACUAUUAACAUGGGAUGUGAAGUAAUCACGAUAUUUAGUAACAUGAAACGAAGCAUCCGAAUCAAUCACCCAAUCACUACUAUAGAAAGUGAGAUUUACAGAGCUCUCAUUAUAAACAAUACCUAAAUCACUAUCAACUAUCGUUGCAAUGUUCCCUUUGUCAUUUUUCUGACCAUAUGCAUUUUCCUUCACCUGUUCUCUUUUCCAUAAUCUACACUCCCUUUUUAUAUGACUCAUUUUCUAAUAGUGAAAGCACUUGGCGCUUCUCUUCUAGGACUUAGAUCUUCCCAUGUCUUUCUUACUUGUUUAAAAUAAGUGCAUCUGACUCAGAGGAAACCAUUUCAACACUCUUUCUUCUAGUUCUUCAUUUUGCAGUCUAUUUGUAGCCAGAUCCAAGGUUAAUUUCCCGUUCGAUGCUGAAUUAUUUACUGACACCUCUAAUAUCUCCCAAUUAUUAGGCAAAGAACUAAGCAAUAACUAUGCUUGUAACUUAUCAUCUAAAACAAUCUUCAUAGUAGUCAACUGAUCAACCAAGCCUUGAAACUUACUAGUGUGUUAAGUUAUAUUAUGCCCCUCCUUGUAUUUUAAUUUAACAAGCCUUUUCAUCAUAUUGGCUUUAUUUUGUGCUGUCGGCUACUAAUAAAUUAUUUUCAAUUUCCUCCAAAAAAUAUCAACCCCGAAUUCCUUCGCAACAUGGUGGUAUACACUUUGAUCAAUCCAUAACCUAAUAGUGCCCAUAGACUUUUAGUUUAAUUAAGUCCAUUUCUUAUCAUCCAAAUUAGCGAAUCUAGCUUCUUCGCCUUCAAUAGGUUCAUAUAAGUCUUUCAUGUAUAGUAAAUCUUCCAUUCGAGACUUCAAUUCCAUGAUUUUAAUUUAAUCAUGCUUGUCGAAGACUCCUCCAUCUCAACCAACCACACAAGUAAUAGAAACACACAACCUAAUGCUUUGAUACCACUCUAUUGGGAAGGAACCCACACAAACAACUGUAAAUUAAGCGGACAAAACCUUCUUUCCUUUUUUGUAUGACUAAAAUGGGAUGUGUACCACAAAUAAAUAAGAAGAAAAAUAAACCACAUAUAAGUAAGUAGGAAAAUAAACCAACAAAAUCCAAAGCAAUAAACCAAUCAUAAGAGACACAUAUUUUUACGUGAAAAAUUCAAAACGAAAAAUACUACGGGACCGUAGUCUGAUAUAGUCUUCAAUUAUAUUAAUGAGAUUACAACAUAAAUUCUUUUCUCGAACACUAGAGACUAAAAGCAUCAAGAAUCUCAAUAAUUUUGACUUACAGUAACAGCCUAAUAUUUGUCUCUCUAAUAAGUGGGUAUCUGAAAAUCAUAGCCAAAGAGAGGAUAAAACAAAAAUGAAGAUCACUAGGAUUGUAGAGGGCAAUGCUAGAAACUUACCUUUUAAAUUUGGGAGAAAACAAAGUUAAAUUUAUCUUCCGACCAUCCAAUCAAAAAUUAAAUCUUUGCCUCAAAAAAACAAUCUCACGCCACUAUCUUUCUCUCCCUCUCUCGACUUUUCUUCUUUUCUCACUCAAUGUCAGCUGACGCUUGCACUUAUUCAUCUUUAUAUAAUGUUUUCAAGACCUAUUUAAUGGAAAAUUUAAUUUAAUCCCACUUAUUUUUCAAUUAUUUAAAUACCCAAAUUAAUGAAACUUGGGCUUGAGCCACCCAAAUGAGAUAGACCCAACAAUAUCUUUGACUGCGUAAAAUUUUAGCUGCAAGGCACCUGCAAAUUGUUUUCAAUCCUGAACGAGAGCCUAAUUUUGAAUAAAAAUUAAUCUAUAUGAUGACACAAGAGACAAUGGUAAAAUAGCCAUAAGAAAUAUAAAUAUACUUUUGUCAGAGCAUCUUCUAGGAGUAUUGAUUUGGUCUAAGAUCUUAAAUUUUAUUAAAGUUUGAGAAAGCUAUUAACUUAUAUGGUUUAAUAGUUUUUCUAUGCAUUAUACUAUUAAAUCAUAUGUUCUUCUAGUAAAAUGCAAUGCCUCCAUUAUCAACUAUGAUUACCUACAUGGUAUCCUUCUGUUAUAAUACCAUUUGUAGUGAAUUGAAUCUUGACGUGUGCCUUAGUAUGCUGCUUAGUAUCCAUAACCUGUUAACAAAAACAACUUUACUAAAGUUUAGUCCUUAGUGGUAAAAUAGUGAAGAAGAUAAUCUAUUAAUAAUAAAUAUUUACCUAGUUAACCUUAUGUCGAUAAUCACAGCAUCUCAAGGGGCAAAAUCUUCCACAUAUAAUAAGCUUGCUUCAAGCAAGGUAGUCGCCGGCAGUGAGAGGGAGUUCCUACAGUGGUAAAGCACCACCACCUGCGGCCGAUGCAUCCAUGAAGGGCUUGACCGAUAAUAAAGUUAUUCAACAUGCAUGCCGAGCCAAUAAGUGUUUUAUUAUUAAAAUUUUUCUUUUCUUGCGAGCAAUAACAAUCGGGCAAUUAAUGUGUAGAGUUUGUUUCACAAAAAUAUUCAAGAAGAAAGAGAGAAUAUAAUAGAAGAGGAGUUCAUGGGAAAGGACAAGGACAUUGAUAUUGAUAUUAUGGAUGUGGUAAUUGAAAGGAAGGGGUUUUUUACCGGCUAUAUCAUUUUCUCAAAAAGUUCAUUCGCAACUAGUGAAGCCAUUGGAAUCAACAGUUGUCGUGAAAUUGCUGGGAAGAUCUAUUGGAUACAAAGUGCUAUGUAAUCGUUUGGAGGCUUUAUGGAAUAUGUCCUACGAUUUCUCUGUGAUUGAUCUAGAAAAUAACUACUUCCUUGUUCGGUUCAAAAGGGAAUCUGAUGCUCAGCAUGUGCUUACUCAAGGACCAUGGAUCGUGUUUGGCCAUUAUUUAAUGGUACAUUCAUAGUCUCCGCAUUUUGACAGUGCUAAUGAAAAAAUAUCAUCAGUAGUGGCAUGGAUUCGCCUUCCGGGUAUGCCUGUUCACUACUAUCACAAGAAGGUGCUGAGGUUGUUAGGCCAGGUAAUUAGGAAUGUCAUUCGUAUUGAUUAUAAUAUAGAAUCAGCUAGGAGGGAAAAUUUGCUAGGAUCGGUAUUGAAGUUGCAUUGGAUAAGCCGUUAUGCUCACAGUUCCUGCUAGAUGGACAGAUUCAAAAAGUGGAAUAUGAAAGUUUACCUACCAUAUGUUUGAAUGUGGUUUCUACGGUUACCUCGUUUCAUCUUGCUAAUAACUCUAUGAAAUGAGAGUUAUCAUGAGACUUUUAGGCUUAAAUCAAGACUACUUCCAGAGUAAUUGAUGUGCUUUCAGUGCAUUUUGAUGUUGGUUUGGAUUAACAUCUAUCUUAGUUUACAUUUGAUGAAGUUUAUGUGAUUUUGGAAAUAAUUGUUUGCCUAAAGCAUGUGCUUAAUUAUAGGUAACUGGAAACCUGAAUUUUAUUGAAAGGAUGUUGUAGCAAUGGACUUACAAAAAGGACAAACGAACAUGGCUACAGAAGAUUUGAUGUAAGGCUGGAACAGUUCAGAUGCUGUAGCUAUUGUUGUAGCAAUUCCUGAGCAUUGACAGAAAAAUUUGGGCAAAAUAUUCAGAAUAUUGCGAUCUGCAAUUUCCAAAUCUGAAGAUGCGCCCGAAAGUUUCCAGUUAACUUAAUUUAUGAAUAUAAAAGAAUGUGUACAUGAAAAGAAAAGGGAGAGAGCCAUCAAUCAAGAUCAAAACAGAGAAGAAAUAACAAAGUAACAGAAUUCCCCAAUUAGAAUUCAAGGCUGCACUAGUAGAAGAAAUUUACAGAAUUAAUUGGAAUUUGCCUUGUCUCAAUCUUUUCUUUUUUACUUUUCAUUCAUUGAUCAUGAAUAUGUAUUUGAUGGCUAGAAACUUGGUUGUUUAAUUACCUUCACAAAUUAUGAAUUAAACUUAUUUAUGGUUGAGUGUUAAACUAGCUCGAUGAUUAAUUGACUGACUAUAUAUAUUACUACAUGUUUGCUAUAGCAUUUUGCUUUAAUAGUAUUUAUUUAAAGUCAUUAUUUCGGCUUACCACCCAUUUAAUGAUACAAGCUAGGAAAGAGCCACAAAAGGGUCUGUCUUAGUGGAACAUAUUAGAGCAAACUUGGUCUUGGAUUGAGUUUAACUUGAGUCGAAAAAAGGGCCAUGCUUAAUCUUAGAUUAGUGAUGAACUAGAUAUGAGGAUUCACCUUAUAGGGUAAAGAGAACUUAAAUGUGUAAUGUUAUAUCCUAUAUUGAUAUAGCAACUGGUCAUUGUUAGGGUUGCAUAAAGAUAUAAGACAUCCAACGUGGUACUAUUGAGGAUAAAGAUGGUUUUUGCCCAGUGCUGUAGUAGAUGCUGCAGCAACUGAACUUAACAUGAAUAAAUAGUCAACACCAUCAAGAGAGUUUAAUCACUCAACUACUCCAUUCUUAUUGAUUUAACCCUUGUGUUUAAUGUGGAAAUUUUAUUCAUUGUAUCUUUAAUGAUUGCAAUUUCAUUUUCCUUCAGUAUUUAGUUAGGUUGGUUGCAUUGAUUUAAUUUAGGACAUAGAUUGCAUUGUUGAAUUGCUGUAAGAAUUCUGAUAGCAUCAAUCCUUGUGGAGACGAUCUUGAAAAUUCAUAAUUUUUUUACUUCCUGUGUACACUUGCACAUUGACACUAAUAGCAUUUGAAUUUAUAGCAACAAGUUUUUGGCGCCGUUGCCGGGGAUUGAUUGUUUAUUUUUUAAUUGUGAAAAUCAAAUUUUGACGGUGCUAAUCUUGGUUUUAUUUUGAACUGUUUCUUUCGUUAACAUAUCACUCUUGCAUGGGAAAAUACAAACUUGUUGAAUUCAGUUUGACUGAGAGAUUGAAAAAACUGCAAGGAGAUUGAGAAGAGAGCAAAGAAAUUCAAAAACUGCUAUAGUAAUGACUGACUUGCAAAACUUAGGAAACUUAGACCCUCACGGACCAAUACAACCUGUCAAUGUUUAAGAAAGUUAGAAUGGGCAAAUUAAUCAGAGACCAUCAGGGAAAACAAUAUUAUCUACAUGGCAGAUGAUAGAGACAGGCCAUUAGAGAUUAUGCUGUGUUGGCCCCUCAAGUUAUACAUCCUGGCAUAGUCAGACCUGAGGUGGAAUUUGCCAAUUUUGAACUCAAACCAGUGAUGUUUCAAAUGCUAAACAGUGGGGCAAUUUAAUGGAUUGCCAUAAGAAUAUCCUCAUCUCCACCUUAAGUUGUUUUUGAAGGUGAGUGAUGCUUUCAAAAUUGCUAGAGCAUCACAUGAUACAUUGAGACUAAGACUUUUUCCUUACUCUUAAAAGAUGGUAAGUGCAUGGUUGAACUUCUACCACCAGACUCAUCACAACAUGGAAUAACUUGGCUGAUAACUUUAUGAUGAGUAACUUCCCACCAACCAAAAAUGCAAAGUUGCGGAAUGAAAUUGCUUUUUUUCAUCAACUAGAAGAUGAGAGCUUGUAUGAGGCUUGAGAAAGAUUUAAGGAGUUGCUCAAGAGGUGCCCUCGUCAUGGCAUUCCUUGCUGCAAACAUGUUAGAAACCUUCAUAAUGGGUUAAACCCAAGCACUAGAUUGAUGGUCGAUACUUCAGCAAAUGGGGCUUUAUUAUCUAAAUCUUACAAUAAAGCCUAUGAAAAUUUGGAGAUAAUUGCUAAUAACAACUAUCAGUAACCAUCAACUAGACAAACUGCAACAAGAGAGCAACAGGGAUACACAAUGUGGAUGCAUUUACAACAUUAUCAGCCCAAGUAACAUCGUUAACCAAUAUGGUGAAAGCUAUGACCACUGCUCCAGCAAUUGUCAAUCAAGUUGUUGAGAUUUCCUAUGUGUACCGUGGAGGGGCAUUGUUGCAUAAAUUUUAUUGAACUCACAAGUGCACGAAUCUAUUGUAGAAUAGAUUAGUGGUGAUGAGUAUCGAUCCCAAGAGGAGGUGGAUUUUAAUUAUAUGUAGAAUUAAUUUUCUAUGAGGGUGGUUGGAUUUGUGGUGGAAGUGAUUUAAAUUAUCCUAAAAUUCAAUUAAAAUGACGGAAAUAAAUUGAAGUGAAAUCUAUUAAAAUGGAGUGUUUGGGUAUCUGGAUAUGCAUCAACAUGCACCAUGGGCUUAAUAUCCUUAUUAGUGCCAAUUAAAUCAUGAGGGGGGUUUCCACUCCUCAUGAACCACACUCUAAUCAAUAUGGUGCUAAGGGCUUAUUGUGCCAAAUAAUAAUAACCUUGUACUAGGGAGCCGAUUAAACCAGUGCGGUAUCUAGACAAGAUUAUUAUUAUUUGUCGACGAAAAGUCAAAACAUCCACAAUAAUUAAGGGAAGAGAAAGUAAAUUUACCAAAUAAAGCCCAUGGCACAUGUUAAGACUUCACCUUCAACCCAAGUUUGAAAGAAAAUUAGCUACUCAUAAUUGAACUAGGGGUUAAAUGAGAAUUUAUUAAAAUAUGUAGAAAAUACAAGAUAGAGAAAAAUUGUAGAAAAUGAAACUCAAAAAUGAAUUCAAGGAUGCCAAAUUAGGGGGAGGAGCCCCCUUUUUAUAGAUACACUGAGUAAAUCAUGGCCAUCAGAUUAAAAAUAUUUGGAUGCUCAGGAUUGCGCUGGAGGUGGAUUUUAAUUAUAUGUAGAAUUAAUUUUCUAUGAGGGUGGUUGGAUUUGUGGUGGAAGUGAUUUAAAUUAUCCUAAAAUUCAAAUUAAAAUGACGGGAAUAAAUUGAAGUGAAAUCUAUUAAAAUGGAGUGUUUGGGUAUCUGGAUAUGCAUCAACAUGCACCAUGGGCUUAAUACUCCUUAUUAGUGCCAAUUAAAUCAUGAGGGGGGUUUCCACUCCUCAUGAACCACACUCUAAUCAAUAUGGUGCUAAGGGCUUAUUGUGCCAAAUAAUAAUAACCUUGUACUAGGGAGCCGAUUAAACUAGUGCGGUAUCUAGACAAGAUUAUUAUUAUUUGUCGACGAAAAGUCAAAACAUCCACAAUAAUUAAAGGGGAAGAGAAAGUAAAUUUACCAAAUAAAGCCCAUGGCACAUGUUAAGACUUCACCUUCAACCCAAGUUUGAAAGAAAAUUAGCUACUCAUAAUUGAACUAGGGGUAAAAUGAGAAUUUAUUAAAAUAUGUAGAAAAUACAAGAUAGAGAAAAAAAUUGUAGAAAAUGAAACUCAAAAAUGAAUUCAAGGAUGCCAAAUUAGGGGGAGGAGCCCCUUUUUAUAGAUACACUGAGUAAAUCAUGGCCAUCAGAUUAAAAAUAUUUUAUGCUCAGGAUUGCGCCACGUCAUCGGUCAACAGUACGCGGUUUGACCACGCGAUUUGAAUGAUGACACAGUUUGACACGCGGUUUGAAUAGUGACACGGUUUUGUUGUAAAUAAUUCGUGUAUAUGAAUGCACCGUAUGCACGAUUUUGUCCACUAACAAGUUGCCACGUCACCGAUCAACAGUAAAUAAGAAUUUUAGUCCAAUAGGAUCGUGGCACUUCAUUGGUCAAUGCCACAUCAUUAGUCAAUGCCACGUCAUCGUUCCGUAUAUGUGAACAGUAAGUAACAUCGCAUCAGUUUGACCACGCGGUCAGCACAUGCAUCGUUGCCACGUGAUCAACAGUAAAUAAGAAUUUUAGUCCAAUAAGAUCGUGACACUUCAUUGGUCAAUGCCACAUCAUCAGUCAAUGCCACGUCAUCGUUCUGUAUAUGUGAACAGUGUCGCUAACAGUAACAUUGACAGUAUCGUAGAUGUGAAUAGAACCGUACAUAUGAAUAGUGCCAUUUUUUCUUUAUGUUCCUCCUAAGAUUUUCAACUAUCCUGAGUUUAAAAGUAAUGUCGUUUUGCUGUCUAAUCUCUUGUUCAUUGUGAAAUGACCAUGAUGCCCUAAAAUACAUAAAAUACUUAAUUAAAAUAAAACACACAUAAUUAAAUUACAAGAGAGUUAAAUACAUAAAAAUAGGAAUGUUAGUGAAACUUAAAGUGUAAAAUGACGAUUUUCUCCUUUAUAAAUAUAUACUUUCUAACACUCAACACCCCCAACCAGCUUAUUGCUAGUUCCUAGCAAAUAAAGUGAAAACAAAAUUCAAACCCAAAAUGAUUUUUUUUUUAAAAAAACAAUCGUGUUUAUUCAAUCAGACUAAUGAUAGCAAUCAAAUAAACGUAUAAGCAUUAUCUCCAGUCUAAAUAAACAUCACACCCGCAUAAACCAUCCACAUGAAUAAACUCAGUAGAUUUGUCAUAGCUAUUUUCAAGAAUGACAUGUCAAACCCCAAAAUCCACAGGUAGUAGUGGCACUCUCAUAAAAAAAUUGAACCCAAUAAAAAUAGUUACUCAAUGAAUGGUAAAUUGAGAGAAAUAAAUAAAGAAGUGAUAUCACACACUCUCACAAGAUGAAAGGAAUAUGGCCCACAUUUUAGAAAUCACACAAUCUUUAAAUGAAACAAAAUGUUAGUCAACCCAAUUAUUUAUUUAUUUUAUAUAUGUAUGCAUCAUUACAUCUUUUUAUCCCAUAUAACUAGCUUCUACUUCAGACUAUAAAUCCCUAAAAUCAAGAAAGACUUUUAUUAAACGUAACGAAGGCUAAGGAUAUGGCUAACAAAGAGAAAAUAAGGAAAAAAAUAUAUGUUUAAGAAAAGUAGAUAUCUUUUGGAAAUUACAAAGUGCAUUUUGCUUAUUUAUUAUUAUUGUUAUUUUUUUUUUUGAAACAACAAUUUUUUUUUUUUUUUUUUUUAUUUGGCACAACUUCACUGAACAAAUAAUUAUUUACAUUUUUCUCAAACAUAAAUAGGUGAUGAAACUUGUAAUAUAUCAGGUAAUACUCCAAAUCGGAGUGGGUCAAGAUGAUAAGUUUGACAAAGAAAACUUUUUUUAAUAAAUAAAAAGCUCAAAAGGGUUAAGUAUGGAUAUUUCAAAAGAGAUGGUUACAAACGCUCAAAUGGGUCAAAGAUGGCCUUCCUAUCGUCUUUUAGGACUUUAAAUAAUCUUCCAUAUCUACUAGUUAGAUGGACCUCCAGAUGUACCAACACCCAUUUUUUUUUAUCUUACAAUUUUUUUAGAGGGUUGACUCAAAGGAAUCUAGAGAUCAUGUAUAAAAUAAUAAACUGCUAAGAUGUAUGAAGAAUGGGCAAAAAUGGUUACUUUCCAAAAAAAAAUGACAUGCUAAAAAAAUCACUUGGAAUUUAUUAUGACAUGUGCAUUCUUCAAGCAACUCAUAUUUAUCUCUGACAUCAACAUGUAGAGUAACAAACAUAGCGUAACAUCACUUAAGACCAAAGAUAAUACAAAUACUAAAAUUUUAAAGUUAUCAUGUCAUCUAAUGUUAAAAAAAAUUCACACAAUUUUUUUUUUUCAAAUGCAGUCUACCUCCCAAUCUAUUCUAAACAUGAAAAGAAAAUAUGUAUGUAGAAAGGUGAAUGAUGUAGAAAAACUAAUUAGAAAAGUUCACUUAAAAUGAUAGAAAAGAAAAUGUUUUUUUUUUUUAAAACUAAGAAGAUGCGUUUCUAGAGUCACUACACUCCAUAUUCAGCCAUCUUCGACUCAAAAAUUUGAAAGUGUAUACUUAUAAAGGAGAAAUUAGAAAGAAUAAGUUAGAAAAAAUAAUGAUUGUCAAAGCUUAAUAAAGAAAAAGAAAAUGUUUGGAAUUUUUUUUUUUUUAACUUCCAAACCAAGAGAUGCGUUUAUAGAUUCACUACAUUCCAUAUUCAGCCAUCUUCAACACAAAAUGUUAGCCACUGUUAGUCUCUACAACAAAAAAAUCAGUAAAAACUUAACCAAGAUUCCACAAUUGUCAACUAUUCCCUCCCCCCAACCAGAAUGAAACAUUGUCCUUAAUUUUUAAAGGAAAGAAGUAGAGUUUAGAAGACAUCACCUGGGUGGUGCAACAUGGAAGAAAAUAUUUACAAGCGGAUAGUUAAAUUUAAUUUGCACUUCUUACUACGGCUACUGUUACCAUCAUUAUUUGGACACUCCAACACAAAGGUCCUGGGGUCUGGCUCUUGUCUAUAAGCUUGUAACAGAUCAAGUAGCUCAUUAGUAGUGUGUGCACAAAUAAAAAGUUUUUUCACUGUGGAAGGAAUGAAAUAAUUUUUUAUUGCAUGGUUAAGAAAUGCAAUGAAGUCAUCAUAAAAGUUAUUGACAUUUAACAAACCGUUGGGUUUCUGGUGAAUAUAUAGAUGGGCCCAAGAUGCUAAUGUGAUAAGUGCCUCUAAAGUUGCAAGAUCUCCUGGUAGGAAAAUAAAAGCAUCAGCAUGAUUAAGUAUUUCAGUUAUUCUUUCUUGCAUAUCUGAGACGACUAACUCUUCUCCAGUCAGUGAGUCAGACAAACUGCCCAAAGGUUUUAGGGCUCUUAGGAUGAUGCCUAACACUUGGCUUCCCCUGACCAAUGCAGCUUCGGAGACCAAUUUUGAUAACCCUCAAUUAUCUGCUCCAUACACCAAGUGUAAUUUUCUCUCUAUUAUGCUUCGACCAAGAUCUAUGACUGUCUCAACGAACUCUUUAUGUUUUCCAUAGUUAAAUCCAGAAAGCACACAAAUGUUCUUGAAUUGUUUAUUGGGAGUAGCUGUCAUUGAGAUACUUCUCAAAAAUAAUUUGUGAGUGCAUAACAAAAAGUCAUAUUUAAGAAUCUUAGUAAUAGUGGGUCACAACUGUUUAUGAGGUAGCAUGUCAGUGUCAAUUAACGUGUAAAGCACAUGGCUCGAGAGUAAAAAAGGAAACAGUAAAAAAGAAAAAACAAUGACAAAAUGAAAUUAUUAAAGACAAUAAUGCAAAUGAUAAAAUAACAGUGAAAUAAAACAACAGUGAAGUAAAAAGAUAUUUACAGGUAGUUGCGAUUGUGGCUCACAUCUUCCUCUGGUUUUACGUCAAGAAACGGCUUGAACGCCCUCUAUGGGUUGAGGAUAGACUUCCCAUCCUGUUUUCUUAUAAAUUGGCAAACAGGGUCGUUUAUAGUUAGAUUCCUGAGACUAUAUCGUGCAUGCUCUUUCUAGAAUAAUGGCCAUAAUUGGAGAAUCACUCCUGUACAUAUCCACUGGGAUGCGUUUCAAGAGACAAAAGGAUAUCAUCUAAUGACUCUUUAUUCAAGCCAUCCUUAAUGAAUUAAAUCUUUUCUUCCCUGUUAUCAGACAUCAUUCCUAAAGAGCAUGGUUUUUUAUCGCAUCUCAUUCUGGCACACUUAUGACAAGCAACUGAAAUUCUUCGAGCUCUUCGUUUUCUUGCAUACUUUCCUUUACCAUAACCAGACAUAUAUGCAAUAAAUUUUAGAGGCAACUAAGCUGCCAUCGUACUUUGGCCUCAAUUAACCAGCGGAUGUCAGCAAGUAUGUUAUUCCUCAUAAGCAAUCUCAUGCAUUUGGACCGAACUUUAUAGAUUGUAAGGAGGGCAUUAUGAGGAAGUGAAGGGAAUUGAUUGUGAAACUUUACUAAAAUCUCAUUUCUGUCCAUACCUUCGCCUCAGAAGAUCAGUUAUUAUGGAAAACUGAAGUAACCGACUUGAUUGUCACAGAGUACCGUUAUCCGUCACUUAACCAAGGUAACAAACUAAAGCACACAAACAAAGUAACAAACUAAAACACACAAAGAAAAUUACAAUCGUCUUCUUAUUGAAUUUACCUCAAGCUCCAGCUGAAUGUCGAAGAUACCUCCUUCAAUGUCUCUGAGUUGGCUUUCUAAAUCCUCAACAUGGGAUACUAACUCUGGUGGUUGUAGAUCCCAAAUAUGAUGUGUUUUACAAAAUUAAAUCUGCCUUCUGAGAUGAGAUUUUACACGUUGAACUCGUCUAAGAAGGUCCAAGAGGAUCUGUAUAGCUGAGGCACUCAUGAUUAAUAAUGAUAAAAGAAAACUUAAUGGUUAAACAAACACACUUAUGUAAAAAUAAUUUCAAUAAGCAAAGAAUAGUACAAAGAAAAAAAAUCAAAUCACUGAAAAGAAAGAAAAAUCUUAAUUCAAAUUUGGUGGGUCACUUUUUGGUGUCCUCUCUAUGAGGUUGGUACUCUAGAUAUGGCUUUAAUCUUUGACCAUUAACUUACAAGUGACACCAUUCUUUGAGUCUUUAAUUUCAAUUGUCCCAUGUGGAAAAACAGUGUGAACAAUAAAAGGGUUAGACCAUCGAUAACGUAACUUACCUGGGAAUAGGUGCAAGUUAGAAUUGAAUAAAAACACUUUCUAACCUGGAGUGAAAGAUUUUCUCAAAAUUUGCUUGUCAUGAAAGACUUUCAUUAGCUGCUUGUAAAUAUUGCAUUUUCGUAUGCAUCAUUACGAAUUUCUUUAAGUUCUGCCAACUGUAAUAUUCUUUCUGAGCUAGCUUGCUGCAUGUCAAAGUUGAAUUUCUUGAUGGCCCAGUAUGCACGAUGCUCGAGUUCCACAGGUAGGUGGCAAACUUUUCUAUACACUAGCAUGUAGGGUUUAAAUAAACAAAUUAAAUCUUUUUUUUGUGGAUCGAUCUCGGACUCACCGAGUUAUAAUUUAAUAAGACACUCUUAUACUUGGGAGUUAGAAAUCACUUUUAAGUCGUGUCAAUCAUCAAAUAUAUAUUUCUAUCUUCUGUCUAAAGUACUUAAUUAAUUUCAAAACUUUUGGUGUUGUUUGUAUUUUGAGUAAAGCUUUUAAAAAUUAAAUAAAUGAUAAAGGUUGUAAAUUGUUUUUUAGUUAAAUUAUCUAAAAUACUAUUUGUUAAUUUUUCAGUCUCAUGAGGAAGCAAUUUCAUAACAUAAUUUGAAAAAACUUGUAUAGAUAUCUAUUAAAUUAAUCUUACGAUUUUUAAUAAAAGUUAUCAUUGACAACCAAAUAUUUAAUUUUUUUAAAUAAAAACUCUACUAGCACUACUAAAAAAUACAUUUUUAUCAUAAAAAAGUUAAUGAUACAUAUUGAUUUGUCAUAAAAAUAUCAUCAAAGAAUGAUACUUUCAUGACUAAUAUCAUUUCGUUAAAAGGACAUACUUGCGACUGAUAUAUUCAUUUCAUUUAUUAAUGAAUAGAAACAUGUCAUGGUCAGUUUUUUUUUUUUUUUUUCAAUCGUUUAUGAAACAUGACGGCCAUCAAUAAUCUACUUAAACAAUGUCGGUUUAAAAUUGAUUAUUUAUCUUUUUGAUAUCCCUAAAAUAUUUUUAUUUACAAACAUGUCCUUAAAAAAUAUUUUUAUUUUGAGAGAAUGAGGUCUUUGACUUCUUUAACGCUGAUUUGAGGAUUAAGGCGGUGAGUGCUCUGUGAGUGACAGAGGGUUUACUAUUAAUUUGCUAUGUAAAAGAAAACAUACAAAAUGUUGAAAGUUUGGGUCUUUUAAAGCAUAACGCCUGAACACCACCACUCCAUUCAUAUCCAGCUCUUACUGAAAAUCAGUCGUCACUGUUCGACUGAACAAGAGGGCGAAGUCAGUAGUGAGCUAUUGAAAACCAAGGUAUUCACUAAAUCUUAAUUUGCUAUUAAUAUGUUGUAAUCAUUGAAAUCCUAGGUGCUGCAUCUCAAAUUAAAGCUUGACUUAGACCAUUUAGACUACGAUUAAUUUUUUUUAUUGAGGUGAUUGUUAUUUUUUACUGCAUGUCGAAUUCAGUAGUUGAUUACACUAUUAAACUUUGGUACGUUCUACAUGUCUAUGUUGAUUCUUUUGGAUAUAUUCUGAGUGAAAUUUGUCAUUAUGUGCAUAUUGUUCUACUUAUUUGUAAGUGGACCAUGGUCAGAAAACAUUCCUUUUAAAACUGUUUUUUCAAAAAGGUUGUUUUGUUUAUGGUACUCGCAAACAUUUAAAGCACAAUUUUAAAUUAUUCUUUUGUUUUUUUAAAGAUGGUGGACCAUUUAUGCCUGUGAAUCUGAACAAGUCAUUCUCGUUGGUAAUAAUGGUAUCAAUUUGAUGCUUGGAGUAGGAGACGAUAUUAAGAUCGAUAUCUGCAGUCCAAAAGAAAACCAAACCACCCCCCAAUCCAUUUCGAGGCACCGAAAAAAGAUGGGAGAGUUGAAGCUUAUAUUUCAAAAAUUCAAAUUGACUCGCUGUUAAUUUGGUUUCACUCAAGAAUACAAUGUUAGGCUUAUGGUUUCGGGCAACUUCCUUGAGUGCUUGGAACGUUAGGGGGUUCCCCAGUCCCCGAACGUUCCAGUAGAUGAUCUUUAUUGCGCUCGGCGGGGCUGGAGACUAGCACCCGCCGUUUCAUGUGCUCUGAAAUAUGAAGGUAAAUGUGAAGGAGAGGGAUGUAGAAUACUGGCAUUACUAGCCUCCCUCCCUGAAUCCUCCGAAGCUUGGCCUGGAUGUGAUCGUUUCAUCAUAGGCUCGAGUUCUGGUUUAUCUUCGUUGGCCCGUGUUCUUUUAGAAUUUGGUUCUGAAACAACUGGAGAUUUCAUCUUGGAUUCAGAGGCUCUAGCCAUUCGUUUCCACUUUUGGAUUGGGCUUGUCGCCAUAGAAAGCUGGCAGCGGGACUCUUUGUUUAAGUGAGAUGGGCUCAACUGAGAAGCCUGUGGAUCAUCAUCAUUAUUCCCCACAAGCGGAUUAUCCUUGUUUGGAGCACCGUCAGGAAUGAGUGGCUCUGUAAUUAAUGUAGCAGGAGUCGUGGCUUGAUGUUUCAGCUGAGUUGCAGUACUUCCAGAUCUUUCUUCAUGCAAUUUAUUGACUGGUCCAUGUUCAAUAUUGCUUGCUGCUAAUGUCAUCCCUUCUACAUUAUUCGAUGAGGCGGUUGCAGUUAGACAUGUGCUUGGCACUGUUGAAGUCGUCGUCUCCUUAGUCUUGGCAUCUCGAGAUUUUGCUGAUGGCGUCAGUAACUUAAGUAAAUGACUAUACUUGAAAUAUUUUGCACAUUGGGGGUUGCCAAUUGAGGGAGUUGGACAUUCUCGAUGAAGAUGCCCAAUGAAACCGCACCGGAAACAAAAAUCAGGCAAACGUUCGUAGAAGAUUGCAAACGUCAUCACCUCCUGACAACCUCACAAUUGAGCU